rnacentral:lncRNA from 1 species
CACCUCCACCACCACCAAGUUCUCCACCUCCACCACCACCUAGAAAACCACCACCACCACCCCCUAGAAGACCACCCCCACCACCAACAACAACACCUCCACCACCACCACCUAGAACACCUCCACCACCACCACCAAAAACACCUCCUCCACCACCACCUAGAACUCCUCCACCACCACCACCAAGAACACCGCCACCACCACCACCAAGAACUCCUCCUCCCCCACCACCUAGAACACCUCCUCCCCCACCACCAAGAACACCUCCACCGCCACUGCCAAGAACACCUCCACCCCCACCACCAAGAACUCCUCCUCCCCCACCACCAAGAAAACCUCCACCACCACCACCAAGAACACCUCCACCACCACCUCCAAGAAAACCUCCGCCACCACCACCAAGAACACCUCCUCCACCACCGCCAAGAACACCACCACCCUCACCAACACCAGCACCUUCACUUUCACCAACACCACCACCACUAUCACCACCUCUAUCAUCACCACCAGCACCACCACCAGAAUCACCACCAUUAGAACCAGGCCCAACUUCUACACCAUCAUGAUUGCUGUAAGUUCAUAAAGACAUAAUAAAGACAUGACCUUAAGUUCCACUUAUUUAGUAACUCAUGUGUUUGUUUUCAUAUAAAGUUUAGAGUAGAGUUUUUUAUGCAGAGUUUUAUUGAAAGACAAGAGAAUCAAGAGUUCUAAUGAAUGAAAUGAAAGAAAAUCUUACCUUUCUUUCUUUUUCUCAAGUUCAUCACUGCACCCUACAGUACAAGCAGGACAUCAGAGAAUUGCCAAUCUUAUAUGAUAGGAGAUCAUAUCACUCAACAUAGUGCACAAGUAUUGAAAGAAAUACUUUAAAACCAAUUCAUUUAUUUACUUUAUAAACCAGUAUAGAGAUUAAGUAGAUUUUCUUAAAAUAUUUGUUAUUUCCUUAAAAUUAAAUUAUAAGAUAGGUGUAUCGUUACGAUACUAAUAUAAGCAUAGUAGAGCUAUCAGAUUAGUUUCAAUCUAGACCAUUUACUUUUACAUAUAAACUAGGUUUUUGGGCUAAUCAAAUAUGCACAAUUCUAUAUUACAUUCACUUAUAUUAGUUGAGGUGUUUAGAUCUUUUUUAUUUUUUUGUUUUUGCUUUUUCAAUUUUCUUUUUGUUCAUUUUCAUGACAAAAUAAUAUACUCCUCCUUUGACUCGAAAGUGGCAAUUAGUGCAAUUGUUCGAUGUUAUGCAAUUACAAUUGAUUAAUCAUAUUCAAGUGAUAAUGGCAUUCAUAGCACAUGGUGUAACUCCUCCUGAUCUUAUUGCAUCUCUUACUAUUGAUCUCUUGGUAAAUUUUUUUUCGUGGAAAUCCUAGAGAUGAUGUGUACUAUUAGUUUGAUCAUUUUACAGUGAUUGCCACCUAUUAUUCUUGGGAUGAUACCUAGUGUCUAUACGAGUUCUCUACAUGUUUGCAAGAGACAAUAUUGCAGUGGUAUAAUGGUUUGAGUGUAACCACUUGUAUACAUUGGAGCCUUUUCUCAAAUGUCUUCAAAUGUUCAUUUGGACAUGCUAAUAAUUGUGAUAAUGCCAUAAUUGCAUUGUUUCUAUUAGGGGUUGUCUAAAUUAAUUAUUUAAAUUGAUGUUUACUUCUAGAGUUUCUUAGUUCAUAUAGAGACAAAUAUAUUGGAGUGAAUCAAGUUGGGUAGUUCAUCUUUAGCUCCACUUUGAAAUUUACAAAUUGGUGUCUUAUAGUGAUAUCUCAUAGUGUUAUGCCAGUCAAAGAGUAUUGUCAAGGGUAGCUAGUGUAUGCAUAAGGCUCAUAAGAUUCCUUUUCCAAUCGGUUAAUGGUCUUGGGAUAUUUGGGGUUAACCAUCUUUGGGUUUGAAUAAUACUGAGUUGGAUGAUCUUUUGGGAAAUCUAAAUUUAGGAGUUUACAUUUGGUAUUAGAGGGGUCUUGGGUUUAAUUCUGUUGGUUGGCUAAAUGAAUCACACCAUAUGUUAAGAUUGAUAUCUGGUAGGUCUAGUUUACUCUCGGUUGGGCUCAACUCGAGGGGUAGGGUGUCAAGAGAGCGAAGUUCGCAGGAGAGCUAUGGUUUUCAGCUUCCAUUCAUGAGGGUGUGAAUUUGCAAGGAAGCGGGGUGGAUUGUAAGCAACCAAAAAUAAUGACUUAAGAAAAAAUCCAUGGGGUUUAAAUAUAAAGAGAAAAGGUCCAUAAAUAAGAGUGCACCCCUUUUUCCAAUCAAUUAAAGGUUUUGAAAUAUUUGGGGUUAAGCGUCCUUGGGUUUGAAUAAUACUGGGUUGGGGACAUCUUGGGAAGUCUGAAUUCAUGAGCUUAUAAAGAUCUUGACGAAGUGCUAGCCACAAUACACUUAAUAGUCGCUUAGGCAAAAGUCCAAUAAAUGAAUUAAAAAGUCUAACUCAAAAAGUUGAGAGUGGGAGUGAAACUCUUAAAGAAGUGCUUAAGUGUAUUACACAUGUUAUAUAGCAGUAGCUGAAGUGAAAGUCUAAUAAGGGUAACAUAUUCAAACUAAAAGCUCUAACUCAGAAAAUCAAGAGUGGGAGAGGAACUCUUAAAGAAGAGUUUAAGGAACAAGCUCAAAGUGAUUGAUAACCAAGUUUUUUAACAAAGGGAUAAAUGUAGUGCACUUGAAUUUGGAGUUGAACUCUAAGCCUGUUGCGCUACAAAAUGAGGGUCCAAUACAAUCCCAAAAGCACCAGCUCUCUGUAUCCAACACUUGCAUGCAAAAUGGUGUUAGAUAGUGUUUGGCACAAUUUUGGUAUACCGGUGUCCUAAUGCAAGGAGGAGGGUACCCCACCGACUAAAGCAGCAUGGAGCUUGGGCUUAGACCCAAGUCAGACGCAGAACAAAGAGUGACACAGCUCAACAGGAGCCAAACUAAUGUCUUAGGUGGUUAAACAUGCAUUCCAACCACUAUCCCUACUAUACAUUUGGAACCCCCUAUAGCCCCCUUCCCCCGACCUUGAGGAAAAUAUGCUUUGGGCUUUCACCCCAAACCUCCCUUAGUAUCAGGAGUUAGUUUCUGGGACAAGCUUGAAACUUACUAAAUAUGGAAUGUCCCUAGAUUGCAAAUUUGGACACGGGACGAACACCAUUGUGUUUAGGCCAAUCUUUAUAUUCCAUAAAUAUGCCAAAUGAGUGAAUCUAGACACUUUCCAUAAAUAGCAUUUAGGAUCAAAAUGAGACUAACACAAAGGGCAUGAUAGCGAAGAUGUUUGGUAGACAUGGUAAGUUAUCAUCCAGCAAUAUUGAGGGAGUAGUCUCAAUACGCGAGGGUUCUUGCCAAGCCAGUGCAAGACAGAGCAAAAAAGAACUAAGAGCUAGGCCAAGAAUGCUCAGCUAGAAACAUAUAGGAGUUCCUACCUUAUGUUCAUCUGGCUAAGUAUAGUUGCUAAACCUAGUAAAUUAACACUUGGACAAGAGGGGCUACCAAAGGAAACCAACAGUAUCAACCUCCUGCCAUUAUGGCUGUAAAGAAAAAGUGUCCCUAAGAACUGGUUGACAAGUAUUUUUUCGAUACCCAAAGUCAUAUUUGCGACACUCUCCUCCCUUUGGGGAAGAUUGAUCUCCUCAUCGAUACAUACCUGAGUUUAGCAAAUUGUUAAGGAAAAAACUCCGAAAGUUAACAGAAAGCACACUAUGUGGGUGUAAGCCACAAAUUUUUCCUUUCCAAUUUGCCAACUUACCUCGACUAUCUGUCCAACACUACCUUGGCUUUUGCUAAGUUCCCUUGCCAAGGUUCUCGCCUAUGGUACCAGCUCCUACUUGGUUUCAGCUACUCACUGCACGAGCAACGGAGUGUUAGCCAUCCAUCCACGGAUUCCCAAAUCACUCCCAAUCCCCCUCCCCGGGUUAGACUGAACUUAAAGUUCGGCUACACUCCCCGCAAGCAUAAGCAGCCAAGCACACCAAGCUUCCAGGUUCCUAACAUCCCUUGGUACCACAAGACUUGAUCAUGGGACCCUCUAAAUCCAAGUCUUGAGUGCAACACUUGCUUCGGGACGCCGGGGCGAAACACCGUGGCCUAGUGGCCCAGUAUGGGUACCUCUACCCCCCCACUUCCAUCCCGAAGGAAGGCCCAAGCCCCUAGGAAGGGCGAGGACCAAUGAGCCGCAUGGUACUCAAGUGGGGCACCACUCCACGUGAGCCGGGAGCACCGCAAUCAGUUUCCCUUUCGGGAGUGGGAGCUGCUCUUGAGCACUUCCUUGGAUGGCCCCUCCGGCACCAGCCAAGUCCAUGCUCACUCCCACCCAAUGCCCCUCGGUCCCAGUCUCAACCUCAAGUCGGUUUGGAAGCCCCACUGGAGAGUUCCUUCAAGACUGGUUCCUGGACCUCACUAUCCCUACUAUACUUUUGGAACCCCUUGCAGCCCCCCCCCCCCCUUGGGAGACGCACGCUUUGGGCUUUCACCCCUUGACCCGUAUUAGUAUUUGGACUUAGUCUCUGGCUCGAUCUUGAACCCGAUUUCGGAUCCGACUUCGGAUUCCGUCUCGGACUUAAUCUCGGACUCGAUCUUGGACCCGAUCUCGGACCCGACCUUGGACUCAACCUCAGACUCGGUCUCGGACCCGAUUUCAGAUCUCGGACUCCGUCUCGAACUCGGUCUCAAACUCGGUCUCGAACUCAGUCCCCGAGUCGGCCUCAGACUUGAUUCCGGACUCUAUCUCGAACUUGGUCUCCGAGUCGGUCUUGGACUCGAUCUUCGACUUGGUCCCAUCCGAUAAACUCUUUGUCAUUUUGGUUAUGCUUUCGGGGUUCCUUUAGCCUACGACACCUCGGCAAGUUGGUUCCUUACAACUCCACCACCCAUAGAAGAAGUUCAAUACCCACAUCAAACGCCUCUCUUUUGAUCCUACGACUUGUUGACCAUGUCUCAUUCUCUUUGGUUGCUUACAGUGGGAAACACACCAACUUAAAUGAGUUAUGAAACUACCUCCCCUCUACGUCUAAAAAUGUUAAGACUUAGACAUCACCGAUAAAGAAAUGACUAAUGGAGUUAGCCACCCUUGUUGCUCUAAAUACCACUUGGCUUAUAAAGGAAUGAUACAUCCUUGCCUGCAGUGACAUAGGGAGAAGGCCAGAGGCCCAACUUCCCUUGAGCAAGAAAUCAACUCCGUCGGGAAGAUUUAGAUAACUAUUAUAAACUGGCAGAUUAAGUUGUUUACACAGCCAUGCCCCUUUUCAAAAAUGAGUCAUUGAGAGAGAAGUGGGGACUUGUGAUCAGUUUAUAAUAGCUAUCCCCAUGGUUAUGGAUUAGACCCAUGCACCAAAGUGCCAAAGUCAGCCUGCCAAACCUGACCCAAGUUCUAAUGAACGAGAGAAAUGAAACUUUGAUUUAUAGAAAUAUAUUACUUUAUUGAUUGCAAGAUUUAUCACAGGGUUUACAAAGCUAAUCUUUAUUACUAUUCUCAUAGUCCAUGACAAGUUCACAAGCAUAGGUAAGAUUACUAAAAGGUUCCCAAGUUGAUUCACAAGUCGGGUAACCUUUCCACUUAACUAUAUAUUCCUUCGCAUGAGCCCGUCUCCGAAACUGAGAGUCCAAGAUAGACUCAGCUUCAUACUCAGGUUCACCAUCCAUGAUCACUAGUGGAGGACGAAUGUCCGUAAAGCAUUCCACAACAGCAUGAUAUGGUGCUAGUAAAUUGAUAUGAAACACAUCAUAUAUUUGGGAUAACUUAUUAGGAAGAUCCAACUUAUAGGAUACAUCACCAACUCACUUCAAUACUUGACUAGAACAUCAUGAUGUUCAUGCAGAAUUAACUACUACAGAUCCUUAGAGGGAAGACACAAUCUUUCUUGCUUAUAGAAUAUAAGCCCAUCCCAAACUAAGUAGUAAAACUUCACAUUGAUUUGACUAGCAACUUUCACUGCUUCAUUACUAGGGUUCUGCUUCGACAACUCUGCAUGGCAUAAUAUUGCCUUCACCAAUGGAUCACUUCCAUAUGAAGCCUGAAUGUCCUCUAACUAGUCCGAAUUGAUUGUCGAUAUUGCCCAAAACUGAGCUUGACGACUCAAUGCAUUCGAAACAAUAUUAUCUUUACUAGGUUUAUAUAUGAUUUCAAUAUCAUAUUUAGCAAGCUUCUCUUGCCAAUAAGCCUACUUCAGCAUAAGGUUAGGCUGCGUAGCAAAAUAGCUUAGUGUGUUAUUAUCUGUAUAAACCUUGGUGUGUCCACCCAAGUAGUGUCUCCAGUGUUCCAGUGCUAACACUAUAGCAAACAUCUCUUUCUUGUGUGUUGGCCAUCUUCGUUGGGUUUCAUUCAAUUUCUUGGAAUAGAACGCAACGGGACAACCAUGUCACCUUAGUGUAACACCAACCGCUUUGUCACAAUCUUCUUGCAAUAUGGCAUCAAUAGCAUAGCUAGAUGCAUCACAAUACACUUCGAAGGGUUUAUCAAGAUCUGGGAUUUUGAGAACAGGAAUUGUAGUUAAGAUCUCCUUCAACCGUACAAAAGCACGCUGAAAAGUUGGUGUCCAAUGAAACGGAGUAUUACUCUUUGUUAACUUAAUCAACAAAAGAGCAAUUCUUGCAAAAUUGCAGACAAACUUGCAAUAGUAUCCCGCCAAACCAAGAAAGGAACAAACAUCUGAUACAGUGGUCAGGACUUCCCAGGCUUUCACCGCUUCCACUUUCUUUGGAUCCACCUCAAUUACGCCACCACCAACUAUAUGUCCAAGAAAGUUUACGCACAAUUGUCCAAAAGCACAUUUACUUUCCUUAGUAUAUGGUUUGUGUUCAUGCAAUUUUUGAAACACCAGCUCUAAAUGUUUUAAAUGAUCCUCCAACGUUUCAUUGAAGAUUAGAACAUUAUCGAUAUAUAGGACAACAAAUGCGUCUAAAUAAUCUCCAAAUAUUCUAUCCAUCAUAGUGUUGAAUGUUGCCGGAGCAUUGCAUAACCCAAACGACAUGAUAAGGAACUUAUAAGAUCCAUACUAAGUCUUAAAGGUUGUCUUCUCCACAUCUUAAUUUGCCACCCGUAUCUGAUGAUAUCUGGAUUGCAAAUCAAGCCGUGUAAAAUACUUAGCCUUUAAGAAUUGGUCAAAUAAGUCAUCAAUGCAAGGCAAAGGAUAACUGUUUUUGACCAUGAUCUUGUUGAUAUAAGUAACUAAUUUUUCCAUUCUACUUUAGUCACUUAACCACAUCUCCGACCACUAAGAGGAGUCUCACUCACAACCAUCAUAAGUCCAAUUCAAGACUUGGGGCUUGUUAACCCUGAGAAUGACAUCCAUGCCACUCAACCUUUGCACUUGGUCCAAGUGCUCCACGUGUCCGAUCCCAUAACCGACACCCCAAGGUACCACGGAGAUACCAGCCCGUUACGUUGGACCAUGCCCAUUCACCUUGGUCAUAUCAGUGAUCCAACACCACCUACAUUGCAAUCCCGUCUCUCAAAGACUGGGCCAUCUAUCCAUGAGUGGUCAUCCCAGAUCCACUCCAUAGCAUCCUUAGGAUGCCGCAGAUACAGGGAAUAGCCUUCCCCAAUAUCUCCUUUCCGGUCCCCACCGAGUCCCUUUUUGUCCAUGGCUGUGUUCACCAACACUGCCGCUGAAUCAAGGCCUACAGGCCCAACCACUAAGUCCCACUGUCCUCUGGGACUUCCUCACCAUGUGAUUGUGUCCUUGGUCACCACACCAGAGGGCUACUCCUCCUCCUUUCCACAAUCUAGGACUUUGGGACAAUAUUUUGGAACACUGUGGCCUUAUGCAGGCCUCAUAGGUACUCUCCCCGCCUUCUGCCUUUGGGUGCUCUAGCCAUGGGCUUAGAGUGAGGUUCCGUUGAGCCAUGCCAGGUAUCCAAGUAGGUAGUGCCCAUACUUAGACUGGGAGCAUUGACCAUUCGAUCUCCUGGGGGAACUAGAGCCAGCUCUUGAACACUUCACCAAGCUACCCUGUUUGUCGGUUCGUAUUCACUCUAGCUUUAGACUUCCCAAUGGUUAUCCCAUCACCUAGCACCUGGGCACAGCCUUCUUGGGCCAAACUAGCAUUUCCUGGCCAAAUUGGCUCCAUUGGGAUCCAACCCCCACACUCUCCCUACUAUACUUUUGGAACCCCCCACAUCCCACAGCCCCCCCCCCCCCCUCCUGCCCGGGGGAUGAUCGCUUUGGGCUUUCACCCAACUGCCUGUAUUAGUAUUCGGACUCGGACUCGGACUUGGACUCACUCUCGAUCCCGGUUUCAAACUCGGUCUCAGUCUCAGUCUUAGUCUCAGUUCCAUCUCGGGGUCCAUCUCGGACUCCAUCUUGGACUCCAUCUCAGGUCCAUCUCGGACUCAGUCUCGGGUCCAUCUCGAACUCUAUCUUGGACUCCAUCUCAGGUCCAUCUCGGACUCACUUAUUGCUUGCUUCGUGCUUGUUCCUUGAGCACUUCAUUGGGAGUUCCACUUUCACUCUCAACCUUUCUAGUUGGAGCUUUUAGUCCAAAUGUGUUACACUCGUUUGGCUUUCUCUUUGGCCACUACCACGUGGCAUCCUUCCGACUCCACUUUGGGGCCUAGGGAUUUUGUGUCUCACAAUUGAGUGCCCGAUAGUCAAUAUACAUCCUCAUGGUUCCAUCCUUUUUCAUAACAAAAAGGACUGGUGCUCCUUAAGGUGACUUGUUUGGUUAGAUAUGACCUUUGUCAAGAAGCUCCAUGAGUUGCUUCUUAAGUUCAGCCAUCUCCUUGAUUUUCAAACGAUGUAGAGCUUUUGUAGGUGGUUUAAAACUUAGAAUAAGGUAGCUUUAGCGGCAAAUCCUUCAGGAAGAUAUCCUGAUUCCGCGCCAAAAACUCUAAUAUCUUCUUUGAUACAGGAUCAACUCUGUCACCAAUUCAAUCUGAGUCACCCACACCCUCAGCUUCCAUCACUUGAACCCAAAAGGUUUGACAUCCUUUCUUAGUUGCUUUUUGUAGCGCAUUUUAUCUUUCUCCCCUUAAGCCAAUUGGAAAAGGGGCAAUUGCUUGAUGAGAGAGCUCUUAGUGACUAUUUUAUCGCCAUUUGUCCCCCAAGGUUCCAAGGUUUCACGGUGACAAUAUAUCUAAAUCUCAUCCUAUAAUCACAUGCACUACACUCACCCCCCCUUCAGAGAUGUCAAUGUUCUCAUUGACUAUUGACUAAUAACCCCUAUUGAGCCAAAGGGAACCAGCACCUCCAUUUUCACAUUGAAUUUACCAAUCCUUUUAUUGUGCAGAUUAGCUAUUUUAUGUGAGGCAACUAAUCAUCCAUCCGUACCGUAGUCCCACAGUGGAUACCUUCAUCUAUGGAUACUCCACACAAGAGGAAUGACGUAUAUAUGGAUGCCCAAUACGUAUAAUUUCAAAUUUUAGGGGUAGGAAUUCGAUCUAAGUCACCCACACCCUCAGUUUCCAUCACUUGAACCCAAAAGGUCUGAUAUCCUUUCUUAGUUGCUUUUUGAAGCACAUUUUAUCUUUCUCUCUUUAACCAAUUGGAAAAGGGGCAAUUGUUUGAUGAGAGAGCCUUUAGUGGCUAUUUUAUCCCUAUUUAUCCCCCAAAGUUCCAAGGAUCCACAGUGAUCAGUAUAUCUAAAUCUCAUCCCAAAAUCAUAUAGAUUACUCAGCCCCCUUUCAAAGAUGUCAAUGUCCUCAUUGACUAUUGACUAACAACCCCUAUUGAACCUAAGGGAACCAACACUUCCAUUUCCCCACUAAAUUUACCAAUCUUUCUAUUGUGUAGAUUAGUUAUUCCAGAGAGGCAACUAAUCAUCCACCCGUACCGUAGUCCCACGGUGGAUACCUUUAUCCAUAGAUACUCCACACAAGAGGAAAGACAUACGCAUAGAUGCCCAAUAUGUACGAUUUCAAAUUUUAGGGGUAGGAAUAUACUUUACUCAAGGGUAUAUUAUAUUUUUUAGGUAGUCAUUAAUUAAUGGGAAUUGAAUCCGUGCCAUUUUCUCUGAUACUACAUGUAAUGCACCUGAAUUUGGAGCCGAACUCCAAGCCCGUUGCACUACGAAACGAGGAUUCAAUACAAUCCCACGAGCACCAGCUCCCCGUAUCCAACACCUACAUGCAAAAUAGUGUCAAACAGUAUCUAGCACAAUUUUAGCAUACCAAUGACCUAAUGCGAGGAGGGUACCCCACCGCAACACGAGCCAAACUAAUAUCUCAAGUGGUCAAACAUGCAAUCCAACCACUAUAACCCCCUGAGGAACACAUGCUUUGGGCUUUCACCCCAAGCUUCCCUUAGUACCAAGAGUUAAUCUUUGGGACAAACUCAAAACUUACUAAAUAUGAAAUAUUUCUAGAUUGUGAAUUUGGACAUGGGAUGAACACCAUUGUGUUUAAGCCGAUCUUUACAUUCCGUAGAUAUGCCAAAUGAGUGAAUCUAAACACUUUCCAUAAAUAGCAUUUGGGACCAAAUUAAGAUUAACACAAAGGGCAUGAUAGCAAGGGUGUUUGGGAAACACGGUAAGCUAUCAUCUGGCGAUAUUGAGGGACUAGUAUCAAUACGUAAAAGUUCUUGCCAAGCUAGUGCAAGACAGAGCAAAAGAGAACUAAGAACCAGUCCAAGAAUGCUCAACUAAAAACACAAAGGAGUUCCUACCUUAUAUUCAUUUGGCUAAGUAUAGAUGCUAAGCCUAGUAAACUAACACUUGGACAAGAGGGGCUACUAAAGGGAACCAAUAGUACUGACCUUUUGCUGUCAUGGCAGUAAAGAAAGAGUGUCCGUAAGGACUAGCUGACAAAUAUCUUUUGAUACUCGAAGUCACAUUCGCGAUAAUAAAAGAAGAACAGAUACAUGGCAAGUAUUGAGACUAAGACCAAGACUAAGACCGAGACUGAGUCUUAGAUCAAGUCUAAGAUGGAGUUUGAGAUGGAAUUUAAGUGUAGCAUACAUGGUUUUCACCUUUUACCUUAUGAUAAUUUAAAAUAAGAUAACUAUAGAGUGGGUAACCCUUGGAUGUGUAGGUCAAGGGUAGCAAAGUGGAACCUAAUUUUUAGGGCCUUGGGCCACUAAAUGAAUGGAUAAAGCCAAACUCCCAAAUAUACAACCAAGGAGCAAAGGAAUUAUAACAUAAAAUAACUCUCAUGCAUACAACCUAAGGAAUAAAAGGAUAGGAGCAUGGAGUGAUAUAGUGCCUAAUUAACUCCACUAGCAUAACAGGGACUGAUAAAGGGUUUAACAAUACCGAUCACCUACUGUCAUGAUAAUAAAAGAAGAAUAUCCAAAAAGACUCACCAAUAAGUAACUUUCGAUACCCACAAUUAUAUUUGUAACACCAAGACAGAGAUUAAGUCCGAGACCAAGAUUAGGUAUGAGAUCAAGACCAAAGUCUAAAUCAAAGUUUAAGUCUAAGAGGUGAAAACCCAAACUAAUAUUUUCCCAAAGCCCCAAGAAUAUAGUAGGCCCCUAUAGGAUUGUAAGAAAGAGUACUCUAGGGGAACUAAUAUGGCUAGAGAAGGUUAGUGUGAUAACAAAAAUGCUAUGCUUAUAUAAUGGGUGAUAAUAUGAACAUUAGAGAGUCCAAGUUUAAAGUGAAUAUAGAUGGACAAGUGGGGUGAUUUAAUGAAGUAUUCAAAAGUUUGAUUUAGUUCUUUUAGGAGAUUAAAUGGUUAAUGCUCUUAAUCCAAAUAUGGGUGGCACUACUUACUUGGAUACAUUAUAUAACUCAUUGAAACUGUGAGACACAAAAUCCCUAGGCCCCAAAGUGGAGCUGGAAGGGCGCCACCUGGUAGUGGCCGAAGCGAGAGCCAAACGAGCGUAACACGUUUGGACCAAAAGCUCCGACUUGAAAAGUCAAGAGCGGGAGUGGAACUCCCAACGAAGUGCUCGAGGAACGAGCACGAAGCGAGCAAAAGGCGAGGCUCCAAAAAGGGACCCAAAAGGGCCAACACAUGACACGUGGGAGUCCGAGAGGGACCCGAGUUGGAGUCCGAAGUGGAGUCCGAGACGGACCCGAGUUGGAGUCCGAAGUGGAGUCCGAGAUGGACCCGAGUUGGAGUCCGAAGUGGAGUCCGAGAUGGACCCGAGUUGGAGUCCGAAAUGGAGUCCGAGAUGGACCCGAAAUGGAGUCCGAAAUGGAGUCCGAGAUGGACCCGAGAUGGAGUCCGAGAUGGAGUCCGAGAUGGACCCGAAAUGGAGUCCGAGAUGGACCCGAGAUGGAGUCCGAGAUGGAGUCCGAGAUGGAGUCCGAGAUGGAGUCCGAGAUGGACCCGAGAUGGAGUCCGAGAUGGAGUCCGAGAUGGAGUCCGAGAUGGAGUCCGAGAUGGAGUCCGAGAUGGAGUCCGAGAUGGAGUCCGAAGUCGAGACCGAGACCGGGACCGAGACCGAGACCGAGAUCGGGACCGAGACCGAGACCGAGGCCGAGGCCGAGACCGAGCCCGAGUCCGAGUCCGAGUCCGAGUCCGAGUCCGAGUCCGAGUCCGAGUCCGAGUCCGAGUCCGAGUCCGGAGCCUGAGAGGGUGAAAGCCCAAAGCGUUCGUCUCCCAGACCCUGGGGGGUUUGGUGAGCUCCAAAAGUAUAGUAGGGGGAGGACUGCAGUGGAGCCAGUUUGGCCAGGAAAGGCCAGUUUGGCCUAGGAAGGCCGGACCCAGUGUUGGGUGAUGAGCUGCCCACUGGGAAGUCCAAGACUAGAGUGAACAUGGACCGACAAGCGGGGUAGCUUGGUGAAGUGUUCAAGAGCCGGCUCUAGUUCCCCCGGGAGAUCGACUGGCCGAUGCUCCCAGUCCAAGUGUGGGUGGCACUACCUACUUGGAUACCUGGUGUGGCUCAACGGAACCCGCUCUAAGCCCAUGGCUAGAGCACUUAAAGGUGAAAGGCGAGGAGAGUACCCAGGUGGCUCGCGUAAGGCCACGGUGGUCCGAAAUGUUGUCCCGAAGGCCCAGACUGUGGAAAGGAAGAGGAACAGUCCUCUGGGGCAGUGACCAAGGACACAGUCGUGUGGUGAGGAAGUCCCAGAGGACCGUGGGACUUAGUGGUCGGGCCUGUGGGUCUCGAUCCAGUGGCAGUGUUGGCAAACACGGCCAGGGGCAAAAAGGGACUUAGUGGGAACUGACAGAGGGAUAUUGGGGAAGGUUAUUCCCCUUGUUGGUGGGCAUCCUAAGGAUGCUAAGGAGUGGAUCUGAGAUGACCACUCACGGAUGGUUCGCCUAGUCUUGGAGAGCCAAGACGGUGAUGCAAGUGGUAUUGGACUACCAGUGUGGCAAAGGUGAUUGGGCAUGGCCUUAGCGUGAUGGGCUGCUAUGUCGGUGGUACCUUUGAGUGUCGGUCAUGGGAUCGGACACGUGGAGCACAUGGACCAAGUGCAAAAGUUAAGUGGCAUGGAUGCCAUUCUCGGGGCUAGCAAGUCCCAAGUCCUGGAUUGGACUUAUGGAGGUGGUGAAUGAGACUCCUCCAAGUGGUCAGAGGUGUGGUUAAGUGACUAAAGUAGAAUGGAAAAUUUAGUCGCUUACAGAAACCUCAAUCUAAUUACAUGGCUAGAGCACCCUAGUGGUGAAAGGUGGGGACAGCAUCUAUAAGGCUUGUGUUGGGUUGUGGUAUUUCAAGAUGUCAUCCCAAAAUAUCUAACAGUGAAGAAGAAGAGUGACCCUCUUGAUUAAUAACUAAAGGUAUAGUUGAAGUCCUAGAGGUUAGUAGGAUUUAAUGAAUGGGCUUGUGGGCCCUGACCUAAUAGUGAUGUUGGCAAGCAUUGUUGUGGACAGAUUAAGAACUGAAGAAGGGAUAUUAGGGGAUAGUGUUCAUGUCUUAAGGCAUCCUAAAAAUGCUAAAGAAUGGUCAUAUAGUGACCACUUAUAGAUGGAUGGUUUAGUCUUAGAGAGAUGCAACUAUGGUAAAGAUGAUAUUGGACUACUAAUAAAACAGUAAAAAUAAACAUGGCUUUAUUGUAAAAGGGUAGGAUGUCUAUGGUACCUUUGGGUGUCCAAGAUGGGACUUAGAUAACACUUGGACUAAAUGUGAAGUCGGUGUGGCUUUGAAUUCACUUUUAGGGACUUUGUAAAUACUCCAAGUUGGGAUAAAAACUUAUAGAGGUUGUGAGUAAAACUCCUUCAAGUGGUUAAAAGUGUGGUUAAAUGACUAAAGUAGAAUAGAAAAUUUAAUCACUUACAUUAAGGAAUAGACAUGAAACAAUUGAUAAGAAAGUCUUUAAAAAGGAACAAAAGAAUGACUAACAUAUGGCAAGUGUGACACAUGAAAGUAUCAAAACCAAGUCCAAGAUUAAGUUUGAAAUUGAGUUUGAGAUCGAGGCCAAAAUUGAGGCCGAGAUCAAGUCCAAGGCCUAAUAUAUCCGAGGCCAGAUAAAUAUGAACGUGGGGUGAAAGCCCAAAGUGAUUGUAUCCCAAACUUUAAGGGGUUUGAUAAGUACUUAUGAGAUAGUAAAGGGGAGGACUUCUAGGGAAUCAAUAUGGCUAGUGAAGGCUAGUGUAACUAAAGAAGGUUAUGCCUAUGUAAUGGGUGAUAAUAUGAAUAUUGGGGAGUUUGAAGUUAACGUGAACAUAAAUGGAAAAGUCAAAUAACUUAGUAAAGUGUUCAAAAGUCAACUUAAAUGGUUAAUGCUCCCAAUCCAAGUGUAGCUAGCACUACCUACUUGAAUACUUGGGAUGGUUAAUUGAAGCCACAUGGUUGGCCACCUUGGUCAAGAAAGGUGAGGAGAGUACUCAUAAAGCUUGUAUUGAGCCGUGGUGUUUCAAAAUGUUAUUCCAAAGUCCUUAACGGUAGAAUUGAAAAGGAAUAGUCCUCUUGCUUACUAAUCAAGGGUAUAGUUAUAUAGUGAAAAAGUCCUAAGGGUUAAUGGGACUUAGUGGACAGGCUUUUGGGCACUUUUCUAGCAGUAGUGUUCGCAAACACUAUCAUGGAAGGAGAAGGAUUUCGUAAUGAUUAAAGAAGGGAUAUUAGAAAUGGUGUUCCCCCAUGUUUUGGGGCAUUUUAUAAAUGUUAAGGAGUAGUCAUAGGAUGAACAUUCAUGGAUGGAUGAUCUAGUUUUAGAGAGAUAAGAUUGUGGUACAUGUGGUUUUAGAUUAUUAAUAAAAUAGUGAGAAGGGACAUGACAUUAAUAUAAAAGGUUGUUAUGCCCAUGGUACCUUUAGGUGUUUGAAAUGAGAUUAAACACAUGCAAGUGCAAAGCUAGUAUGGCUUUGAGAUCACUUCUAGAGGUUAUAAGUACCUUAAGUUAGGAUGAAGACUUAUAGAAAUUAUAAAUAAGACUCUUUCAGGCUUGAUAGAAGUAUUCAUUUCUACAUUGACUAUUAUCUAUUAAAUGAUAUGACAAUUUUAGAUAUGUACUAUUUUCCCUACAUUACUAAUCUUUUAACUAUUUAGGGCAAAACUAUUAGUUCACCAAGUUGGAUUUUGCUUUUGGAUACUGACAAGUUCCAAUGGCCAAGGAGGAUGUUUCUAAGAUUGCUUUCCAUACAUCAUUUCAUUUAUACAAGUUUUUAGUGAUGCUGUUAGGGUUGAAUAAUGUUUUAACAACUUUUCAGUAGAUGAUGGAUAAAGUUUUUUGUGAUAUGCCAAAAAUGACUACUAACUUCAUUGCUGAUGUCUUGAUCCACUCUAAGGGGAUAUAAAAAGAGCAUGUAUAUGAUAUUUGCAAGGUGUUAGAUCAAUUAUAAAAAGUUUAUUUGAAAUUAAAGUGAUCAAAGUGUUGGGUUCAAAAAUACAACUUAUCAUUAGUAUUGCAUUUCUCAUGAAGGUUUGCAAGUUGAUUUUGACAAACUUAUGAUUAUUAUGAAGUUCCCUAUUAUAAAGUGUGUAAAUGAUGUAUGAUGUUUCCUUGGCAAGGUGCAAUAUCUUAGUUGUAUUAUUGUUCAUCUUUCUGAUCAUAUUGCACCAUUGCAAGUGUUGCUAAAGUUAUCUAUAUUGUAUUUUACCUAGUUUGAGGAUUGUGAACGAGCAUUUAUAGAUCCCAAAGUCCCAAUAUUCUUGAUUUACUUCAUGGUGGCAGCCUCGGGAGUGGAGGAUUUCCAUCGUAGCUCUACAUUAUCAAUUAUCUUUUCUUACUUAAAGUGAACUACUCUAACCUUCAUGUGUACUUAUCAAAUAUUAUUAAAAGGUGAUUAUGCUAUAGUUAUUUCACUAUUGAAGGGGAAAUACUUGGUUGGUCAUAUAACUUAAUGGAUUUUAAAACUUUAGAUAUAUGACUUGGUGGUAGUUUAUUAUAUAAGGAGUUAUAUAAUUGAUGUUGAUGCCUUUCUCAAGCUCCUCUCUCUACUUUGCUAUCUUCUCAUAUUCUUGAUGAGUCUAUGAUUCAAGCAUUAUUAGAUUUUCCAGAUGACAAUUCCAUACUAUUGGCAAUUAUUGUAUUUGAUGUUCAAUAUCUAUAAGGUGUGAAGCUAGAUUUACUUUCUUUUAACAAGGUUUAUGAGGCUUAAAUGAUUAAGUUAUGGAUCCGAAGCCUUUAUGAUGGGUUUGAGAAUCUUGCAUCAUUUACUAAUGACUUGCUAUUUCAGCAUUUACAUUCUUAAUAUUGUUUUAAGAACAACCUUCUUUACUUUGUGAGGAUUGAUCCUAAUGACCAUUUUGUAAGACACAAAUCCCUAUGUUCCAAACUAAAGCCAAAAGUGUGCCACAUGGUAGUGGUUGAAAUAGAAGUUCAACAAGUAUAACAUGUUUGGACCAAAAGCUUUAACUCAGAAAGUCGAGAGUGGGAGUGGAACUCCUAAAGAAGUGCUCGAGAAAUGAGUAUGAAACAAUCAAUGAACAAGUCUCUAAAAAAGGACAUAAGAGGGACCAACACAUGACAGGUGUCAUGAUACAGGGAAGUGUCAGGACCAAGUCCGAGAUGGAGUCUGAAAUGGAGUCCAAGGAGGAGUCUAAGAUGAAGUCUAAGAUGGAAUCCGAAAUAGAGUCCGAGAAGGAGUUUGAGAUGGAGUCCAAAAUGGAGUCCGAGAUGGAGUCCAAGAAGGAGACUGAGACCAAGACCAAGACUGAGACCGAGACCGAGACCAAGAUGGAGUCCGAGAUAGAGUCCAAGAAGGAGUCUGAGAUGGGGACUAAGACUAGGAUUGGGACCGAGACUGAGAUCGAGACCGAGACUAAGUCCGAGUCUGAAUUCGAGUCCAAAUCUGAGUCCGAGGGUGAAAGCCCAAAGCAAUCAUCUCCUAAACCCCGAGGGGAUUGGUGAGUUCCAAAAGUAUAGUAGGGGGAGGACUCCAAUAAAGCCAGUUUGGAUAAAAAAGGCUAGUGUGACCAAAAAAAUUUAUACUCAUGUGGUGGGUGAUAUUAUAACCAUUGAAGAGUCCAAGGUUUGAGUGAACAUGGAUGAACAAGUGGGGUAACUUAGUGAAGUAUUCAAAAGCCUGACUCUAACUCCCUCAGGAGAUUGAAUGUAAGUGUGAGUGAGGGGCACUACCUAUUUGGAUACCUAGCAUGGCUCAUCAGAAUCUUGGUUUAGCCACAUAGCUAGGGCAUCUAAGGGUGGAAGGUGGGGGCAGUACUCAUGAGGCCUAUAUAGGGCCACUAGUGUUUUAAAAUGUUGUCUUAAAAUCCUAGAUUGUGGAAAGGAAGAAGAACAAUCCUCUUGCAUAGUGACUAAAGGCAUAGUCAUGUGAUAAGGAAGUCUUAAAAGUCAGUGGGAUUUAGUGGUUGGGCCCCCGAGCCUUGACCCAGGGGCAGUGUUGGUGAGUAUGGCCGUGGAUGGAGAGGGACUUGGUGGGGACUAAAGAAGGGACAUUGGGGAAUGGUGUUCUCUAUAUCUCCAAACUUUUUAAAGACAUUAAGGCGUGGUUCUGAGAUGACCACCUAUGGACAGAUGGCCUAAUUUUUGAAAGACUGGACUAUAGCAUAGAUGCUUUUAGACUACUAAUGAGAUAAAGGUAUAUAGAUAUGGCCUUAGUGUAAUGGGCUGAUAGGUUAGUAGCACCUUUGAGGUGUCUGUUAUAGGAUUGGAUAUAUGGAGCAUUUGGACCAAGUGCAAAGUCUAAAUGGCAUAGAUGCCAUUCAUAGGGUUAGCAUGUCCCCAAGUUUGGAAUAAAACUUAUGGAGGUUGUGAGUAAGACUUCUCUAAAUGGUCAAAAAGUGUGGUUAAAUGACUAAAGUAGAAUAGAAAAUUUAGUCACUUAUAACUUGGUAUUAAAAUUUUUCCUUAGUUCGACUUUUAUUAAUGAUGAAGUAUACCAUUUGUAUUGGCAUCAGAAAGUCCCAAGAGUGGGCCUAUCCUCGAGGAGUAGCAUGUUGAGAGAGCAUGACUCUCCACUUUGGUUCAUACGUGAACAUAUUGGCAAUGUGGUGGAUAGAAAGGGGCCAAUAAAGGAAUGACUUUGGAUCUUGGGAACAAUAGAAGGUUUUCCUCAUAGAGUUGAGGAUGUGAUUUAUAUAAACGUUUGAGUUAGUAAACUAACUAAUAUGAUUAUGGUAAACAAUUAUAGUUGGGAUUACAAGAAAGAAACUCUGAGACAAUAAAGGAGUUAGAAGAUUAUCCUCAUAUAGUUGAGGAUGGUGCUUAUGAAUUGAUGUUUUUUGAUGGCCAGAUUUUUUUUUCUCAUUCUUGGUGAUAUCUAGGAACCUCCUGUGAUUGUGAGAAAGGGCUUUGAUAGCUCCCCAGCUAGUGUGUGAGGAAUAAGAGAGAACAAUGCAAUGUAAAAAACAAAGUUACCCUUGUGGUACGGAAAACCAGGAUCCCUUGUGUACGGUCGGGGCUUUCCCCGCGCAAAAGGGUUUUCUUAUUUAGCUAUGGCGAAGUGAAGAUGACGCUUUAGAGCACGGGAUCACCUAGGGUUCGUGGAAUGGCAUCGAGCAGUAGGCAUAGGCUCAACAAGGAGUAGAGUUAAUGACCAUAAGAGGGCAAAUAUAGAUGAGGACAUGUGUCCUUGAAAUGGUAACUAAGGCUACCUUUAAUAAAAGUUGGAAUUGCAAGGUGUAAUCAAAGGAUAAGUUGAUGUUUUUAUCAUAUGGGAAAAUAGUCUAAGGUGUAAAAACAGCCCAUGUAAAAUAAAGGAUAAGCAAAUGUCAGAGUAACACUUGCAAAGAUGGUCUUUAUAAAUAAAAUGUGAAUACAAGAAGUUAUAUUUAAGUGUGAUGGCACUUCAAAAGUAGCCAAGAAACUAAGACCUUAUAGGACAUCAGAUUAAUAAAGUCCAAAACCUAGAUGACCCAUUAGAGUCAAGAGAUGGUCCCAAAGGCUUGAAGGAAUCCCAUUUGGAUGAAGGUGUGUUGUACCUUACGGAAGACUAAGAGGAUUAUAAGAUCCAAGUAUGAGAACAAUGGGCAUUUUAUUGAUGGCGAAAAAUGUUAUACUAAAAUCGUGAAAAGGUGUUUAUAGAAGAUAACAACUUUGAUAAAAAACUGUAGGUGAACACUAUAAACCAGUGCUAACCAAUAGUUGGUAUAAGAAAGAACUACUUUGGUUUUGAUGAACUUAGACAUAUGUGGAAAGUGUCUUGAAAGUAGGCUCAUGGAGCUAAUAGGGUGGAGACCCCAAAUGUUUUAAAAGAUGAUGCUUUGAAGUCAAGUUGAUGGGUUCAUAAGAACUUUUUACUAAAAGAAUCCCAAUGGAAAUGGGAUUGACAUAACUUAAGUUGGAAGGCAUGUGACUCUAGUGCAUUGACCCAAAUAAAGAUGGAAGUAUGGAAUCACUAAUAAUGAGUUGUAAGACUUGACGAAUAUAAGGUAACUAAACAAAAGGUAUGGCCUAAUUGACUGGAUUUGUGGAAAUUAACUUCCUAAGCCUUCUUAUUGGGAUAAGAAGGAGGUUAGAUAUAUCCCUUAAAGGAUAAAUUUGCUUAUGUUGCAAUAUAAUGAGUCAAUAAUGUAAAAGAAAAUACUCAUUAUCAAAAAAGGCCAUAAUUAGAACACCUAAACACUCUCAAACACCUAGAAAUGGUGUUUGGUAUUAUAAGGGCAUUAGAUAAGGCCCAAAAGAAUAAAUCCUUAACAAAUGAUGGAUAAAAAAUGUUAUUCAAGGUCCAAAGUUGCGGAGAUAAAAGAAGUUUGUCUAUCUGAAUUGGACAAAGUUAGAAGGAUUUUGGCAAGGUUAGUGACGGGCAUACAAAGGCCCAUGAAUAGUAAUAUUAAUCCUGAUGUAUGAGAUUAUAAGAUGAAUAUAUCCAAAUUGAAGAAUCACUCCCUAGAUCAUUGAGUAAGUUCAUCCCUAAGAAUACUUGCUAAAGCAUAGUAAAAAGUGCAAAACUAACCUCCUGAUCAAGAGGGGAAUAACCGAAAGGAACGUACAAAGCCAAAAGUAGGUAAUAAAGAGAUAAGACCAAACUAUAAGAAUUGAAAAACAUAGCCAAGGGUAGUUAUGCAAGUUAGGAAUGGGGAAUCAAGCAAGUGCUCGAAAGUGUUGCUAUUAACAACCAUAAUACUAUUGUGAAUUUAAAGUAUGGAAUUGCCUAUAUUAAACUAUAUGGCAGUUAAAAAGCUUGUGAAAUGAGAAGUUUUGGCAAACUAAGGGAUAGAGUCCCUUCAAUGUUCCCAAAGAAUUUUCUGGGUAGGUUACUACCUAGAAAGACAAGUGUAAAUGGUUUAUAAAAAUUCACAACAUCAAAGUGGUGUAGUAGAAGCGUGACCUUGAAGCUUGCCAUAAGGCGAGGCUAUCAAGGUUGGGGAAGUAAUUCCCAAGUGUUUAAAAAGGUGGCUUUGAACAAACGUUAAUAUUUGAGGACUUUCACGCUUAUGCAUAAAACCAUCUUACACUAGUCAUAUGACUUGCUAAGUAAAAAUGGCAAGUCAGAGAAACAAAGACCCUAAUUGAAGGACUUCAAAAGGAGUGGCCCAUAAGGCCAAGCAUAGAGGAGCCCAUACACAAUUAUAUGUUAAUUAAUUAGCUUGUCAAGUGAGAAGACUUGGAAGCUUAGAGUGUUAUGAUCCAGCGCAAAAAGACAAAGAUCUAGUCACCCUAGAUUAUACUACACCAUCUCUUGAGGUUCCUCACCACCCAACCACCCCUAAGCUACCUCAAAAGCUCCAUUGUGCUGCCGCUCCAUUGUGAGCCCUAAGGUAAGUUAAACCCUUUACCCUAACAUGCCUUAAUAUACCCUUAAGCCUCCCUUUGACUGAUGUUAACCACGUGGUCAAAGUUAGUGCCUAACAAUUCUUCCCCCCAACAAAGUUCUUGUCCCAAGGACAAACCCAAUGCUUUCUUGAUGUAUACAGCUGUGGAAGAUGGACUAGAAGCUUGAGUAGGGUUCCCCAAAAAGGGUGAUGACCGUUACAACCUGUCACUUCAAAAUAGUACACCUUUUAACUAACUAAGAUAAAAUACCAGAUGAAAUUUCACCCCAGCUAGUAGCCACACCCGAUAAGCCGCUUUACCAAUGCGCUCCAACACUUUAUAUGGACCAGCAUAUCAAUAGAAAAGUUUAUCACUCUUCCCUGUUCAUAAAGGCACUAAGGUGUUUCGCUGCUCAUUUGACAGAAAAAUCACUCAUACAAAGACAAGAUCACCCAUGUUAUAUUCCCAGAAUUGGCAAUGCUCAUUAGCAAACUUUUCCGCUUUAUCCUAAGCUACUUGUAAAUUCCAUUUGCACAUCUCCAAAAUCUCAUUAAGUUUUAUGGCUAGAUCAAUCGCCUCAGAAUUAAGCUUAUCUUGAACGUCCUUACUCAAAUGCAAUCUUAACUCCACCACUAUUCAGGGAUGCCUUCCAAAUAUAACAAAGUAAGGAUUUAGCUUCAUUCCACUGUGUUGGCUAUUGUUAUAAGCAAAUUGCACCAACGGAAGAUAUAAAUCCCACUAUCCUUGCCUUUGGCCAACACUAUAAUGUAGCAUAUCCUCCACCACCUAAUUCACACACUCAGUUUGCCCAUCUGUCUGAGGAUGAUCUCCACUUGAGAGUUUCAAAGUCAUUUAUAUAGCCUUCAGAAAGCUCUUCCAAAAUCCAUUUGUAAACUUUGAAUCUCGAUCACUAAUGAUGUCUUAUAGCAAACUAAAAUCAAGAAAAACCUUCUCCAAGUAGACUAUAGCCAAGUCUGAGGCAAUGACAGUCUUCCGAAGAGCUAACAACCACACAUACUUUGUCAAUCAAUCCAUUAUAACCCAUAUUUACUCCUUUUGCCUCUAUGUUCAUGGUAAACAAAUGAUGAAGUCCAUAGAGAUAUUACACUAACAGCUCUAAGGAAUAAGUAAAGGUUGCAAAAGUCCCCCCGGCUUCUCUCGUGGCACCUUAACCCACUGACAGAGCUCACAUGAUUUACAAUACUUAAGGAUAUCAACUUUCAUAUUCCUCCAAUAAAAAUUAUGCUUAAUCAACUCAUAUGUCUUCUUCCCCCUAAAAUGUCUGGCCUCUAGACGAUUAUGAUAGUGGAAUAAAACUUGAGUAAUUAACACAUCCACCCGUGGCAAAUAGACACAGCCAUUGUAGUGGAGAAUCCCAUCCACCAAUGAGAAAGGGGCUUCCAUUUGGUCUCGCAAAGAGGCCACCUCAGCAUUCUGAGCCUGAGCACGCUUAAUCAAUUGCCCAAACUCGCUAACCAUUUUACUCAAAUGAUGACAAAACCGUGUUUGUAACACCGUCACAUGACGAACACGAGAUAAAGCAUCUACCACCACAUUCAAUUUUCCCGGAUGAUGCUCAAUAGGAAACUCCCUAAACUCCAUGAGUUUAACCAUUUAAUGAACUUGCCUAGUGUUCAACUCCUGUGUGAAAAGAUACGUAAGUGAUUUAUGAUCCGUCAACACUAGAAACACUGCACCAUAAAGAUAGUGUUGCCACGUUCACAAAGCAUGAACAAUAGAGAGUAACUUGCUCAUAUAUGGAAUAGUGUUACUAUGUGGAAUUCAAAGUUUGACUCUCAUAUGCAAUAGGUUGUCCCUUUUGCAUAAGAACUCCUCCCAGUGCAUAACCACUUGCAUCACAUGUCACCUCGUAAAGUUUUGAUAGAUUAGCAAUAUGAAGCAUCAGAGCCUGGCUCAACAAUCGUUUUAGCACUACAAAACUCUCAUCUUGUGGCAUCUUCCACUCAAAUGGUACAUUUUUGCCCAACAACUAUGUUAAGGGAAUAGCCACCUCCGCAAACUUAUGCUGGAAAUGUCGGUAGUAACUAUCUAUACCAAAAAAACUGCAUAACUCAGCCACUGAAGUUUGUGUAGGCCAAUUCUCCACCACAACCACCUUUCUUGGAUCCGUCUUGACACCCUUAGAUAUCACAAUAUGGCUUAGAUAUUCCAUCUCUGAUUUUGCAAACUCACAUUUGCUUUUCUUCAUAUGAAGUUUGUUGUCACAAAGUAACAAAAGAACAUUGCACAAAUGCACCUUAUACUCUUCCAUAUUCUUGCUGAAAACAAAAAUAUCAUCCAAGAAAAUCUCCACAAACUCAUGAAGAUAACACCCAAAUACCUUUGUCAUCAACCAAGUAAAUGUGGCUAGUGCAUUCAUCAAACCAAAUGGCAUAACUGUAAACUCAAAAUGCCCAAAGUUUGUGUUGAAUGCCAUCUUAGAGAUAGAUGCAUCAUCCAUUGCAAUCUAAUAAUAUCCACUCCUCAAAUCAAUCUUGGUAAACACUUGUGCUUCACCAAACUUAUCUAAGAUAUCAUCCACACGUGGCAUUGGCAUCUUAUCCUUCACUAUUUUUUUGUUCAAGGCACAGUAGUCAAUACACAUCCGUAUUGAACUAUCCUUUUUUUUCACAAGCAAGACCAGAGCACCAAAUAAAGACUUACUUGGUUGAAUAAAUCCAAACUCAAGUAACUCCUUGAUUUGUUGUUAAACAUUUUGCUCCUCUUCAUAACUUAACCGAAAUGGACACCAGUAAAUUGGCCAUGUCCCCAGCUCCAACAUAAUCCCAUGCUCUACACCUCAUAAUGAAGGCAACCCAUGAGGAAGUUCAAAUGGAAAAACAUUGGAAAACUCAUCAAGUAUAUCCCAUAUUGCUGCUUCUCCCCCACACGUGCCUUAGUCCCCCAAGUCAUUAACAAAUAGUAAAUAACUCAAAGUGUUUUUCCAUUAUAACAAACUCGCUUCAAAGAUGUAGUAGAGAGCAUAACAACUGAAAGUUGAAAUCCCUCUCUAAACUACACAUCUUUAAUGCCACCGUACUCCAGCAAGACACGCUUAAUACUCCACUUUAUCUCCAAAUCCACUUUCACCAACCAUGGCACCUAAGAAUGAGAUCCACAUGAUAGAUAUUCACAAGAUAAAAAGUCUCCCUAAGUGUGGUAAUGUCCAAGCUCGCCGUAAUGAUGACAACCUUGUCUAUAAUUCUUCACAAAGAACUUCUGCUUUUUUGACCCCUUUACAUCCAAAGUAAUCACCACAGACUUCAACUUGUGGUGCUUAUUCCCAUCCUUGUGUCCACGGCGAUUAUCACAAUGAUUCUUGAUAGAAGGACUCUGCAAACGCUUGUGAGACUUGUGUUUGUUAUUGUCAAAUCAACGAGCCAUAUCAAAAAGCUCCUCUAAACUCUUUGUAGGUUGAGAAUGACGCAAGUGUAACCGCAUGCUCUCACUAUGAAGGCCAUCAAUAAAGUAGGACUUGUUUUGAUCUGGAACCUUCAUUGGAACACAACUAAUCAAGCGAGUAAUCUUCUCAAUAUAGUCCCCAAACAUCAUUUUCCCUUGCUGGAAAUGUCAAAGUUUUGUGUGAGCAUUCUCCAUGUCGUAGUGAGAGGAAAAAUGUAAAUAGAAAACAGCCUCAAACUCAUCCAUGGUAGAUAUAGGUGGUUUCUUAUCCACAACACAAGACUCCUCAAGCCAAUUCCACCACCGCAGACCCGCAUCAUGCAAAACUAUUGGAAUAGUGUCGCGAAUAUGACUUUGGGUAUCGAAAGUUACCUGUUGACUAAUCCUUACAGACACUCUUUCCUUACUGCCACGACGGCAAGAGGUUGGUAUUGCUGGACCCUUUAUCAGCCCCUCUUGUGCUAGUGAAGUUAACUGGGCAUUUCAAAUGUACUUAGACCAAACGAGCAUAAGGACGGAAUUCUUAUGUGUUAUUAGCUAAGCAUACUUAGCCCUGUAAGGAGUUCCCGUCUCGUUUUGUCUUGCACUGGCUAGUGACAAGAACCCUCGCGUAUUGAGAUUAGUCCCUCAAUAUUUUUGGAUGAUAGCUUACCAUGUCUGCUAAACACCCUCGCUAUCAUGCCCUUUGUGUUAGUCUCAUUUCAGUCCCAAAUGCUAUUUAUGGAAAGUGUCUAGAUUUGCUCAUUUGGCAUAUUUACGGAAUGUAGAGAUUGUCUUGAACAUAAUGGUUUUUAUCCCGUGUCCAAAUUUGCAAUUUAGCGCCAUUCCAUAUUUAGUAGGUUUCGAGCUUGUCCUAGAGACUAACUCCUGAUACUAAGGGAGGCUUGGGGUGAAAGCCCAAAGCAUGUGUUCCUCAAGGAAGGGGAGGUGGGGGCGGGGGCGGGGGCGGGGGUUGUGGGGGGUUUCAAAUGUAUAGUAGGGAUAGUGGGUAAGUCGGGCAUGGUUGACCAACCUGAGGCAUAAUUUAGCUCCCACUUGCGUGUCUGUCUUUGUUCUAUAUCUGGCUUGGGUCUAAGCCCAAGUUCCAUUUCAUGCUAGCUGGUGGAGUACCCAUAUCCUUGCGUUAGGCCACCGGUAUGCCGAAAUAGCGCCAGACGCCGUUUAGCUCCGUUUUGCGUGCUGGUCUUGGUAGUGGGAUGCUGGUUACUCCAAGACUAUUCCAAGUCGCUCCGGGCUUUUGUCCUUUCGCUCCUUGGGCUGUAUGCUUGGGAGUUGCUCUGUGGUUUGGUUCCGUCACUCCUUGGCUCCAUGCUUGGGAGUUUGGCACCAUUCUUUUGUUCAGUGGCCCAAGGCCUUGAACCUCGGAUUCCGCACCACUGUCCUUUGGACACGUGGCAUAUGUCAUGUGGCAUAAAGAGGGUUUAGGUUCCACUUCGUGGUGUUAUCCUAUGGUAAAUCACCAUAGGAUAAAUGGUCAAAACCAUGUGUGCUACAUUUGGUAUCAAAGGAUGAGUUUCCACGAAUAUUAUCCAAUAAGAUUGGGCAACUAAUCUCGUUGCAUACGCAAAGAUGAAAACGAUGAUCCAAGUGGGUACACAUUUGGGUGCAAAGGCUUCACAUUGGUACUUUGAGUAUGGAUUUGGUUACCUUUUUGUACCCUAAUUGUAUGAGCUUGCUCUUGGGCUCAUAGGAUGGAAAGAGUUGUACUAUUUAUAUGAGUUUGCACUUGGGCUCGUGAGUGAGGUACAUUAGCAACUCAAGGUUAUGCUUUGGGUUGGCAGGAUUAAUGUUAACCUAUCGAUGGUUCCAUGAGUUGUUCUAUGUACCAUAGGUAAAAACAAACUUCCCUAGGUUUGCUAUGAGUGUGGUCCAUAGCUAUUUAGCACGGCACUAGUGGAUUGCCAUGCUCUCUAAUUAACUUUUCUUGGAUUGGACUGAAGGCAAUAUGAACGCAAGCUUGAGGUUUAGUCAAAGAUGAGACCGAAAAAAGAGUUGUCAGAGACAAAGGAUCAAACACAUAAAUCAUUUUCUCUUCUUUGAGGGAUGAUUUGCAACGAGGUGUUAACUCAUUGCUCGUGUUCACAUCAUGCAAUCAAAAGUCCCUAUCUUGAUGCAUGUUGGAAAUGAUAGUCUUGCAAAUAGUGAGUCGUGGGAUGGAUAGCGGUGAAAUGUUAAACCACUUUAUCUAGGCUUGUUGUUUGAAGACUUGGAUUACAAUGCUCAAUUCUUUUCUAGAGAACCUUGCUAUUGCUCCUUGAGUAGUUUGGUGUUGGAUUAGUUUUGAGUUUGGUCAGAUAGAAAGCGCUAUGAGCUUGUCCGUGUUGUGAAAAAAAGUUAGUGGUGUUAAGUGUUGUAGAUUUCUAUUGCUGGAGUUUAGCAUUUAUGCUGCAUUUUGUCAAAUUAAGUUGGCACUUGAUAUUCACAUAAACCUUUGAAAUAAUGACAUAAGCAUUGCUCGUGGUGUUGCUUGAUUGAUGAUCAAGACAUUGUGAUUUCUUAUAUCAUAUCCAUGUGAUAAUGAGUAAUACGUUUACGAAAUCUCUUGGUUAAACAAUGAUUAACCCCCAAAGUGGUUGAUGGUGAAGCUAGUCUACUUGCACGAAGUAACAUUAUAGUAGUUUUGACUAGAUUCUCAAUGGUGGUCUGUUAUGCUAAACUUAAGUUGGUUCCUUGUUUCCUUGAGGGUUUGCCCAUAAGGUAUUGGAAAGGGUUAUAACAUUCACUUGCUAUGGCUUGUUAGUUUAUCCGUUAGCACUUGGAGUAGAUUGUUGGAUUGAGAAGAUGUGUAGUUAAAGCAUUAACAUCACUAGCACUUGUGUUAGUGGAAGUGGCAUUGUUAUUCAAAUGAUGAGGAAUUUUCCUUAAAGCUUGAUUUUCUAUGUCAUUUUUCUUGUUAAUGUUUGGGCUUUGCAUUGGAUCUUGAAAAUGGUUGAAGAAAGUGUUAGUGUAGUGUAGAUAUCCGAAGAUGUGGUCUUCGUGAUCAAGUCUUAGAUGUUCAUUUUGCAUUUUGUGGAUGUCAGUGUUGGAUGUCAGAAGUAUGGGAAAAAAAAAUGUUCAAUGCUUAAGCAUACUAUAGGUCAUGAGAAUUUUAUGUUAAGGUGAACCUAUGUGAAGUGGUUGAGUCCUGAAAGUUUAUAUUCCUAGACUGAGAGUCAUUCUUUCUCUAGGAUGGAAAAUUUUCCACAAAUUUUCUUAGGCUUUUCCAAUGGCUAAUCUAUUGAUCACUUUGUCCAAAAACCUUUCCAUUUUCAUAAAGCCAAUACAAAUUAGUGAAAAGGUUGGAGUUGACUUUGGUUGGCUUAGAUCUUAGUAAGUAGUUUGUAUGAUGCAACUUGAAAGAGGAUGCUAACUUUUGGGGCUAAGGCAAUUGAGUUGGAUGAAGUCUGGAGUUGGUAUAUAAAAGUGGUCAUUGCGCUUUUCUAAGAAAGGUGACUCUUAUGCCUUUCUUCUGUAGCGUUGUGCUUGGUAGCAGGUUGCACCUUGCAUUUUAUUUAGACUCUAUGAAAAUAGUGAGCUCUCACUAAUCCUAACUUGGUCUUGGUGGUCUUGUGCCUUGGCUGAGGAUAAUGAUGUUUAACUUAGUUGUUUGAGUUUGAGAUGUUGGUACAUGUAUUAUAGCUUUAUCUAUGAGGAGGUUGUAUACCAUCUAUCUUAUGGUCUUCACUUUAGUUUCAACCUAACUGAGUGUUGAUUAUGCAUAGCUAGCCUCUUCAAGGCAUGCUCAAAGCUAGUGGCUAAAUGUAUUAGUGAGCUUAUUACAGUUGAGUUGGAUUCGAGUGGUCAUUUAGUUCAUGCUUGUCCAUGAACCUUUAUCUUGUACCUGGGGUAUUACGUUCAUGUUAGACAAGUAUAUGACUCAAUAACGUGAGUUUAGUGUUUGGGUCUUGUGAAAGGCAAAUUGGAAAGUGAUUGUUGGUUGUUUUGCAACUAGUGAUUGCUUGUAGAUUUUGUCAAAGACUGUGACACUUACUUCACUUGAUGAUGAUUCAGCAAUGAUGGGCUUGCUUUACCGGAUGGUGUUGCAGAGGAUCGUGUCGUUAAACUUACAUGGGUUUUCCAUGUUGGCAUGUCAACUCUACUUCUGUUGAUAUCAUUUGGUUGCGUUUAGUUCAUGGUGUUGGAUUUCAUUAAGUCUUGGACGUGGUGAAUCACUCCUUGAUAAUGUGUUAUCUGUAACUGAGUUUUGCUGAAGGAUUAGUCUCAGAUACUGAGUUAAGUAUCUUCGACCUUGGUUAGCUUAGUUGCUAAGGAGUUUUAAGUGGUGAUUCACUCAUGCUUUCUUUUAACUUUGUUAUGGUGUUAAUGGCAUUGAAGUGAUGCCUUAUCGUUAACAUUGUUGAUGUUGAGAUUCGAGUGAGAUAAGAUGUCUUUCUAGAAGAUUGAUAUUGAGUUUCAUUAGUCUCGAUGAAAGAUAGUGUUGAUGAUUUGGCUAUGGCUUUGUGCUAUUGGCAUUUCGUGCAUUGCUAGUUAGCAACUAUAUUGAUGUUCAAACGAACUGAGUGGCAAGUUUGAGUUAGUUGUGUUUUAGACAAAAUUAUUUAGUAAGGGUUGAGCUUUGGCUUUUCCUUGAAAAGUGAUUUAGUCAUGGGCUAUAUUACCUCUACAAGCGGAAAAUAUAGUGAUCAAUAUUGAAAUGUUUGAAUCCUUAUAGGAUUUGAGUUGGGAUAUAUUGAUCAUUGGUGAUUCUUCUUGUACUUGCUAUAAAAUAAGUUAUGUCUUGCUAUAAAUGGAUUCAUGGAGGAUCGUUUGGUGAUCACUUGUUGAGUAUAACUUUGUUAUGCAUAGCUCUAUAGGCUUCUUCGAGCUUUUGGUUUUUUGAGUUUUUAUACUCAUUGUUCCAUUUAUUAAAAGUAGUUGAGGAAGGCAUUUUGGCUAAUUAGCUUCGAUGUUGAAGGUGGCUUUUACAUCUAGCAAUCAUUGGUAAUGAUUGACUAUCAUCUAAGGAUACUUGAUUAUCUUUAUCAAAAGAUUUUUGCUUGAUUAUUGUUGAUAUAGAAUGAUUUGCCAUUCUAUAGGAUGGUAGAUUCUUUCUUCAAUGAUGAUUAUGCAUCUCUUUAUUAAUGGGAUGAUUGAUGAUCUUUUAUAAUAGUUAGUGAUUCUCUUUGAUGGUUUUUGGCUUUUCGCAUUACCACAUGUUCUUUGUGGUUUGCUUUGGAUUGGUCUCUUGGGUUUGAAACAUCACUAGGAUGUUGCUGAUGCUUGCUUAAGCAACUCUGGUUCCUUGAUAUUGUUGAUAUUUAGAUUGGCUUCUAUGAUAGUUGGCAUGAAUGGGUGUUUGCUGGUCUUACCGCAUUUAUUCUGUUCUGUUGAUUAUUGCUCAGGUUAGUUUUGAUAGAUUGGGAUGUUAUUUCUUUUGGGUAAUACAUUUGUGAGCAUUGUGCUUGUUGAUCAAUGAUACUUUGUGUUCUUUGAGUUAUCUUUAGUAAGUUGUUGGCAUACUAUCUAUACUCUUCAGUAGUUAAGUUUUAUCAUUGAAUUUUCUUGAUGAUACGUUGACUAUUGAAUUUUGUUGAAUAGUGAAUCUUAUCUUUUCCAAUUACGAUGAUCUUGGUGAUUCUGCAAGUAGGGGCAUAUCACACUUUUGUAAGCUAGGUGACACCCAGAGUAGCAAGGGACACUCCAUUGGUCAUUUCCUUAUUGGCGACGGCCAGAAGGUGUCUGAGUAGGUAGCGCAUUCGUGUUAGACAAAGAGGUUACUGUAAGUGACUAAUUUUUCCAUUUUACUUUAGUCACUUAAUUGCACCUCCAACCACUUAGAGGAGUCUCAUUCACAACCUCCAUAAGUCCCAAUUAGGACUUGGGGCUUGCUAGCCCCGAGAAUGGCAUCCAUGCCACUCAACCUUUGCACUUGGUCCAAGUGCUCCACGUGUCUAAUCUCAUGAUUGACACCCCAAGGCACCACCAACAUAUCGGCCCGUUACACUAAAGCCAUGCCCAUUCACCUUGGUCACACCGGUGGUCUAACGCCAUCUACAUCAUAGCCCCGUCUCUCAAAAACUGGCCAUCCGUCCAUGAGUGAUCAUCCUAGAUCUACUCCUUAACGUCCUUAGGAUGCCCGCAGACAUGGGGAAUAGCCUUCCCCGACAACUCUUUUCCAGUCCCCACCAAGUCCCUUUUUAUCCAUGGCCGUGUUCGCCAAUACUGCCACUAGAUCAAGGCUUGCAGGCCCGACCUCUAAGUCCCACUAUACUUUGGGACUUUUUCACCAUGUGACCGUAUCCUUGGUCCCUGCAUUAGAGGACUGCUCCUCUUCCCUUUCACCAUUUGGGACUUUGGGACAAUAAUUUGGAACACCUUGGCCUUACGCAAGCCUCAUAGGUACUCUCCCCACCUUUCGCCUUUAGGUGCUCUAGCCAUGGGCUUAGAGCGAGGUUCCGUUGAGCCACACCAAGUAUCCAAGUAGGUAGUGCCACCCACACUUGGACUGGGAGCAUCGGCCAAUUGAUCUCCCGGGGGAACUAGAGCCGGCUCUUGAACACUUCACCAAGCUACCCCGCUUAUCGGUCCGUGUUCACCUAGUCUUGGACUUCCCAGUGGGUAGCUCAUCACCCAACACUGGGUACUGCCUUCCUGGGCUAAACUAGCUCCACUGCAGUCCUCCCCCUUACUAUACUUUUGGAGCUCACCAAACCCCCCAGGGUCUAGGAGACGAAUGCUUUGGGCUUUCACUCUCUCAGACUCGGACUCAAACUCAAACUCAAACUCAGACUCAAACUCAAACUCGGACUCGGACUCGGACUCGGACUCAGACUCGGGCUGGGGCUCGGGCUCGGUCUCAGCCUCGGCCUCGGGCUCGGUCUCGGUCUCGGUCCUGAUCUCGGUCUCUUUCUCGGUCCCGGUCUCGGUCUCGGUCUCGGUCUCGGUCUUGGUCCCGGUCUUGGUCUCGACCUCAGACUCCAUCAGGGGUCCUUCUCGGACUCCAUCUUGGACUCCAUCUCGAACUCCAUCUUGGGUCCAUCUCGGACUCCAUCUCGGGUCCAUCUUGGACUCCAUCUCGGACUCCAUCUCGGGUCCAUCUCAGACUCCAACUUGGGUCCAUCUCGGGUCCAUCUCGGACACUUCCACGUGUCAGGUGUUGGUCCUUUUAGGUCCCUUUUUGGAGCCUCACUUAUUGCUCGCUUCAUGCUUGUUCCUCGAGCACUUUGUCGGGAGUUUCACUCCCGCUCUCGACCUUUCAAGUCAGAGCUUUUAGUCCAAACGUGUUACGCUCGUUUGGCUUUCGCUUUGGCCACUACCACAUGGCGCCCUUCCAGCUCCACUUUGGGGCCUAGGGAUUUUGUGCCUCACAGUUACCUCCUAACUCAUUUAAGUUGGUGCAUUUCUCACAUAGUGUGAAUACCAUGAACUUUUUGUGGAGUUGUUUUCUUGGCGGUAUUCUAGACUCGAGUAUGCAUCGACAAGGACGUCGAUCUUCCCUAGGGGGGGAGAGUGUCGCGAAUGUGACUUCAAGUAUCGAAAGUUACUUGUCGACCAGUCCUUACAGACACUCUUUCUUUACUACCACGAUGGCAAAAGGUCGGUAUUGCUAGACCCUUUAUCAGCCCCUCUUGUGCUAGUGGAGUUAACUGGGCAUUUCGAAUAUACUUAGACCAGGCGAGCAUAAGGACGGAAUUCCUACGUGUUAUUAGCUAAACAUACUUAGCCCGGUAAGGAGUUCCUGUCUCGUCUUGUCUUGCACUGGCUAGUGACAAGAACCUUCGCGUAUUGAGAUUAGUCCCUCAAUAUUGUUGGAUGAUAGCUUACCGUGUCUGCCAAACACCCUUACUAUCAUGCCCUUUGUGUUAGUCUCAUUUCGGUCCUAAAUGCUAUUUAUGGAAAGCAUCUAGAUUUGCUCAUUUGGCAUAUCUACGAAAUAUAGAGAUUGUCUUGAAUACAAUGGUGUUUGUCCCGUGUCCAAAUUCACAAUCUAGCACCAUUCCAUAUUUAGUAAGUUUCGAGCUUGUCCCAGAGCCCAGAGACUAACUCCUGAUACUAAGGGAGGCUUGGGGUGAAAGCCCAAAGCGUGUGUUCCUCAGGGGGGGGGGGCACUGUGGGAGGUUUCAAAUGUAUAGUGGGGAUAGUGGGUAGGUCGGGUAUGGCCGACCAACCUGAGGCAUAAUUUAGCUCUCGCUUGCGUGCCUAUCCUUGUUCUACAUCCGACUUGGGUCUAAGCCCAAGUUCCAUUCCAUGCUAGCUGGUGGAGUACCCAUAUCGUUGCGUUAGGCCACCGGUAUGCCGAAAUAGCGCCAGACUCCGUUUGGCUCCAUUUUGCAUGCUGGUCUUAGUAUUGGGAUACUGGUUGCUCCAGGACUAUUCCAAAUCACUCCGGGCUUCUGUCCCUUUGCUCCUUGGGCUGUAUGCUUGGGAGUUGCUCCGUGGUCCAGUUCCAUCACUCCUUGGCUCCAUGCUUGGGAGUUUGGCACCGUUCCUUUGUUCAGUGGCCCAAGGCCCUGAACCUUGGGUUCUGCACCACUGUCCUUUGGACACAUGGCAUAUAUCAUAUGGCAUAAGGAGGGUUUAAGUUCCGCUUUGUGGUGUUAUCCUAUGGUAAAUCAUCAUAGGAUAAAGGGUCAAAACCACAUGCGCUACAAAUAGCUACUAAAGCCUCUACAUCCGAAGUUCCUCUAGUAGCCAAGAACUUCUUUACAUUGGCUAGCCAAAUGAGACACUCGUCCACACCACCAUCACUGGAAAAAUGUUGGAAUCUUGAGUCAAUCUACCAAGGAAGGCUUACUUGGAGCAUUACCAGGUCCAGCCUUGAGUGUCUCAACAAGCUCACACAUGGUAUUCAUCAUGCCAUGCAUCUCAUUUUGCAUCUCUUGUUGAUUUGAUUAAGGGCUUGCAGCUCAUGAAUAACAUUUUGAAUGAUCCAAAUCUCCACAACUCUGUCAACACCACCAUCAACAAUAGGAUUCCAGCGUUCAACUUGGUCGGCCAUCACAAUCAACUCUUGUAAUACCAAUGUUAUAAUCCGGUGUAAAAAGACAGAGAUUUAGUUGCCCUAGACUAUGCUAUGCCACCUCUUAAGGUUCCUCACCAUCCAACCACCCCCAAGCUAUCUCAAAACCUCCAUUAUACUACCGCUCCACUGUAAGCCCUAGGGUAGGUUAAGUCCCUUACCCUAACAUACCUUAAUAUACCUUUGAGCUUCCCUUUGACCAAUGUUGACCACAUGGUCAAAGCUGCCGCAUAACAUGAAGGAACUAGGUUCCAAAGUUGUGAUCUAUAACGCAAUUUAGGUAUAAAUUGGUGUACCAGCAUGAGGAGUCAUGCCAACAUUUUAGAUGAUACCGUCUAUAGAUGCAUAUGUGAAGGUUGGGUUUGAGUUCCAAUCCUUUAGUGCUUGGAUUCAAAUCCCAACUCACUACAGCAUGAUGAUGAUUGAAAUCUAAGGACACUUAUUUUUCGGUGGUUAUGGAUUUUUAGAAAGGAGGUUGGCUUGAGCACAUUGCUAAGCAGAGGAUGCUUUAAAUCAUGAUGCACGGUUAAAUUGCUUAGUGUGAAAGUUUGGCAUAUCUAAUUUGAACACUCUAGUGCAAAUAACACCAAGGACGUGGUGAAUGAGAUGGGGACAUUCAAUCUCAGUUGCUAUGAACUCUUGGCCAGAAAGGUUACAUUGGGUGCACUUCCAAGUGUGGGGGAUACUCCCAGGGUUAUAGUCAACAACUUAAAGGUUUGAAAGACAUAAUACCUAUUCAUAAACCUAUUAAGGUGUCAAGGUGAAAUCACUAAGUGAGCUUAUGGCUAAACAAGGACAAAAUCAUUGUUAUGUUAAGAAAUAAAGUUCCUGAUUUGAACUAUUAAUAAUGAUGUGAAUUGGUCAAGGUGACCAAAAGGGAAAGACACCUAAGGGAGUUGAGUUAUAACUAUACAAUUGUACUGUGACUCCAAGAAAGUAGUCUUGAAAGAAGGACCCAUAAGAGGGUCGUAGAGGGUUGUAGAUAAAGCCCAUAAUAGAAAAUGUUAAAAAGACUUAUUAGAAGUAAACACCCUCUAGGUUUAGCAAAACAAAGUCUUUGCUAUAGAACCAAAAAGAUAUCUCAAGAUUGGAGGUAGUAAUCCUAUGUUGCUUGGUGCAAUAAUCAAAGGAUACGAAUAAAAGAUUAAUGGCCGAAAAUGGGUAUUGGAAAUUCCAAAUAAUGAAUUAGGCAAGGAACCACCAUAUGGCGGGUGCUAAUAGAUUGUAGGAAGGGAAAUUUAUUUCUAAGGAUGGGAUUCCGAAAUGCUCUAAUUUAGUAGAGGUGAAAGUUCUGAGAAAUAGAGUGGUAAAGUAGCCAAAUGAUAGGGCUAUAGAUAGCUCUAACACGAAUUAUGGAUAAAUGGAAUUUAGUGCUAAGGGUGACACGAAAGAAAAGAGAGGAUGAUGGUGCCCUUUAGUAAAGAACCUUUUAUGAUGAAGAAGUGGUAUUUGCAUAACUAAUGCAAUACAAGAUGUCAUACACACUUAAGAAAUUGACUUAAGAUGUCAAUAUUAAAAUUAUAGAAUAUGAUUGUUAUGUUGGUAGAGGCUAAGACUACUCCAGAAUAAGUAAUAAUAUUGAGAUAGAAAAGGUGUCUUUAACGGGUUUAGCAAAAACUAAACGAACAAAGGUAGAGAAUUACCACUGAUGAUUUAAUGAGACUUUAAGUUGGAAAGACUAUGCUCCUUAGAGGAUAAGUAAGGCAUGGUGAACUUUCAGUGUCAAACCCUUGAUGAAUAUUAGCUUUGUGCUAAGGAUGAAAAUGGUAAUCCAUGAUAGGGAUUACUUUAUAAAAUGGUUAAAUGUUCAAUGAAGACAUCAAAUUUUGUUUAUGGGUGGUGGAGUUAUGAGACACAAAUCUUUAUGCCCCAAAGUGGAGCCAAAAGGGUGCCACAUGAUAGUGGUUGAAGCAGAAGUCUAACAAGCGUAACAUGUUUAGACCAAAAGCUCUAACUUGGAAAGUCAAGAGCGGAAGUGGAACUUUUAAAAAAGUGUUUGAAGAACAAAUAUGAAACAAUCAGUGAAUGAGUCUCUAGAAAAGUACACAAGAGGGACCGAUAUAUGGCAAAUGUCAUGACACAGGAAGUGUCAAGACCGAGUUUAAGAUGAAGUCCGACAUAGAGUUCGAGAAAGAGUAUGAGAUAGAGUCCGAGAUAGAGUUCGAGAUAGAGUCCAAAAUGGAGUCUGAGAUGGAUUCCGAGAAGGAGUCUGAGAUGAGGACCGAGACCAAGAUCGAGACCAAGACUGAAAUCUAGACCGAAUCCGAAUCCGAGUAUGAGUCUGAGGGUGAUAGCCCAAAGCAAUCAUCUCCCAGACCUUGAGGGGUUUGGUGAGCUCCAAAAGUAUAGUAAAGGAGGACUUCAAUGGAGCCAAUUUAGCCAAGAAAGGCUAUACUUAUGUGGUGGGUGAUAAUAUAACCAAUGAAGAGUCCAAAGCCUUCCUUGGUCUUGGUCCAAGGCUUCCAAGGGUGACCAAGGAAGGUUCAGUGGAGCCAAUUUAGCCAAGACCAAGGAAGGAGUCCAAGGCCUUCCUUGGUUCAAGGCUUCUAAGGGUGAUCAAGGAAGGCUAUAUUUAUGUGGUGGGUGAUAAUAUAAUCAAUGAGAAGUCCAAAGCUAAAGCAAACAUGGACAAACAAGUGGGAUAAUUUGGUGAAGUGUUCAAAAGCUCAACUCUAGCUCCCCCAGGAAAUUAAAUGGUUAAUGCUCCUAAUCUAAGUAUGGGUGGCACUACUUACUUGGAUACCUAGUGUGGCUUAUCAGAACCUUGCUCUAGCCACAUGGCUAAAGCAUCUAAGAGUAGAAGGUGGGGAGAGUACCCAUGAGACCCACAUUGGGCCAUGGUGUUUCUAAAUGUUAUCCCAAAGUCCUGAAUUGAGAAAAGGAAGAAGAGCAAUCCUUUUACAUAGUGACCAAAGGAAUGGUUACAAGGUUAUUAGGACUUAGUGGUCAAGCUCUCAAACCCUAAUCCAGUGGUGGUGUUAGUGAGCAUUGCUGUGGAUGGAAAGGGACUUAGUGGGGAUUAAAGAAGGGACAUUGAGGAAAAGUGUUCUCUAUAUCUCUGAGCUUCUUAAGGUCAAUAACGUGUGGUCUUAAAAUAACCACCUAUGGACAGAUGGCUCAAUCUUUAAGAGACAGGACAAUGCCAUAGGUGGUCUUGAACUACCAAUGAGACAAGGGUAUAUAAACAUGGAUUUAGCAUAAUGGGUUGAUAGGUUUAUAAUAUCUUUGGGAUGUUUAUCAUGGGAUUAGACACAUAGAGCACUUGGACUAAGUUCAAAGGCAUAGAUUUUAUUCACGUGCAUAGUCCAGAAUAAAACUUAUGGAGGUUAUGAGUAAGACUCCUCUAAAUGGUAAAAAAUAUCGUUAAGUGACUAAAGUAAAAUGGAAAAUUUAGUCACUUACACAUUUGUGGCUAAUCAUGCCUAAUCUUUAUUUUAUAUUUUUUCGACAAUCACUAUUGAGAGAUGAGGGCUAUCUUCUAACAUUUCUAACUCUAGCUCUCAAACCCUCCAUUACAAACUCAAGCUCUUUCCAAUUGCCUUAAGUGUUGGCAAUUAACAACUUGCUUAAGAAAAUGGCUUAGGCACUCUUCAUGUGUUGGAUGAUGCUGGCUUAAAGAAAAACAGCUCUAAAUGUGCUAGUACAUCACAAUGAUGUAAAGUUGUAGCUAUAACUUGUACAUGAUAUGUUAGAUUUGGAUAACUUUUGCUAUUGUCAAAAGACAUUUGUAGCUGUAGUGGAGUGAUGUAAAUGCAUAUCAAGUACCAUAGAUAGAAAGUGGAUGAAAUUGCUAAAAUCCUAAUGCAAGUAUCAAUUACAAAGAAUGAAUAAUGGUGUGUAGUGAGAAUGUUGUGUGAUCUUGGAGUGUGAUUUUGUGUGAUGAAAGUGAUGAAUGGUGGGAUGAAGUGAAGGUGAUGGAUUCUAAAAAUAGUUAAGGACUCACUAAGAAACUGUAAGAGCUCACACACAAAAGGAGUUGAUACAACCUUGUGGCUAAAAUCCAAGCUAGAACCCAUGGCCCAAUGUAGCAAAGCCUAAAAAUAGAAGGGGAGAGGUGAAAGAAUGUGGAUAAAAAAAAAACAAAAAGAAAGAAAAAGGAAAGAAAUCAUUGCAUGAAUGUUUUGAGGUGGUAAUGAUUGUGAGCAUGUGUAAACACAUGGCCAACCUCAUUUGCAAGCACAUAGGAACCACCCUCUACCUAGCGCUGGAUAAAGGAGGAAUUAAGCCAUUGUGGAGAGAACUUGGAAGGAGUGAAUUCCAUGAGAAGAAUAAGCUGCCCGGGAGAAAAGAGGACUAAACCGAGAAUUUUGGAGUCAAUGGUCACCUUAAACUUGUGCUUUGGAACAAGAAGUUUCUCAGCUGAUGCCUUGUGCUGCUUAUCAAGGGCAAGGAUCUCCAUGUCAUGAGCAUGAAGCUUGUUUGCGUCAGAAAGCUAGAAAUCUGCAACAUGGUGUAAAGAUAGCAAAAGUGAUGGUACCUAGAAAUCUAUGAAAAUAGGAGCAGUUUGGUCCUCAAAUAAAGAGGUUGGACUAACCACAUGGUCACUCACCACCCAGUCCUUAAAUAAAGAGGCCAAGUUGCUCUUGCUUGUGAUUAUCAUUCCUGUUUCAAAGGUAGUAAACACUAUAGGAUGUACAUGCUUUAUUGAAGUACCAUACUGAAGGCUUUGAGACUCAGCUGCAACUAAGGGAAAAUCCUCCACAUAAACUCCACACUCGAAAAGAAGUGAUGAUCACAACAAACACUCAAUUUGAUCAAAGUGAUGGGCAGCUUCAAGAGUUUCAAGUGGAGGCUCUUCCAAUGAGAUUGGGGAAGCCUCUGUGAUGAUAGUGUUGCAUUGGAACAUGUUAAACUCGGGCUAUGAUGGAUCUUCAAUCAACUCAGGAAAGAUGACUGUUAGUGAGUUUGAGGAAAAGAAUAUGGCUUGAAGGAUAUUCACUUGCUCGAAGGAUAUUGACUGGCUCUGAGAUAGGCCUAGAGGCUAUCCUUAAAGCUUUCUUAAUAGAGAGUGUCUGCAGGCAUUGUAGAGAUAAGAAAUCUAAUGACUGUCACUAAUCUCUAUCAUGCCAAGCAACCAGUUGGUGAUGCCUUUAAUCUGAUCAUGCCAAACUCAUCCAAGGAUCAGAAAAUCCUUCAAAGGUGUGGAACUGAACUUUUGGUAGUCCACCACCACAAAAUCCAAAAGAGACUCCACCCUGUUAACAUAAACUUGAAUGGUGUGACAAAUGCUUGCAAGGACAAUAAUAUGGUUCAUGAACAUCUUUAGGAUUAGAGUUGUGUUUCCAAAGACCUAAAGACUUGCUCUUGUGGCUGCAUCCAAAGAGAUCACAUCACUCCCAAAUCUAGAAUCGACAAGAGUAUUGAUGAUAGGAGAACCAUUGCCAAAGUCUAUGGGUGCAAAAAAUGCAUUUGGAUUGAAAGAGAAGGCUGUGUCAACUAUGUGUACGUCAUGUGGGAGAGAGGCUGUUGCUCUAGUAGACCUUGCAAAAUCCUCAAAAUGCUGUUCAAAGCUGGGAAUUGUGCAUAAAUGCUCACACAGUGAAAAGGUGAUGGACAUCUCCAUCAACUGUUGAAGUACACUCUCAAGGACUUGGGAACUAUUAGAGAAAGGCAGAGGACAUCCAGGAAGGAGAGACAUGAAUGGGAGUUUACAUACCACCUUUUUACUGAAUUAGUGAUCACUGAAGGAGUUGGAUCAUCAUUAAUUUCCUCUUGAGCAACUUUCUUCUUUUAUGCUCUUGUGGCUGUUGUCCUUGUGACUUCCUCCUCAACAAUCUUGAUUGCAUUGACCUUAUCCAUUGGAGCCUUCCCUUUACUGGAAGAUGAUGAAGGUGCAUCUUUGAUUGCAUGUUGCUCAAGCUAUUACUGGUAACAAUCUUUCCCUUGUGUUGCAAUGCUAUUAUCAGCGAAUGGUUGCUCCUAAACAUGCUAAGAGUGUGGUGGCCAUAGCUAUGGAAGAAGCUUCUAGCACCUCUUCAUGUUGUAAGUCACGAUGUUGCAAUAGAAGCAAUACCAAGAUUUGGAGCCCAUUAUGGCUUCUUGGCUUGUUGUAAGUGGCAAACACAAAGCACUUUAAGCAUCUUCUCUUGCAUUUGCUACUAAUACUAGAUGAUCUCCUUAUAUUGUCACAACUCCGUGAGUGCACUCUCGAUGGCUAAGGGAACACACUCCACCACUAUCACAGGAAUAUGUGAGUGGAUGGUGGAACAUGUGGACUUAAGGGAGGGUGAUGCCAAGUCCUCCUCCACAUGUGAAAUGCCCAAGUCCACAAGAAGUUCCUGCUCCAACUUUGUGGCUGUUGCAAAUGCAACAUGGCAUGUAGCAAAUUGCCACUUGAACAACUUUUAUUGCAAGUUUCCCUGAAGACCGGUGAUGAUGGCUGUGAUCCCCUGCUGCUCCUGGGUGAUAACCUGAUGACCCCAACACCACUUCCAAUAUGAGUGAAAAUGUGUGAUGUAGUCCGGCACCAACUUGUGAGCACUUUGCCGAAAUGCAAAGAGAUCAAUGACCAGGCAAUUCAAUGGCUUCUCCUCAAUGAAGUGGUCCUUGAAGGAUUCUAGUAGCACCUGGUAGUCCAUAUUGUCUUCUGCAAGGAGGGACUGUACCUAUGUUGCUGCUUUGCCGAUGAGCGAUUGGAGAAAAUCCCUCUUCUUGUGAUCAUCAUCAAGGAUGGUGUUGGAUGAGCAAUAGUGCUCAAUGUGGAUGGAAGGAGAGAUGCCACCAAUGCCAAAAAAUGUUGGCAAGUCGCUCCCCUUUCGGAAUAUAUGAACUUGAGGUUGUUGAGCCAUCACAUGCAAAUCCACCAAGCUGGAAUCCUCUAAAGACGUUGAAUCCUCAUUAUCUGAGCGUGCCUUCAUGCCAUUUGAUAAUCUAACUCUCUUCUCAGACAUGAAAAGCCACCCUCAUGCUCUAGGAAAGGUACUCAAACUCACAGGGUGGAGAUUGCUUCCUUGUCAAGUCCACACCAGCCUGAAACAUCUAGUUCACAGCAAAUGCCCUACUAGAAAUGUGAGAUGCCCCAAUAUCCAGCCAAACACCUCCAAAUGCUAACCAGCAACCAAAAUAAAUGGCUGCUAGCUCUUAAGAAUGCCCAAAACUCCAAUCCAAGUCAUGCUAAAGCCAGAAAGAUGUUUCAAGAUGAAGGAAAUGGACUCCUCUUGCAGGGACUCUUUCAUCUCUUGCAAGCAUAUGUAUUUUGUAAUUGUAUGCUUUUUGGGAUGGAUUCAAAUGUUAAAAUUUAGAUUCAUCACCUUGUAAUGUCUGAAUAUGAGGUGUUUCAUGACAUUAAAAAAUAAUUAGAUAUUGGUAUUGUAUUCGAAUUUAAUAUAAUAUAAAUAAAUUUUUAUUUAUAAAUUAUAUCUAAAAAACAUAGGGCAUUACUUAUAAUAGGGAUUUGAUAGUAAUAAUAAAUUGCUAUGCGUUGCAUGUAGCAAUGUUUGGUUUGCUUAAUAGUAGUGUUAUUCUUACUUAUUAAUCCAAUUGAUCAAAUAAACUUUAUAAUUAUAAGCAUGUUUGUAAUUUAUAAACACAAGAUUAACCUUAUUGCAUAUCAACCAUUAGAUGAUAGAAUAAAAAAGAAUAUACUAGAAAGGGUUUAAGAAAUUUUAUAAAUUAUAAACAUGUUUAUAAAUUAUAAAUAUAAGAUUAAUCUAAAUGAAUAACAACUGUUAGAUGGUAGAAUAUCCUGGAAUAUCCAAGCAUAUUUUAGGUAUAUCCACUACCAUCCCAGUCCCCUUACAGAUUUGUUUAAGCAAACUAAUAAAAAAUUUAAUAUAAAUAUACAUUAUAAAUUAGAGGAUGCUAACUUAAAUAAUUAAUAUAAAUACUAAUUAUUAAAUUUUAAAAUAAGACAAAACCUCUAUUAAAUAGCAACUAUUGCCACUAAGAUUAGAUACUGGUAGUUUACACAGAUCUAAAUAUUAUUAAACUUAUUAAUUUGGUUUAAAAUACCUAUUAAAUAAAAAUAUUGCCACUAAAACCUUAACUGUGCCAGAAUAUUCUUAAAAUAUUGUCAACCUGUAAUAACUCUCUUGGCUAUUGGCGGAUCCAUGAUAGCAGGAUAUGAUGUAUUGAGAUGCUGGAGAGAAUAGAGGCCUGGAGCCAAAAGGGCACCAUGUCUCCCAUGUUUCACUUGAAAGGCAUGGUCUCCAUCUUCCAGUGUAGUGACGGGUCCGAGACCUUCAUGUCGGUUUUGAGCGCUUACAGCGAUACCAGUCUGGUCGAAGAGGCAAGGAAGUAUUUCACAGUGAUGCGCAACAAGCAUGGAAUUUCUCCAGGGAAAGAGCACUACGUGUGCAUGAUGGAUCUGCUGGGCCUCGCAACCCAGGGCAGUAAACGUGAUUGAAUCCAUGCCUCUGGAAGACGCUGCUUGGAGUGUGUAAAUGGAAGAAUGUGGCCGUGAGGGAGGUGGAUUUCGAGUCGUUGGUGGAGCUCGACGUGAGCAGUGCUGCGGCAUAUGUUCUCAUGGCCAACAUAUACUCGAGCACAGGCAAGCUCGAUGAGAGGAGCAAAGUUUUUGUGAGGAUGUUGGUGAGAAAGAGGAUGCGCUUAGCACAGCGAGAAGCUUGCAGUCCCUUGUGCGUUGAUCAAUUCCAAGCCAGGAAGUGUCAUCAGUUAUUUGAGAGUGUGCCAGGAUUGUCAAAAAGCCACGGCAAUCAUCUCCAAGCUGGAGGAGUGUGUGCGAGCAGGCUCCAUAUUUUUAAAGAUGGACAGUGCUCCUGUGGCGAUUAUUUCUAAGACACAAAACAAAUUUUAGACAUUUUUUUAAAUUAUAAAUGAAGAAUUAAAGACAAUUAGAUUUAUUGAAUUCUGAGCUCAUGAGCUAAAAAGUGGUAUCAAAUGUUUUGUAAUGCAAUAUUAUAUCUCUUGACUUACGAAUUCUGUCAGAACUUCCACAAGCUUCACUCUCUCCUGUUCUUCAGCCAUGUAAAACGCAUGGCCUGCAUUCUCAAACACAACCUGCUGAACUGGGAUGCCAAUCUCCUUCACCUUCUUUGCAAAGUCGAGCUGCCUUUCAUGGAGCAAAUCAGCGGUCCCAAUCACAACAAGCGUCCUUGGCAUAUCCGCAUCAUUGAGAGCAUGGGGGAGCUCCACCAUUGGGUUGCAGUAUGGAUGAUCUCUAUUGGCUCCAUCUGGGAGUGUGUACUUCCAAAACACAUCGCACAACUCAGUCGUAAGUUGGCCAGGCUUGAACUCGACGAGCUCGGGGGGAGUCCGCUCAACACCUCCAAAGAACGGCUGGAUGAGAAUCUGGCCAGCCAGAACCAGCGGCUUCAAAUCCGAGCCACUCUUCGCUGAAGCUCGCUUCAUGACAUGAUAAACAAUAUUCCCUGCAGCGCUAUCGCCCACCACGAAAACCUUGGUAAAAUCAGCACAGUCCGACAGCCAGGGCGCGGUAACUUCCUUCUUGGCCACUGCUUGAAGCCAUUUCAGAGCGGUAAAUCCGUCCUCAUAAGCAACUGGCAAGCGGUGCUCUGGUGCAAUCCGGUAAUUCACGGAGACCACAAGUGCCCCCACCGAUUUUGCAAAAUCCUCGCAAAGGUGGUGGUAUCCAAUAUCAUCAGCGCUGGAUUGAAUGAACCCACCUCCAUGGAUGAACAGGAGGAUAGGCAGCUUACCAGAUUCAUGCUUCUGCUGGGGACAGAAUACCCUCACCCAUAGAUUGCUUUCCUCCUCAAUUGUCAGAUCUUUCGAGGCCACUCCAUCCACAAAAUCGGGAUUUGCCGGACUCGUUGGGAUUGUUCCACGAGUGUAUGAACCAUCUUGGUGAAUGACCAGACCAUCAAGCUGUAAAUCCACUACACUUGCCAUUGCUUGCCCUGUGUCUCGGUCUUUGUUCUUAUAUUGUGAUGAGAUAUUGUUAUUGAAUGAGCCCAGCAGUCAAGGUGUUGCUUUCAGUAUUCAACCCGUGUUCCUUUUGCCUUUCCAUGUGUACUGACGUCCAAACACUUCUCUCUCACAAAAGAUUCUUUUUUGUUGGAUAUGAAUGUAGAAGUCCGUAUUGAUGCGCUCGAUGUAAUCGUUAAAUAAAUGGAUCUGGCCUCUUUCUCGCUCUCUCUGAUCAGCCAGCUCCGUUACUUUUGAGCAAAAGAUCUAGCCAAUUCGUCUGCUUGAUCCAAAAAAGCCUCUUUUCCCAGUUGAUUGGUCCUAGACUGCUUUUAAAGAUCAACCCUGCUCCAAGAUCAAAGUUCCAUAGAAGCUAUCUCUCGAUUUGAGAGCAAGAAUGUGAGUGAUCUCGUCCAUUAGGGUAUUGCGCAAGUGAAAAUCCUGUUAAGUAAUAGUAUGAUAAUAAUUUAUCGCAAAACCGGGGCAUUUUUACAAAAUCGUUAGCACCUUGGGCAUAGGGUUUAAGUUUUUCUCUGUAUAAACCCUAAAAAUGUGAAUGAUGGCCUCUUCGGCGCUCCGGCCUCUGUGCACGAAGCUCCUGGAGCUUCCCACCGCGGGCAUCGAGGCGCAGGGCCAGGCGAUCGAGGCGGCAGAGGCCCUCGAGAAGAUUUUGGAGGCGCUCCCGGCAUCGGCUCUCCAGAGCUGCUACCAGUAAGCAAAGUGAAAAUCCCCCCCUCUCUCUCUCUCUCCCUCAUUCUGGGAUGAAUCGUCAGGUGUGCGCUCUUCCCACUGCUGCUCCUCAUCGACGCGGCCGUGGUGCUGCGAGCCAAGGGCGUGGCGGUGCGAUCCAAGCCCGUGAUCGUGAGCGACAGAUUGGCGGAGAGAGUUGCUGCGUGUUUGGAGAUUCUGCUGCGGAAAUGCCCCGUCCAAGACAUCCAGGAGAUGGCGACGCUGCUGCGGAAACUCGUCGGCGCGGCCAUGCUCAAGCCCGACGAGGCGUCGGAAGAAUUCCGCCACGGGGUUGUCAAAUGCCUGGCUUCCAUGUUCCAGCAUUUGCCUCCUCAGGGAGAUGUCGCGGAGAGAAUGCGGUCGGAGGAGAUGGCCGCCGCCAUCGGCCAUUUGUUCUCGGUCUUACUCCAGGUAUUUUUGUGUGGUUUUUCUCUCGAGUGUGACUAGAUCCUUCUUGCAGAUCUCUCAUGCCGAGGCUGCAAGAGCUGGCGUGGGGAGUGCAUCAAUACGAGCCGACUCUCUUGCAACGCUUAGAAUCGUCGUGACGAAGGUGAUUCAAGUUCUUCCUUUUCUUCUCUUGGUGAAUAGAGUUCUUCCAGGUUGCAUCGCCCGAUGCUCUCGCGUUUUUUCUUCCCGGUGUUGCCAGCGGGCUUGGAAAAGUGAUCAAGGGUGCAGUUGUGAGCAACGGGAGGUCGGGUUUUGUUUCCGCCGCGCAGUUCUAUUCCGUUGGAGCAGCUGCCAGCAGCCGGUCGUUGAGUGAGGCGAUCCUGGGGAUUGCCGAGUUGCUCGUUCUCGUGCUUGCGGAUUCCCGGAAUUUAGUAACUGCAGACAUCGCCACUCCUCGCAUUCAGGACCAGGAAGCUUUGGGAGCUUUGCAAAAGCUGUCGAAGAAGGCGGUACAUGAAACUCGACGUGAUGAGCAUCAGCUUGAGGUGGCAGACACGAGCAUGGAGGAUCGAAAGGUCAUGCGCGUAGAGUGCAACGAAAGGUGGCUUGCCGACACAGUAUCUCAUAUCGACAAGUUGUUACAGGAUGUUCUUCCCUUGGUACGUUUGAAACUUCCUCCUUUUCUUUUUGCAGUUCAAGCUUCUUGACAUGGUUUCAGCUUUGUGCUCACCCGGUCGCAGCUGUACGUAAAGCGGUCGUGGAAGCUACCGGGCAAAUAAUUGGAUCUUGCCAGAAGACCUUGGAAGUCUGCAUGCCAUUGCUUUUGGUAAGAUCAAUAUUUGCUAGCGAUCGUUGUUGGGGAAUGACUGAUGUAUGUCAGGAAACUCUGCUGCUCUUUGCUUGCGGUGAUUCAAGCUCCGUUUCGGCCACUGCAAGUCACCAUCUCUCAUUCCUCGCACAUUCCGGAAGUCACUCCAAACUAAAAUCGGCUUUCACUGCUGUUCUCAACAGGUUUGAAAGUCAAGUACUGAGAUAAAGCCUAACAGUUGAUGAUCCAGGCUUUUGGAGGAUCUGCCUAAAGUUGUUAUUUCAGCAGAUGAAGUUUCUGCAUUGCAUCAUGCGCGACGACUAGCAGCCGCAAUGUAUUACUCAGGCCCCAGAGCUGUCUUUACGUCGCUGUUUCAAUCUCCGGUAAGCCUGAAUUCUUUUGAGUAUCUUUUGCAAUUGAAGGCUGACGGACGUUUCAGGCUUGUGUUUCGCGGUUCAUCACUAUUAUGACACAAUCUCUAAGUCUUCCUUCAACGUUUGCAUCGUCCGGCUACAUUGAAUCCGGAGGCUACAAGUUUCGAGAGAUUUCACUUCCGCAUGGAGCGAGUCUUGAGGCUGAAGUGGCAAAUGAUCAAUUGCCUCGGACAGCUCCUUGGUUUACGCAGGCUGGAAAAGUGAAGCUGUAUGAUGCACUGGCAAGCACUCUGAGGCUUGCUGGAUUCUCGAGCUUGAGAGGUUCUGUCGACAAACCAAGUUUAGCGGACUUGCUACUACUCCUCCAGUCGUCUAUCCGUGAUUGUGCAUCGGAAAGUGGAGCUGACAAGGGUGGCCAGCUUCGACGCUCUGCUGCCGCUGCAGCUUGCGCAUUGAACGAGAUUAUCUACGGAGCAUCUGGAACUUGGCUGGACAGGAAUAAUCUCUUCGGAAGUAAAGACUCCAAUGAAUGGGAUCCGCUGCCGAAGGCAGACUUUCUUUCACAUGUCCGUGACGCCAUUGGCGACGUCCUUCACGAUUACAUGGUGUCAGAAUUGUGGGAUCUUCCAGUUGAUUCUCAAGGAAGUGACGAGAGUGAUCUGCCUAUCCUCGAAGACAAUGCAACACUUCAACAGGUUUGUGUAUUUCUUGCAUGAUCGUCUCAUAAAAGUUUUACAGGUGCUUAUUGAAGGUGUUGGAAUUUUCGGAAUGACUUUGGGAAGCUCGUUCGAAACCAGCGGCUACUUGGGCUUGGUGAUUUAUCCCCUACUGGAGAAGCUGGGCUGUAGCCGAUAUUCGAUCGCCCACGCAGCGAGCAUUUCGUUACGUGGAAUUUCCCAUCACUCCGGUUAUGUUUCUGUAAGUUAUGCUUCUGCUUACAAAUUGUGGAUAAUAACUCGUUUUUUUCGUUUCUAGGUGCAAAAACUGGUAGUGGCAAAUUUGGAUCAUGUGGUGGAUUCGUUGUGUCGGCAACUGAGGCACAUAUCAAUGUAUCCUCAUGCGCCUGAGUUUUUGACCGCUAUAUUACAACAAACCGGAGCUGCAGCCGACCUGCUUCCUCUCCUCGAAGAACCAGUAAGCGAUCUGAAGUCUCAACUUGUUUAAACUCUCCCUGGUUUAGAUGCGAGGUCUUCUCCAGGAACUGGAAAUACCUGGCAGGCACCACCAUCCUUUCCUUACGGUUCCAAUCCUGAAGGUAAUGGUGUAUGAAAUCGUCAUCAACUAGCUAAUCACAUUGAUAACAGGCACUGCGAGAAAUAACUAGAGCUGCUAGGCAUGAAAGCUUUGAACUAGCGUCGAGUGGUGGGUAUGGUGUUUUACUGUAUUCGUUUCUGACCGAAGCUACCUUUCAGAUUUGCCAUCAUCUAUGGAUGAAGGGGAGCAGAACAUUCAGAAGUUGCUGCAGCAUAAAAGAUGCCACCAUUCAGUUUUGACGGUGGCAUCUUCGUGCAUUGUGUCUUCGGCUCCGCUACUUGCCUCAAAAAAUAUCCCCGCGAGGAUUCUUGCACUUGACAUAAUAGAGGUUGGUAUUGAACAGAGUGUACGCAAAUGUUAAUGAGCCGUGAUGUUGUUACAGGAUGGUGUUGCAGCGCUGUCUAAGAUCGAAGCCGCUUAUAAAGCUAGCAACUUGAGAUGGCAAGAAGCCAUGCAAGCUUUCGAAAGAUCCCAAGGCAACUUGGAUUAUGAAACACCGGACAGGGACCCCAACGACGGGAACAAGCUUCUUCCUACCAUUCACCAGAUCUGGCCUCACGUAGUAUGCUGCUUGAGGAGUGAACACCCAGCGGUAAGCUAGCUUAAGUGCUACUGUCUUUUUCCAGUUUGCAGACAAGUUUUCCUUCGCAGGUUCUCGUAAGAUGUUUGAGUGCCAUAGCAUUUGUUGCGCGUGAAUGCGGUGGAUCUUUUCUAGCUCGUCGCCUGCAAAAGGACGUCCUGCCUUUGCUUCUACGGCUUCUUCAAGACGGUCCGGUAACUGGAGGCCGGGUCGGUCUCGACCAGCUUAUAGCGCAGCCUGCCACUCGAGCUCUUGCCACCAGGGAGUCUCCAGGAACAGUUCGUAAAGUCCAAGAAGCAGCGCUCAAGUGCAUCAAAGCUAUAAGCGGGGACAAGAAGAGUGCUCCAGCCUUGGAUGCAAUCUUUGAGACGGUUGCCGGGGCGGUGGUGAGCUUAGCUUGCAGUCAGUGGGAGCUGAAAGAGCUAGCCGCGGAGGCAGCGAGUGCUCUAUCAAGCAGCGAUCCAGAUCUCGUGUGGAUCCUGGCAGCGGACUUGGCUUAUGAAAGCGGCGAGGCGGUGGCUCCUGCGUCUCCGUGUCUUCCAAGCUGCUCGGAGAUACUCCCGCCGCUCACGUCAGACACCGAGGCCUUGUGCUCGCAGUACGCGGGACGGGACUUUCGGCUCCAGCACAAGCUCGACCGCAGGUGUGCGUACGAGCUUCUUUGCAAACUGGAAAGCUCGACUUCGUUCGCUAAGGUAACGGUUUUUUGCUUUUGUUCUUGCUGGUUUUUUAUCUAUCUUCUCGGUAGAAGCAAUGAGGAACUGGCUGGGGCUGUAGAUCUUCGAAACUUUGUAACUCCUGCUUGUGCGUACAUUUCUUUGCUUUUGUUCCUGGUUUAUGAUAAUCGUCUCGGUAGAAGCAUAUACAGCUUCCAAACUUUGUAACUCUCGAGCUCUUGGAGAUAGAUUCCUGGACAAAACUUAUAGCAUACACUCUUUCAUCAAAAGCUCUGCUAGAGCUUCCACAACUCUAAGAAAAGAAAAAAAGUGGCUACCUUACAUCCGCGGAGGAGGUGGUGGCAUCCACGCCUGGUGCGGUGGCGGCGCCCCCGGCGACGGGAACCACUGCCCCUGCGGCGGUGGCGGCGCCGCUACCACCGCCGGCGCGGGCGGCGCCGCCUGCGCGUGGUGGUGGUGGUGCGACCAGUCGUGCUGCUGGGGGGGCGGCGGCGGCAUCACCGUGUACGGCACCCCGCUACCGUAACCAUGGUAGUACCCCCCGGUGGCGGCGGAGGCCUCGGGCGGCGGCAGCGGCGGCUGGAACUUGGGGAUGAUGUGCGGCUUCCGGUCGGGGUUCUUGGCGGCGAUCUCGCGCUCCGCGGGCGACCCGUGCAGCUCGCCGCUGUCCUUCUUGCGCGCGUACGACACGCUCACCUGCUGGUUCUCGAUGAACUGCUUGUCCAUGCUCUCGAUGGCCAGGUCCGACGCCUCGAAGCAGUCGUAGUGCACGAAGCCAUAGCCGGGCCGCGUCUGGUCGUCCGAGUGGACGACGCUCGAGUAGACGACGCGGCCGAAGCCGCUGAAGAUGGAUCCCAGGAGAUAGUUGUCCACGGUCCGGCUGAGGUUGCCCACGAAGAGAUUGGCGCCAACGUUCUCGUCCUUGUGCGAGGCCUUGCUCAUCCGGAUGCACCGCCCGUAGAGGCGGCAGUUGUUGAGGAUCUUGACGGCGUAGUCCACCGCCGUCUCGUUGGCCAGCUCCACGAAGCCGUAGCCCGAGUGCGCGGUGGUAAUCUUGUCGCGCGGGAUGUAGACGCUCUGGACGCGAGCCACCUGCGUGAAGAGCUCCCACAGGAUGUCCUCGGUUACCUGGGGAUCCAGGUUGCCCACGUACGCGGUCGCGUCCUGGUUGUGCUCCUUGGCGUGCUGGGACAGGAGAUUGGCGCCCGCGCCGGCCACGACCUUGGUCAUUCUCGCCCCUUCUUCCUACCCAAGAACCCUAAAAGUUGAGAUUUCCUAAUGCCCAAGAGCCCUAACUCUCCCCUGCCCAAGAACCCUAAAGUUGGGAAUUUCUAGGGUUCCUCUAUGUCCAGCUUUCAGGAGGAAGCCCGGAGCGCCAGGGCAUGAGAAUUUACUGCGCCUGCGCCUCCCCGCUCCUUGCUGGAUCCGCCGAUCCCUCCGCGCAGGUACAUUUGUUCUCGCCGCCGCUUGGAUUCUCCUCCUCCUCCUCCUUUUCCUCGCGGCGGCCAUGCAAGCCAUGCGGCCCUCGCUCCCGGCGCACCGGCGGAGCAAGGAGAGCCCGCUCAGCUCCGACGCCAUCUUCACGCAGAGCCACGCCGGCCUCUUCAACCUCUGCAUCGUCGUGCUGGUGGCGGUGAACAGCCGGCUCAUCAUCGAGAAUCUCAUGAAGUAUGGCCUCCUCAUCCAGGCCGAGGUCCUCUUCAGCUCCAAGUCGCUCAAGGACUGGCCGCUCCUCAUGUGUGGCCUCUCGCUGCUGAUCUUCCCCCUCGCCGCCUAUGUCAUCGAGAAGAUCAAGGCCCGCCGCCCCGCCACCGCCGUGGCGCCGCUCCACUUGAUCAACCUCGCCGCCGCGCUGCUCUACCCGAUCUACGUGAUCGAGAUGUUCCAGUCGGAUCUCCUCUCGGGGCUGGUUCUCAUGCUCAUCGCCGUCACCGGCUGGCUCAAGCUCGUCUCCUACGCGCACACCAACGCCGACAUCCGCGCGGUGAAGAAGGACGGUGGCAAGAUCGAGCUCCCCGCCGAGGCGCCGGCGAUCGACUACCCGGACAACAUCUCGCUCAAGAACAUCGCCUACUUCAUGGCAGCGCCGACGCUGUGCUACCAGCUGAGCUACCCGCGCUCGCCGCGGAUUAGAACCGGGUGGGUGCUCCGGCAGCUGGGCAAGUGGAUCGUCUUCAACGGAUUCAUGGGCUUCAUCAUCGGGCAGUACAUGAAUCCGAUCAUCCGGAACUCGACGCACCCGCUCAAGGGGAACUACCUCUACGCGAUCGAGCGCGUGCUCAAGCUGUCCAUCCCCACGCUCUACGUCUGGCUCGGCUUCUUCUACUGCUUCUUCCACCUGUGGCUCAACAUCGUGGCGGAGAUCCUGUGCUUCGGCGACCGCGAGUUCUACAAGGACUGGUGGAACGCCAAGUCGGUGGACGAGUACUGGCGGCUGUGGAACAUGCCCGUCCACCGCUGGCUCGUCCGCCACGUCUACUUCCCGUGCCUCCGGCUGGGCCUCCACAAGCAGUUCGCCAUUUUGGUGGUGUUCGUCAUCUCCGGGAUCUUUCACGAGAUUUGCAUCGCGGUGCCGUGCCACAUGCUGCGGGGCUGGGCGUUUCUGGGGAUCAUGUUCCAGGUGCCGCUGGUUCUGGUGACCAACGUCCUCCAGCGCAAGUUCCAGAGCUCCAUGGUCGGCAACAUGAUCUUCUGGUUCUUCUUUUGCAUCGUCGGGCAGCCGAUGUGCGUGCUGCUCUACUAUCACGACGUUGUCAACAGGCAGCAGCUCCAGCUAGCUGGGCGGUCCAAAUAAUCCUUGGUGAUAUGUCAUAGUUAUGUCAUAGCAAGGCCCCAUGGUAGCAGCGAAAUAAUGAUUAAUCUACCUAAGAUAUAUUCUUCCUGGAUCGACGCAAUCUUUUUUGUUGAUCUUUAGUCCGAGGCAGCCGUCCUGGAGAUGAUAAGACACCUGAGGGACACGUAAGGUUUGGUAGGACUAGUAACCUUUGGAAACAAAGUCCUAUGUCUCUCAUGUCACCACAGGACUGUCUGUCACCAUAGCGCAUAAGAAAGGUUUGGAAAAACAAACCACGAAUCGUCAAAGGAAGAGUGAUCACGCACGAAAGCAUUAUGAGUAGCGACCUGUCCAACCAUGGCUGGCUCUUUCGCUUUUGCGCAUUGGAACUUUAAGACCUCCGAGCCCACAAGUUUCAUUUUUAUGUGGCGGCACAGUUGCCCAUGUUUUUUUGGGGAUCCAACAGCGUAGCGUUUGUCCCAGCUCGAGGUGGUGCACGAGGACAGGGUGAACUCGCUUGUCAAGGAGCAUUAAUUCGUAGACGAGGAGCCUGUGAUCUCCGCCAAUGAGGUUCUCGGCCUUUCUCAAGUUCAAGUCGUGAGUAUCUUCGUUCUGUUUCUUCCAUUGUCAAAGCUCGCGCUCAUCAAGUGUUUCUUACAGUUGCCAAUAUGAAGGUUGAGAUCUUGCGUUGAGACACUAUAAAAAGUAUAAACUAUUAUGUAUUUAUGUACUGAUGUGUGUGUGCGCUUCUUAAUAAAAAAGAAUUUGAUGACAUUCAUGAUCUCGAACUCAAACUGGCUACAUAUAUACAUAUUAACCCCCAGGAGACGGCAUAAAAUUUAACAGUGACUUUGUCUAGAGAAACUCUUGGAUUUCCGAAAUGGUAAAAAGGCUGUGAACUUAAAGGAAAAUUCAACAUUUUCCAUUGUUUAUUUGCUUUGGAAACAACAAAGAAAGCUGCAAUGCAGCUGGAAGGAAAGAGUACUGGACUUAUAUAAACAAAGUUUAGCAGGAAGUCAGCAAGCAAACAACGCAAGCAUGGGUGAGGGAAACUUUGCAAGAGCAGUGCGUCAAAAGGUUUGUGGUGCCGGGGAGGCGAAUCAAGGCCCGGAGCUUGUCAGUGUUCCCAGGCCCGGAGCAGCCGAGCCCGGGAGUGUGGUGGUGCGCAUCAUUGCCAGGCCCAUCCAUCCCUUCGAUCGCAUCAUCAUCAAGCAGUCCUUCUCCAUUGGGAUCUUCGACAAGGGUGAGUUUGUUCCAGGGAGUGAAGGCUUUGGCAUAGUUGAAGAGGUUGGUUUCAUAGGGAAAAAGAAGAAGAAGAAAUUCUGAUCGUUUCCAAUCUCUUGAAGGUGGGAGAAGGCGUAAGGCGUGUGAAGAAAGGGGAUAGAGUGGUUCCUAUAUUUCUGUGGAACUAUUUCUCUGCCAAACAAGGCUCUUGGCAGGAUUUUGUCACUGUCUCGGAGAAAGACGUGAUUUUGAUGCCUCAUGACAUCUCCGACGAGGAUGCGGCACAGCUGAUUAUCAAUCCUUGGACGGGCUAUGGUCUUCUCAAGGAUAUCAAUGCUCCAAAAGGAAGCUACGUCCUCCAGAAUGGCGCUGGCUCGGUGCUUGGAAGGUAAAUCUUUAGUAGAGUCCCUACUCUCACAAACGAAACGAUCUUUCACGCACUAGGAUCAUUAUCAAGCUUGCAAAGCACUGGGGCAUCAAGACCAUCAACCUUGUGAGGCGUGACGAAAUCAAGGAAGAGCUCAAGAGCAUCGGUGCUGACGAAGUUCUCAACGUGACAAAAGAAGGUACAAUUUACCCACACCCGAUAAUUUCUAAGUUUGCGUGAUCUUCGUGGGGAAGAUGUUGCUGCUAAAGUGAAAGAACUUACAAAUGGAGCCGGAGUGGAGGGAGCGAUCGACAUGGUAUCGGGGUCGCAAACUAAGCUCGCUGCCGCUUGCGUGAAAUCCGGUGGGAAAGUCUUCACUAUCGGGAGCCUCGAAUCAUCGGACUCGGUGAUAUCGGUGAAUGAUCUCGCGAGAAAAGUUUCCCAUUCUUUCUGGAGCUUGACAGCUGCUUCAGGGGACAUGCAAGAGCUGAUGGCUAAAGAGAUCCCAGAGCUCUUCCAGGCAAAGAUCAUAGGAUCGCUUCCAGUGGUGGCUAAAUUUCCUCUCGAGGACUACGAGACCGCCAUGGAACAGGCAGAGAAGCAGGCCAGACAGGGCAAAGUCCUCCUUGUUGGAUGACGAAGCUUUGAAAUGGUCCCGUCCCGCGAGACUUUCUCCCACUCUAUAGACUGAAGAGAUUUCCUACUUGAAUUCUAUCUUGGAUCGAUCACCGACUGUGACAGUGGAGGAAGAAAGCUCGGACUAUUCCCGCUCACCACUUCCUCCGAGGCUGGCGUUGGAAACGGCGGCACAGCCACCUCCAAGUCGGGCUCCUCCAGCAUUUGCACCACCCGGCUCAUGCUCGGCCUGGACCUGGCGUCGAGCUGGAUGCACCAAAACGCCACCUUGAUCAUCCGCUCGAACUCGUUCCACUCCAAGUUUUUAAGCCCCGGGUCCGCGAUGGCGUGGAGCUCUCCGGCCACGUACUUUUGAAAAGCCCACACUGGAAAGUAGCGGUUCUGGCCGAUUCUCGACUUGUCGUUGCCGCUGAGCAGCUCCAGUAGCACCAUGCCGUAGCUGUAGACGUCCACUUUGGAGGUGAUGGGACGGUCGCCGACCCACUCGGGUGCCAUGUAGCCUCGAGUUCCUCGGAUGGUGGUCACAUCGAGAGCCCGUUCUUUGUCAAUGAGCUUGGCCAGGCCAAAGUCCGACACCUUUGGACAGAAGUUCUCGUCGAGGAGAACGUUUUGCGGCUUGAUGUCGCAGUGGAGGACGCAAUCGUAGCACUCCUCGUGCAAGUACGUGAUGCCCUUUGCAACACCAAGAGCAAUCGAGUACCUGUAAACCAACUUAGUAGACAAACUUUGGAAAGAGCACGAACAUACCUCGUUCCCCAGAGAUCGAUACACUCUUGGUCCAGUGAUCCGUUGCUCAGGAACUCGUAGACGAGUAAACGAUGGCUUCCCUCAGCGCAGUAGCCCAAAAGUUUCACUAAGUUGACGUGAUGAACCCUUCCAAGGGUGGCGACCUCGGCUUUAAACUGUUUCUCGCCGUGGCUGGCAGCUCCUUCAAGAGUUUUUACUGCCACCACCGUCAUAUCCGGAAGAACACCCUUGUAAACACUUCCGAAUCCACCGGCCCCGAGCUUGCAGCUAAAAUGGUUUGUGGCAACUUCCAGCUGCUCGUACGAGAACCAUGUCGGGCCGCGGUGAUCCUUGGCGGCUUUCUUCCACAUUCCACGAAGAGAUCUUCGCCAGCAGAACCACGCCGACAACGCGAUGCACAAGAAACUGGCGAGCUCUCCAAUUGCGAUGGCAAAGACCAGUCUGUGACCCGCGUCAGAGAAGUAACUCCAGUUUCUCAAAGAAUCGGGGAGUGACGGCGUAUAAGCAUCCAGGACCGUCACAAACACGUCCUCGGAGAAAGAAGUUGUCAAUGGAUCCAGUGCCGAAACUUUGAGAAGUGCGAUGGAGGCCCGCUCCAUUGCCUGGACACCAUUGAAGAGUCUUCCAUCUUCACCACCAAGAAGACUACAACGUUUUGUUCCCGCGAGCAUGUACGUAGCACCCAGGCAGCGGCAAUCCUUCAAACAAGAGACCUUGCACUGCUCGAGGGAAAUCGGGUCUUUGGAGAGUUGUUGCAAAAGAUUUCCAACGUACAUGGCCCUCUGAACUUCCACCAUCUUGCUCGCAGAAGAAGUAGCGUUACCGGAAGAACAGCUGAGGGGAAAUUUGCGGACGCAUCCGGCCGAUUCACUGGAAUCCACAGCAUAAAAUCCCGGUGGACACGAGCAGCUCUUCCUCGGCUUGUAUCCACACAAGCCAAAAGCUCCACACGUCCCAAAAACUUCACAUUCGAGCAAUGCCGACUGCCAUACCACUCUCCACCUUUUUUCCCUGCUGCCACAGCUAUAACUCCUCAACGUUCCAUUUUUUUCCAGCGUGAGCCUCCGGGUCACGCUCGUAUCACCGAGAUCUAUCGGGUACUUUUGAGCGUUGUCGAACUUGUAGCGGUACCAGGAGCUUCCGUUGGCAUCGAAAAAGGCAAGAUGACCAUCGAUGCUGAAAGUGAACUUCGGAGUAGAAGUCAUUGUCGACUCUGAGGUGUUGAGCUGCUUGUUGAUGAUGCCCCAGUAGGAAUGAUUCAAGUAGUCCUGGAAGUAGAGUUCAAUACCCCGUCUGUUCAUGCUAAGCCGGUAUUUUCCAGCGACCAAACUCGUAUUUCCACGAAGUUCUUGUCCAGGAAGGAGAGUAUCUGUUGGGAAGUCAAAACUUUGCCAAAUCCUGUCCGAGCUACGGUCGAGCAGCACAAAGUUGCCAGUUUCUUCCAAGGACGCGGUGGCGAUAGAACAAUUCUCACAGCGGACAAGCCAUACUGUCAUGGACUUGUCUGUAACGAUGAGUCCAGUUUCUUUAAGCUCGAGCUCUCCAGUUUUGCCUACUUUGAUCUUCGGUUUCUCGGUAGUGCUACCAUUCUUGAUGAGCGCUUCAGUGGCCUCCCAUACUACUGUUCCUGUGCUUUGAUGCCAGAUUGCAAGAGUAAAGAGCUCACCAAUCCCAUCGCUUGUGUGGAAUCCAAAUGCAAAAGUGUUGUUAAGUGACAUCCAUGGUGGCUGCCUCGCACCAAGCUUGUCUCCCAGUCCAAUCCCCUCGCAAUUCAGCACCAGGAGCACCAGUAGAACUAGCGUCACUAGUUUUGCUGCCAUCAGGAAAAAAACUUCUUGUUCUUUCUCCUGCAAAUGAAACUCACUAAUUAGAAAAGAAGUGAACUCUGAAAGCUAUAUCAGAACUACAAUUUGACUUGGUCGAUGUCAACUACAAGAUAUCCUCCAUGAUUUCUCAUAUCCUUCUGAGUUUUGCUACGAAUUCAUGGCAUUAAAAACAAUUGAAAAAAAAACUGAUCAUACCUCACAAGAACUACUUAUAAUAGUAGUAUCCUUAGCAAAGUCAAGGUGAAAGUAGAUGACUUUCACAACGAUUGACUUGGGCUUUGAUCAAUUCAAUCCGGGAACGUAACUCCAACGAAAGAACCACAUAACUUAAAAAGUCAGAACCGCAAAACAGAAGAAAAACUUAGCGAGAGCAAGCUUUGGAGAAACCAUGUCAGAAACAACAUUCAUGAAGCUACUUACUCUCAUGCUGCUGCUCUCUUCGACUUACUACAGCAGAGUCCUGGCCGACUUCUUGCGCGGAAGCACUGUCACAACAGGAAGCCCUUGGAGAUCGCCUGGAGGAAUCUUUGGAUUUGGAUUCGUAAUGCCUGAGUCUUCAAGCACCCGGAACUUCAAUUUCGCGAUCUGGUAUGAUAUAGACCCGAAGAAGACUGUCGUCUGGAUGGCAAUGGCAAACGGGCAGCUGGUCCAGGUGAGUGAAAAUGCCAAGCUUGAGUUGAAAGCCGAGGGAGGACUUUCCGUCACUGCUGGCAACAGCUCCGUCCCCUUCUGGCAAACCAAUCCUGGACAGUGUUGUGCUGAAAGUGCUGCGCUGCUCGAGAACGGGAACUUAAUUGUCCUUCGGAAAGACAAGAAAAUUGCAUGGCAGAUCUUCGACUCUCCAACGAACAACCUUUUGCCCGAGCAGCAGCUCCGCACGCAAGGAAAUCCGUCCUUGGGAUACACGAGGUUGAUUUCUCGUGUAUCUGGAGCAUACCAGCUUGUUCUCAACAGUGGUCAGGUGCUGCUCAAGAACUUAAAGCUGGAGAUCCCGCAAAAGUACUGGUCUAUUGCAAAUCCGACACUGAACUCCACCAUGACUUGCCUGGAUGAUGAAACCGGAGAGCACGUCUUGAACAACAACGCUUGCCAGCCCGAUCGUUCUCUCAAGUUCCCGGCCGUCUUGAACUUGAGCUCUCAAGGGGUCCUUUCCUUUUACGACGCAACUGGAUAGAGCUGGAUCAAUGAGUUCACAAGACUACGCGCUUGAUUAUGACGAUGCAAAUGUGUUGAGGAGACUUACGCUGGACGACGAUAGCAAUCUCAGGAUCUACAGCUUCGGCCCGAAGAACAAGAGUGGCUCCUGGAGCAUCGUCUGGCAAGCCGUCAUGCACGAGUGCGACGUCUUUGGAACAUGUGGACCUUUCGCUCUCUGCACCUACAGGCCCACAAAAACUUGCAGCUGUCCUCCUGGAUUUCACCGAGUUGAUCCAAACGACGAAUCGAAGGGAUGUGACUACAACAUACCUCUGGGAGGUUGUCAAAACUCCUCGAACUCGGUGAAGCUCGUCCAGGUGAAUCGAGCAGACUACUACUUCAACGAUUACAACUUCGACUCGACCAUCAAGUCGCUCGAGAAGUGCAAGGACACCUGCAUGCAAGACUGUAAGUGCCUGGCAGCCGCUUACAAGUACGACGGCACGGGCUUGUGCUUCCUCAAAGGCAGCUCCAACAAGCUCUACAACGGUAAGCAGACCUUAAACGAGAUCAACAUGGUGUUUAUGAAGUUGUCGAGCCUGGACACAUCUGCAGCCGACGACCAGCACGAUCCCUUCCUCGCGGAUGCAAACGCCACAGUGAGUGACCAAGUCAUGCCAAAGAUAAACAAACGGACAGUCUACCUCUCGCGGCACCUCCACUCCAUCAUUCUGUCCGUGGCCAUCGUCGAGCUCGGGCUGUUUGCCACUGGAGCCGCGGUCGUGGCGGCUGUGUGGAAGAAAAUCUCCGGCAAGAAAUGGGAGGAGAUGACGGCAGAGAUCGAGGGGCUCCCGACCAAGUUCACGUAUCGCCAGCUCCAGGAUGCUACGGAAAACUUCUGCAACGAGUUAGGCUCGGGAGGAUUCGGGAGCGUGUAUAGAGGAAACAUACCGGAGAAAGGUGGUAUUGUGGCCGUGAAGAAGAUCACCACCGUGAACCAGGCCGAGAAGCAAUUCAAAGCCGAGGUGAGCACGAUUGGAAGAGUACACCACGUCAACUUGGUCCGCCUCCUCGGCUACUGCGCUUAUGGAAACCGCCACCUCCUCGUCUACUAGUUCAUGCCAAACGGUUCUCUCGACCACCACCUCUCGGCCUCGUCCUCGUCUGCCGCCUCGCAAGAGAUCUUCUCAACCUGGGAGACACGACACUCAAUCGCGCUGGGGAUUGCCAAAGGAUUGACGUACCUCCACGAGAAGCGUGACGAGCGCAUCGUCCACUGCGAUAUCAAGCCACAAAACGUGCUGCUGGACGAGAGCUUCCGGGCUGGCGAGGAUGAUGAGAAAAGAAUCGAUGAGCAUCACCACCGUGCAAGGAACCAGGGGAUACCUGGCCCCGCCCCAAGGCCGACGUCUAUAGCUUUGGGAUGCUCCUGCUGGAUACCUUGAGCGGCAAGAGGAAGGCCCUCAUGGAGCUGAAGCAAUACGAGAAUGCGCCACUGCCACCGCCUGGCGAGUGGUAUUUCCCGAUCUAUGCCUUCCAAAAGUACAUGACCUCGGAGCUGGAGAGCAUUGCCGAUCCAAACCUGGCGAGCGGCAGCGUGGAUUGGGAGCAAUUCGAGACGGCGCUCAAGAUCGCGCUGUGGUACCAGGAUCCAGGAUCUAGGCCAGCGAUGAGCCGCGUGGUGCAGAUCCUGGAGGGCAAAGCGGAGGCGCCGGCGCCGCCAUUUCCAGACGCUGGCGAGGGUAAUUGAAAUAAUAAUAACUAAAUUUAAAAAAUUAUUAUGUGAUAUUUUUCAAUUAUCUUGUCUAUAACCAUAAUCAUUCACCAUUGCCAUUUCAUAGAAAGAUCAUAGUGAGAGGUGUGGUACUUCAUUCAUGGAAUAAGGUGAAUGGAAUAAUAUGAAAUGGAACAAGGUAAUAGAAUAGAUGUUUGUGAUCUUUGGCAUCCUUUCAUUAUCUAAGUUUAAAUAUGGUUAAGGAUAUGUGAUCUUAAGCCAAACCCUAUAUGAACUCUCUGCCAGCUCACUAUUGCUGAGAUUGAAGGUAUUAAGCCCUCAGAAAUCUUUUUAUUUCUGGAGGUUCUCAACAACCAUGAAGGUUGUUAUUGGCCUUUUAUAAGCUUUUAAAAAUGAUCUACCUGUUGAAAAUAACUAGACUAAAAGGUGUUGACCAGAACUUGAUCAAUUACAGCAUCUUUAGUGUCAAAAUCCACACUAUUUCCACAAACAGAAUCCAAGGAUACAAUAGUGUGGCUACUAGAGGCGCCUAAUUUAUUGAGCAUUGCAAGGAAGUGUGGGUGAUGGAAGACUAAAGACCAUUGCUUGGGAGCCCUGUGAGUGAUCUUCUUUAAUAUACUUAUUUCCUUUGACCCUUAUGACCUUAAAAAACAAAAAAAAAAAAAGUUAUUCUGAGAAUAUUCUGUUAUGUAAAAGUAUAAAGCUUAAAAAAGGAGAUUUACAUAGAUUGCACAAAGACAUUUACCUGGGGAAAAUUGGAGUCCAACACCAAACAGUAAUGAAGAUCUGGGUGGGAUGUUUGCCGUUACAUAUAUACCACCUAUCCAGAGGCCCAUGUAGCAUAAUGAUGGGCAUCUAAAUACACCAUAUAGCUCAAGUCAGCCACUCAAAUUUCUUAAUCUAGGUGCUGACCACUAUUUUAAUCAUUUGAACAAAUAUGUCUUACACAAGAUUAGAUACAAAGUCUAAACUUUGUACUUUCUAAAAAAGUAUACUGAGAUUUUUCACUAUUAUUAUUAUUAAGUAAAUUUGACCAAUAAAAUACAAAUAUAAAUAUAGAUCCGAACACUAAAAGCAAUCUAAAAACACUUCUCAAGCUCCGUAACUGUAAGGCUUGUCUAGUGGAUGUGAUGGUCGAUCUUAGGAUCUUGAUUUAGUUUAUGCAUAAAAAUGUAAUAGAUGUGUUUGCAGGCUAAAUAUACCUUUUCCUUAUUCUCCCUUUGUGUAAAAUCUGGACAGGUAUAGGAUGGAUUUUCGCAGAUUUUGAUAGUGUAGUUCGUACCUUUGAAGACUUAGUCACAAUAACAAACUCCUUAGCCACAACACUAAUGCAGUUUGUCUUUGUGAUUGUGCACUUCAACUCUUUUGCUAACUUGAUCUUCUUUUGUGCACCUUUUGAAAUGGAAGACUUGUAUUGUACAGCCUUCCCAUUCCUAGCUAGUCGUGUAUGCUGGUCUAGUGUUGAUAUUGGUGGCAUAGUAGUACUAACAGCAACAUUUGAGGAAGUUUUUAGCUUGAAAUCUACUCUCUUUAGACUUUCAAUUUCUUCUUUCAAAAGAUUGUAGCUUUGCUCAACUGGCCACUCCUCUAGCAUAGAAUCUGGCUUCAAAAUAAUUGAGCUGUGGAUCCAGCUUGUAUGAGUAACAUCAAUCCCACAACAGUAAAUCCAGCUUGACUAGCAGCCCUUCAUUCCUAGAUCUCGACAGCCCCAGAAACAUGGCAUUGUUAAAGAACUUGAACCUGAGCACAUAAAUGUGAGACACUAACCUCAACUCCCAAUCAUUCUGGAGCAACGUGCAUUGCUCUUGGCACUGACUCUUCGAAUUGCCUAGUUGAUACGAGAAACUAGCUCACAAGAAAUAACCUUUUCAACCUCUGGCACUGGACUUACUUGUGUAACAACUAACACGUCCUUCACUCCAUAUUCCUUAGUUCUUUUCCAGUGUCAUGGAACAGAAUGGUAGUCAAACUCUGGACGGUGAGAGCUAGGAGUGAUGUUUGGCCCAUCAAAUAUCUGUUAACGCUUCAUCCGAGCUGUUCUCAUGUCCCCAAGUGGUUUAUAACUUGAUUCAUAGGAAUUCUAGCAACAACUUCCUCCACCAUCUUAGACAUUAACCUUGUUGUUGGUGUUGUCCUUCUACCAACCCGCUCUCGAAGCCUGUCUAAGUUCGGACCUGUACUAGCAAACCUUGCUUCCUAUACAGCUAAAGCUUUUGAUGACUGCUCAAGAGAUCUAGUGAGGUCGGAGAGCAUAGCUUCAUAAAGGAACACUUUUCCUUUCCCUGCUUCAAAAGCUCUCUGACUCCAAUGUUUUCUCUCAGAGAGAUUAAUUGUUGGUGUAAGUGCUAUGUCAUCAAGUGGUUGAUCCUAGGAAAAAUGCAACAUUUGAAUGUGACAAGAAAGAAAAUGAGAGAAAGCUUACAUAGAGAGUAUAAUAACCCCACUAAAACAUUCAAACUUCCCACCAUAUGCUCUAUUUCGUUAAAGUGGGAUUUAUUCAAUAAAAUGGGACUAGGUACAAAUUUUCAAGUAUUUGAAAAUGACGUGAAAUUAUAUGUUUUUUGUCCAGGGGCUAGACAUAUCUGGGGCAUGGUGACUUUAUGUCCAGAUUGAGUCCAUCUGGUUGUAUAAUAAAUCUCAUUGUCAAGGUGAACAAGCCGAAUCUGAAGCUAAAGAAGAACGAUGGCAUGCGCGCACACACUAUUUGUUUGUUCAUUGAGUGUGUGGUGAGUUUUCCAAGAUGAACGUCAUUCCUAUUAGCCAGACAUAUAACUUAAUGGUGAGAACAUUUAGAUAUUAUUCAAUGUUAUCUUUUUCUAACGAAUCUAAUUGUGAAGGUGUAGCAAGAGGCAUUGCUAGUCUGGAGAAGUCAUUUAACUCAUUUGACCCUUAGUGUAUUUUCAUGAAACUAAAUAACAUUCAUAUUAUUAAGGAAUUUCUCUAGUACCUUUUUUUUACGACAUAGAGGCUUGCAUUUCUUUCAAAGGUGAUUUAGUAAAAGGCCUGAGGGCACAUGCCAUUCUAUUUCUCAGACCGGUAUUAAGAUAUACUAGUGCAAAGGGAAAAAGGUAUUUGGUGAUCAAGUAAAUGGCAUGAGGGCACACGCCAUUAUAAGCCUAAGCGCUAGUGGACACCUCCUUUUUGGUACUCUCAGCGGUACUAUCAUCCUUCUCUGGGUCAGUUGUUUUGCUUUGGAUUGUUGUCUCUGAUGUUACUGGGGCGUUCUCGAUAGUUGUUAAUGUUGCCGUUUGUUCAGAAAAAUGAUCACCUGGAGUAUAGUACGGGGAGUUUGGAAGACUUAUAUAUUCUACAUCUUCACCUAUCUCCUUCUCCGUCUCCUUUUCUGCCUCACUUACAGAUUUUGUGCUUGCCAUGAGAACGCUCUUCACCCUAAAAUAUGGAGUUCGUUGUGUUAUAAAAGGAAACCAACACACACGCUGCAAGGGAAUGAUGGUACAUAAAGCACGUAAGCCCACAAUAUGGGUUUAUGUGCCAUUAAUAUGGGCCACACACCAGAUUUAUGCACGUGUGAUUGGUAAAUGCAUAUGUCACAUCAUCUUUGUUUUACCUCACACACUAUAUCAGGCCUAAUGAACCAUAUCACAUGUGCGCACAUGCUAUAUAUAUGGAGAAGUAUUAUGCAAGGAUAGAAAUUCAAUGCAUGAUUGUGGAGAGCAAUGGCAUGAAGCCACAUGCUAAAUAACAUUUUAGAGAAAGAAUUAAAAUAAAAACAUGCAAACAGUACUAAGUGGACCAAGACUUAGAAGUGCACAAUUGAAUGAGGUAUUUCUAAUAAAUACUUCACUCACCUCAUAUAGGAAUGGCUACCACUCUCAAAUGGCGUAUCGCCUCAUGCCAUCACCUCGCAAUUUGUUAUAACAAUCCGAUGAAUUCAUAUUCGGCUUGUUCACCUUGAACUUUAAGUAAGAUUUGCUAGAACAACUAAGAAUUUAUACUUGUUAUUUAUAUCAUCUCACCUAGGAAUGGCGUAAGGCCACAUGCCAUCACGCCUCCUCUGAUUCAGAUUCGGAUUGUUCACCUUGAAAUAAAAUACAUUAGAAACUUAGUAAAGGAAUAUUCAUGAAUCUCACCUUGAACCCGGGUUAUGAAUGCUCUUGCUGCAUCUCUUGCAUGGUCUGGCAAGGUGAUGGUGGCACUCUGCUUCCGCAUCCAACCAUGCACAACAUUAUCCACCGAUAUGCUCAUGCUGGGAUCCCUUGGAUUCAGCACCCAUCUCUUUUCUAGGCAAUCGUUCGUAUAUCCGGAACUUGGCUUGAACCACUCCACAGUUACAUUGAAGGAGUUAGUUUCCGCGUCCUCCUCUGCAUCAGUGAUGCAGCGCCCCACCCAUAUCAUUUGUUUUUUAUUAUUGGGUCUGACAAGCAUGACCAUUCCUUUGCAGACCUGUACUGGAUUGAAUGCUGAAUCUGGCUUCUUGUUCCUCGGCCCACAAUAGUGAUCCUCAACAUCGUUAUCUGUCACUGCAUUUCCAGAGGACAUUGUUCCGCUACUAUCUGGUGCUCUGGGUUCUGGCUAAAAGGACUCUUCCAAUUCUUCAUAUACAACCGGCCCAUUUUGGAUAGCAGAUAUAAUCUUCUCCCAGUAUUCGAGCAAAGGUUUGCACCUCUGAAAAUAGGAUUCUCCACCAAACACCAACCCCCUCUUCCAGAAGGCAAUAUGCUGUCUAAUCCCGGCCACUAUACUUUCCUGGUCUUUGAGUCCACCGGGUGCAUCGGCCGUGGGGAACCUUGAGGAAUCAUAGGUUCCCCAGUUAUGGGAUUUCUCUUGAAGAGUUCAAUGCCGUCCACUGGCAGCCACACUGUGUCCCAUUCUCUCAUCUUGUACCUCAUCACUGGAGCACCGUCACACAUGCUGAAAUGAAACUGAAGAGGCUUGGAGUGGCCAAUCAGCGUUUCGGAUCCGUCCCUGAUGUAGCCUCUUACAAACCCCUUAAAGUCUGGAACCUCUGUCAGAAGUGCAGCUUCAACAGUGCCUUUGAUGGAAUUUUGGAAUUCAUCGUAGAGUUGUGGGAGGGUGAGGACAUUGGAUCGCCGGAGGGACUCUGCCAGGUGACUGAACAUGGCAUCGACGUCUUCAUGAGUGUGCCCAACCAUGAGAAAGCCAAGUGUAACCGUUUCAAAUAUGCCUUUGGCAACAAGCAUCGCCAAGUACGCAAAGACGUACAUGUUUUUGUUCUCACUGCCAGCAUUGUCUGUUUGGAGCAGAAGAUGGGGUGGAAGGCCACAUCGGCCGCAAGAACUUCCUUGAGAUUCUGCUUCGUUUGGAUGAGGCUGUGCAUUCACCGGGCGACCAGCCUCGUCGGAAUGGCAUGAGGCCUCACGUGAUAACCCUACAAUCUGACGGCCAACAUAUUCACUGGGAUGGCAUGGGGCCCCACGCGAUACUGCAAGCCUUUGCUCCUCCUCCAGCUGAACCCUGUAUGAGGUUCGAUCGACAAGGGCCUUAUGCAAGGGUUGGCCGUUCAGCUCAGUCUGCGCACUUUGCAGAGACCUUAAGUGUUUUGCUAGGGACGCAAUCAUCAUGUUUGCACCCCCGCCACCCCAUAGAGGUACAAAGAAGUUCCCAUAGUUCUGGGCACCAUGCCCAUGAGCGAUUAUGUCAAACAGAGACACAGGCAGCUGCAUGGAUGAAGAGAUUGCCUUGGGGGCAGGAUUGAGUCGAGGUAAGCACGUUUUUUUCUGGUCCAUUUUGUCGUGGAUGAUGCAGAGGUAAGAGUCAAAUCUCUCCAUGGAGAGAAUCCUGUUAUGAUAAUAUGCAGUCCUGCAGCUUCUCUGCUCGAUGUUGUGGUCGAGCCGCCUUCUAACCAACGUCUCUCGCUCUUGAGUGCUAAAAGAAUUCUUUGACAAAGCCAUUUUGAUAGCAGUGCACUCGUCACACUUUGAAAAGCUGGAGUACUUUCCUAUACUCACAUCCCUGAACCUGUUUCUCCACAAUCUACUAAAUCUAGAUUGGCUCAGCUUCCUGUAGCCAUUACUCUGGAGUUCCCGAUUCACAUCUUCCAAUAUGGCCCCCUUGGUAUACAUGGAAGGGAGAACUCGUUGGGUGUCUCGUGUUCUAUCUUCCAAGAGGCGGGUUUUAUGUGGUUGCUGCUCGCUACAUGUCUCGACAAACCUCUUGAAGAUUGCCUCUCCAUAUACAACAUGACCCCUGGUUUUGUGCGUACUGUCGUUCCCAUGGACUGCCUGUUGAAGCCUUUGUUCCUCGAACUCAGUUUUGAUUCUGUAGAAUGUGGUUUGAGGGACUCCAUAAAUGAUUCUCCAUGCCUUCAUGCAGACCAAACCCCUCUGGAAGACCAUGCCCCCCACCUGAUGUUCUGAAGCAUCAAUAGAUGACCAUAAUGCCUCAUACACAAAAUUGCGAGCUGCCUUCCAGGACAAUGUCUUGUAUCUUGCUCUCUCCUCUUCAAUAGCAUCCCAAUCAGCAUGUUGACAGCACCUCCUCUUGAAACAAGCAACUGUCGAGACCAUUCGAACCUCCAUUGCCAUUUUCUGCCUUUUUGGUUCGUUGCUCAGAUCCCUUUGGCUGCGCUUUAGGAAGGUGUACUUUCUUUUCCCAUGAAGAGAUGUUCUGUCAUCAGUUGUAGUGGUGUUUGAUUGUGAAUCCUUCACAUUCUCAAACACUAAGUGCCUCAAUUUCCACCGCACAAUGCUUCCAAUAGUCAGACUGUUUUCUUCUGUGUCAACAACUUCUAAAAUCGCAACUCCAAUAUCAUCCCAGCCCAAUUCUUGAUUAGCAACCGCAUCUCUUGGAUCGACAACUGUGGCUAAGCCCUCAGCUACCACCUCCCCCUCGGGGUUGUUUAGAAACACCUUUGCCUGAAUCCAUGUAGCACGGUUCUUAAGAUCCACGGAGGGAACAUGCGUCGCACUUGCGGCGUCCCCAACAUCUGCUUUCUUCUGAAGAUUUUUCAAGGCAACAACAACAUUUACCCCGACGACCAUCUCUCCUCGUUCAAUAGCGACCACAUUCCCAUCGAAGACAGUCUCUACUGAUACAGCAGCAUUGCCUUCCCCAAGCCUUUGACAGUGUAUAACAAAGUUCCGAUCCAUAGACACAAGGGUCCCUUUUGCAACUUGCUUCCCACCAUUCAAAAUGUAAACCUUUUCCCCAACCCUGAAGGCCAUUAUUUUUGUGUGCGUGACUAGUCACCCAUACAAAAAUAUAUACAGUUGCAGCAAGGCAAAAGGAAUAUGGCAAUAGGCUAGGAGGGGCCAAAGAUGGCAUUAGGCCUCAUGCCAUCUUGAUAUACACACAGCUGCAGGCAAGUAAAAACAUACAUGACAAUACGCUAGCCAUGAAAUUGCAAGGGCCCAAGAUGGCAUGUGGCCUCAUGCCAUUUCUAAAUGUGGUCCUAAGCCAUUCCAUGGUGAACAUACCAGGAAGCACAAGUGCCGAAUAUCAAGAGGAAGCGGUAGCCACACCAAAGACAGUGCCGCUCGCAACACCGCAACUACUCGUAGUGCCGCUCGCAACACCGCAACUGCUCGUAGCGCCGCUCGCACAAACUGCCACUCGCAUAAACUGCCGCUCGCAAUGGCGCUCGCAAUGCCGCAACCGCUCGUAGACGCAUAAACCACAGCCCACAACGCCGCUUACACAAGCAGCGCUCACUGCGCUCAGCGGAACCAAGAACACGGCGCACAAAAAUGAUAGACCUAGGAAUGAGUUCAAGAAUUCAAAAAUAGCACACGCUUGAACGUCAAAUCCUCUGACAAACCAGAUCUUAUGAUUCCUCUGACAAAUUUCAAACUGAGUAGCUUCUAGACUUUGCUGUCGGAGGUUGAACUUUGUCACAUCAUGUCCUUGCCUCGAUCCAGCUGUGCCAUGUCAGUGAUUCGAACUUUGCCAUGCCAUGUCAGCGAUCCGCGCCAAGAUUAUUCGCCGUGUAAAGGAAUAAUUAUGCUGUGUGUGUACGUCCAUUUAUGGCAAUAUAAGGCCACACGCCAUUCAAAGAAUAAUGCUAGUCGAGCAUUUUUUGGUGCAUUUUUGGGUUCAAAAUUGCAUGAGCCCACACGCUAUAAAGUUUACCUGUACCAAAAAUAGAAACAGCUUUAUUUACUUGGGAAUUUAAGUGGUUGAGGCAUUUUUAAACUUACAAACACAUGCCCUACUUACAUUCCUUUAGUUGCUUAAAAUUCAAAAAUAUUAUAAACCUUUCUUUUUGCAUUUUCAAUGUUUUCAAUUAUGGUUUUUGAUUUUCGUAGGACCAGCCUAGUAAUCUAUUUGCAUCCCGUCAUGUUUAUAGCUAGCUUUCGUUUGUCCCCUUCGCUAGCCUGAGAUACAUCUGCUCGGCAUCUGCCUCUUACAGCAUUUGCCCAGAAAGGGCAUCUUUCUUCACGCAGCAUUUGCCACAUGUUUAGGGUUUAGGGUUUAGCAAUUCAGUAGCUUGAUAAACAUGCAAAUACAGAACUUGAUGCAAAAUCCUUUGAUAUGUCACAAUGCCCCUAGGACCAUAAACACAUUUCAAUAGAGAGGGUCCUUUCAUUUCAUAACUCCUUACGUAGAUCUUGGUGAAACUAGAGUUAGUGAAGUUAGUUUCUUGUGAUCCCGCAUCUGAUUGUGAUGUCCCUUUGCAGUUUCGAUGGAAAGGUCAAUGCACACCAAACUGUAAAAUCUUGGAGCAAAAUAACGGUCGGAUCUAUGGCAAAUGCCCCUGAAACAUUGUAAGGCUCGUGUGGUCUCAUGUGGUGUCCGAUCGAGAUGCUUCUUUGCAGGGUCAUCAAGAAAGACAUUGUAUACCAUUCUGUAAAAUCUAGUUGCGAUCUAACGGUUGGAUCUCCAGAAAACUCAAAAAAAUCUCACGCGUGUCAGAAUAUCCUAGGAAUAUACUCCUAUGUGCCCCUGAAAAUGGCAUGCGGCCCCACGCCAUUCAAGAGAUAACGCCAGAUGACGCCGAGAAUUUUUUGGUGCAUUUUUUGGGUUCAAAAUUGGAUGAGCCCACACGCUAUAAAGUUUAUCUUUGCCAAAUAGAGAAAAGUUUAUCUGUGUCAUGUGAGGUAGUUACAGUCCUUUGUGCUCGGCAUCUGCCUCUUGCAGCAUUUGCACUGAAAGGGAAUUUUUCUCCAUUCAGCAUUUGGCCCUGAAAAUGGCAUGCGCCCACACGCCAUUCAAGGAAUAACGCCACAGGACGCCUGGAUUUUUGGGUUUAAAAUGUUUAGGGUUUUUUGGGUUUUUUCAAAAUAUUUUGGGUCCAACGUUUUUUGGGUUUCUUUGGUUCAAAAUUGCAUGAGCCCACACGCUAUAAUAUUGAUUUGAGAGAAAAAUAGAAACAGAUAGAAUUUCUUUAUUUAGCUGAACAUCUGCCAUUUUUGGAAAUACAAGAUGCUUUGGAAUAUCCAAUCAUGCAUGGUAUAAAUAUAGCGAGGGUAUUAAAUGAUAUCCCAAUCAUGAUCUUUCUUUUGGAUUUCGCGUGCAUGCAGUCCGAGGAAUGAUGACGUUGCGGAUUUCUUUUGGAUUUUGCGUGCUUGCAUGCGUGCGGCAAUCCAGAAAUUAAUGGUGGCGCCCAAGUCCAAGGAAUGAUGACGUGGCGGGAUUACCAACCAUUGUGACAUUUCGCGCGUGUGAGGUUAGGUUUUGCAUUUUGCUUUGUACUCGCGCUCGCGCUUGCACACUCGCGCUCGCGCUUGCAUCACACUCGCGCUCCCGCUCGCAUCGCGCUCCCACUCGCGAUCACGCUCACUUCUCUACAGGUUUCUCGUGUGCAUCGGCGUCCACUCGCGCUUGCAUCACACUCGCGCUCGCAUCGCGCUCGUGUGCAUCAGCGUCCACUUCAUGACACACCCAGUUUGUAACUUCGCCGCCAACUCCGCCGCCCACUCCGCCACCCACACGCAGCCCACUUGGCGUCCCGGGAGAUUUCAGCACUACUCUCCAACUGUAAGUGGCAGAGUAGCCUUGCUGCUACGAUCCGCUGCACACACAGUGCACAUCGCCAGCGAGUCCGGCCUCGAUUGUCACGGCCUCCAUUCGGCUUCAAAUGGUAAGUCUUUUAGGCCAAGUAGAAAAUGGCAUGAGGCCACAUGCCAUUCAGUAGCAACAUUGGCAUGCACCAAUUGGGCUCUCGAGUGCAGUCCGGUUACAGAUGGCGUGUAGCCUCACGCCAUCUUAGGAUGCAGCCUCAAGACAUCUGAUGCAGUGGUGAAUGGCGUGUGGCCUCACGUUAUUUCCAGCUGCUAGCUUUUCAUCUGUCAGCUCUAAUUGUUGUGCAUUUCUGAACAGGCGAGGAAUUGCGUUCUUCUUCCAGCCACUGUCAAUGUGGAUGCAGAGAAGGGGGAGGAGCUCACCAGUUGGACUUUCGGGAUGGAAGGCGAGGAUCUGAUGCUGUACAACACAGAUGGUGGGAGAAAAGAAUGCAUGGGGAUCCUCAUCCAAGUGACAGACACUCCAUGCAGUUCCAUGCAAGAAUAUGGACUGGCACUUGUGGUAGAGACAGCGUCCGCCUUCAAGAUCCACCUUGCACAUCCUAGCGGCUUCCCGGAGGGGGGCAGCGGCUAUGAGGAAUUCCUAGAGGGAGCUAGGGAGAGGUUGUCCAGGAGGCCCACAAUUUCAAAGACGCUGCGGGUUUAUGAAGAUCACAUGGAAUCCACGGACCUCACCUACGGCGAUGUUCAAAAACUAUAUUCCAACAUUGAGCCGUUGAGAGUGCCUCCAGUUUGCGAAGCGAAGGGGAAGGGGGUCGAUCUGGAAACUACCCUGAAGCAGAAAAGGGUGGUCAAGCUCAAGCCGACGUCCGACUCUGCUGCUCCAAAAAAGAAGCUACUCGGUGAUGCCAUUGCCUCGGGUUCGAACACUACACCCACCAAAAAGAAGAGCCGCAAAGAGCAAAAAGAGCAAGAAGAGGCAGCAAAAAUCGUCGCAGAUAAUAGUACUUGUUACUAUUCCAACAAAGUAUAUACAAUCGACGUGAGCCGUAUCGAGAUCCAAAGCAAAUACAACCACAGGCUAGUAUCUAAUGAGUGGGUGGAGAAACUGAAGCAGAAGAUGCUGGCAAGUCCAGUAACACCCGACAUCGCAGACGUGAUCCCCUACUACUGAACAAUGAAGGGCGAGACAAGGUUUCCAGACUUGAUCAAUAGGAAGGUGUUGGACGAUCAGAACAUCCGGUUCUAUGCCGUCUCCGGGCAGCAUUCUAGCUUGGCGAUGCAACAGAUAGUUGUGGAUAUUAUGGUGGGCGAGGAGGUGAAGAAAGUCUUCAAGACAAGAGUUGUCCGCCUGAUAAAAGGCAACUCGCCCCUCCGAUCUAUCAUAUACAUCUCCCACGCGCAGAAUGUCAAGCAAGAAACGUGCUACAAAUCGGGUCUGCACGAGACAUUGGCACGAACACGGAAGCUCUGGGUUCAACUGAAGAAGCCACAAAAACCAGGACAAGGAUGUGCACUAGCAACUAGCGCCUGGCAGGUAAGCCUCGUUGCAUGUGGCAUAGCAUGUGGCCUCACGCCAUUUCCAUUGCAGGAAUUCUCGAGUCUUCUCUCGAAAACACUGGGGGUCAAUGACACACUCAGCAUCCAUAACAUUCUACUCGCGACAAAAGUUGUUUUUGACAAAUGGGUAGAUGUGCUGAGGAGGUACCAUGACGGGGAGUUGCUAAACUCAAUGGGUGUGGAGGACGGCCGGAAGCCCAAUGAUUUGAAUCUCAAUGCCUUGCGUUUCUCGCGGUCUCUAGACGACGACGACCUUCUGACAGUGGCUAAUGCUCUUCUACGUGGUGAGGUAGUCUUCAACAAGACCAAAAUGACUCCCGGCCAUAUUGUGACAUACAAGGACUUGUGCACGACUCUGAGAGCUCGUGCGCUAUUGAAGGAUUGGAUCUUCUAGCAAGUGGCCGUGGCGAGGGUGAGCAUCGACACCACGCAAGAGAUGAUGGAAGAGCUGGAGUUGUCAAAUGAAGACAUCGACGAGUACGUGAAGGGGGCCCCCAAGUUCAUCGAUCUGCUGCGGGAUGCCACGAAAAGUAAAGCUGAGAAGUUGGAUCAGUAUCCAAAUUUCAUUAAGAGGGAUGUCGACCGCCGGCUUCAGAAACAGCUCGACCCCGCAACAGAGGCCUAUCGAGAACCUUACCGGGUAUACGUGAAUUCAGAUGAGGAUCAAAGGUGGAGGAGCAUCGUUUCCCGCGGAGAUGAGCAGGUCAAGAACAUCUUUUGUGUGAUGGACUUCACAAACGAGGAGAUCACUCAUGCAGAUGAAGUCAGCUCCAUCAUUGACUUAAUGGUGGGACUUGCGGAGGUGGAAUCUUCAGUCCACUAUAUGAUCUACGACUCCGAAUCCUAUCACAAGUUCUGGAAGGCCUUGAACGAGGUGAAGGCUCGGUUGAAAGGCAAGGAGAUGCGGGAGAUCCAUGGGAUAAUGGCUAAGAAGAAGAUACCGACGAAUGUCCGCAUCUUCACACUCGCCCUUGUUAUUGGUCCUACAGCAGAGUGGGAUUGGAGUGACUUCCCAGCUUCGUUCGACAAGGCCGAUCGAAUUGAUCUGAGGGAGAUCAAUUUACCCGUGCCUGAGGAACUGAAGACGGCUAUGGAGCUUUCGAAUCCAAAGAAAGCUCCAGGUGCAGCAUGGGAAAUGCUCAGCUGGGUCUUCAACGCAAUAGCAGGUGACUCCAAGGGCAAAUGCGUUGUCGAGUACAACUGCGGCGGACUAUUCUUUCGAGCUGCACUACUCAAGGGUGUCCCGUGUGUUGCGGUGACAAACUCCAUUGAAGAGGUGACUUCAAUGGAGCAUAUAAUUACAGUUGCCAAAGAAAAACAGUAUCUUCUCUACGAACCUGGUGAGUACGCACUUUAAGUUUAAAUGUUAUCUCACAAGCUCUGUAUGCAGGAGCGUGGCCACCCCCAGAUGCUGAAACGGCGUUAACAGCUACUGAUGUUAGGCCGAGCUCACAACCUGCACAAGGUAAGGUCACGUGAGGCCUCACGCCAUUUUGAUUAUAGAUCGUUGUGAAUAUUCAGACACGAGGACUGAAAAGCGCACUGGUGGCGCGUCGAAGAAGGACAAACAGACAAGCAAUAGGAAAAAAGGAGGUACAAAUUAUAUUUGCAAUGGCGUGUGGUCUCAUGCCAUUCCUUGCAGGAGACACUUCUUCAAAGGCAAAACAGGCAAGCACCAGCCAAGCUCAAACUGACAGUGGUCGGGGCGAACAGCUUCUUCACGUACGAGAUCAAGGAUGCGCGGAACGGUUUGAUGGUGAACAGGGAAUUUGAGAGAGAAGAAAUCCCACGACUGUGGCAAAAGUGGAUCACGCUAGGAGUGGAGGUGGACCAGGUGAUUGACAAUACCGUGGCGUUCUGGAAAUUACCGAUCCAGGAAAAAUCAAAGGUAACCUCUUGGCUCGUGGCGACGAAUGGGCUGCCAGUAGGCCAGCAAUUUCAAGCGGAGAAUGCUCGCAGGUGUCCGGAAUGCGGGGAACUGGAGACGGUCACACACCUCCUCUGGGAUUGUGACGUGGCCAAGGAGACGUGGCGGCAGGUAGCAAAAGCAACGAGGGAACUAGGGGACAAGCAGGAUUUUGAAAUUCGAGAAGGGGAUGUCACCCAAUGGUUUCCAAAGGCAAGGGGACCAUGCACAGGAGCAGCUUGGCGGAAGAUCGGGUGUUGGGGACGCUCAGGAUGGGGCACCCGAGUUAGGUGGGACGCGGUAGGCGCUGAAGUUGGGACUACAGUGUGGGAGGCCCUUGGACGGGCGAGAUGGGAGGUAUGGCGGGCUUCCGGGGUACAGGCACUCUGGGAGGCUCGGAACUGCAACCAAUUCGAAGGGCAGUGCACUCGGAUUUCAGCGAUCAUGGCGAAUUGGUGGAGGCUCACACUGGCUGCUAUCCGCUUGAGGGAUACGCUGCUCCAGGAGCAUGGGAAAAACAGGGAGGCACUCACAGCUUGGCGACGAUUAUGGACUCCGUGCUACGGAACUGAACACGAGGGGGAGGUCAAGUGGAAAUGGAGACCUUUGGACACAGUAACAAAGGAGGCUUGACGUGGCGAUCUGGCACUAGAUGCACUGCGGAGGCGACGACCACAGCAGCCACGAUUGGAGGGCAGCGAUCACUAUUAGGUGGAGAAUUGCAGGACAGCGUAGUUGAGUGAACAACGCUAAGGGAUUCUUGUUUUUUGUAUCAGUCCCUAAGGGACUUGGAGAAAUGUACAUACACGUUGCAUCAAACUGACAGUGGUCAUAAAAAGCGAAAGCACGUUGGACAGUCGUCGGGAUCAGAGGCGUUUGAUUCGAAAAGGAAGAAGGGCAACAAAAAGAUGAUAGGUAAUGCCUCGCGGUUAUGGCGUGUGUGCUCAUGCCAUUCAUUGCAGAUCAAGGGCUGAGUGAAAGGAGCCAGUCACCACCUUCUGACUCAGAUUCCUAUGGCGGACUCCCCUUCCCCAAUCUCAAUGGAGAGGUACAAUGGAUGAGGGAUGCUUUUCAAGUCAGGGCCACGUUUUUCUCAUCUCGUCAUCUUCGAAGGCUGCAAGAACGUGCAGAAACCAUGUUAAGACAGUCGGGUGAGGAUACGGUCCUAGGUCACGCACUAAAACAGGCUAUGGAUGUCUUGUAUUUUGAGAUGGAGACUCGGCCAGAUGAUUUUCCCAAGAUGGUCCUGGAAAAACAAGCCAUCCAGCCUGAGCAGCCUAUGGAAGAAAUGCAGGAGGGGGAUGAGGAGCCAGAGAAAGAUAAUGAGCAGGAAGAGCAGAAGGACGAAGAGGAGGACAAAGAAGAGGAGGACGAAGAAGAGGAAGAUGAAGAAGAGGAGGACGAAGAGGACUUGGAUGGUCCUCACAAUGGUGACGAUCACAAUAACGACGAUGACGAUGAUGAUGACGAUGGCCAGCCUGAGGUGGCCAAAGAGCAGCGGAGGAAGGUCAUACAAGACAAACCAUUAAGUAAAUAAUAGUACAUCCAUUCCUAACCUUUUACCAUUUCUAACAUUGUCCAUGUAGGUCGCAGAAGAAAUGGUAAGUAGAGAUUAUUCAGUUGAAUUAAGAUACAAACUCUAGCCUUUAGUGUCGAGGAAGGAUAGUGCCAAGCAAAGGUCGAAACAUAUGUCCAAUCCUUCAGAAUCAGCAGUGCGCCCAAGUGAUAUCGGUCCUAGUUCCUCAAUAGCAGUUGAUGGUAAAUACAGUAUAGUCGAUUCAAUGUGCUAAUGAGUUUGUUUUUAGUAGCCAGUAGGGAGGAUACCAUCUCAAUCGAAGGGAGAUAUUUGGACAUGCAUAUGGAUCCGCCAGUGGACUCUACUUGCCUGCAAGAGUCAUCAGAGCUGGUGGAGGCUACUAUCCAUAUCAACACCAAGCAAGCUGACCACGCUCCACUUGAUGCUGCCCAUACCACUGAGUCAAUCUUGUCCACGUAUCCAACUGACGGUGACCAGGCGCCAUUGGACCCGCAUGAGGCCGCCCCAGCCGCCGAGCCGGUCGUAUCCUCAUUUCCAACGUGUGCCCAAUCGUCUGACUACGCGCCAUUGGAACCUCCCUACACCGCCCCUGCUGCCUGUUCGGUCAUGUCCACUUUGCCAACGGAGGCAUCAGCUGAAAUGGCGUGUGAUCACAUGCCAUCGGAACCACCCCAUGCCACUGUUGAGCCAGUUGUACCAGAGUCUACAGCUGAAAUGGCAUGUGCCCACACGCCAUCGGAUGCGAUUGACCCCACAUUGCAGAGGAGAGUAUUUCCGCCCUUCACGUUUCCUCGACCAAAACCCUCUCAACGACCAUCGGGAGCACCAUUCGCUAAUAUUGUAGAUGGUAAAAUUGACUUGUACCAUUUUUUAUGUUGACGCAUUUCAUUUCAGAGUCACGGCGAAAGUACUGUAUCGUUUUUGAUCUGAACGGUGUCCUUUUCUCCCAUGAGCGUGGCUCGUCCUCGAAUGUCACUGCACCCUCCAAAGCCUGCGGUCGCAAGUUGGUCAAAAGAGACAGAUUCACAUUAAUCACACGGGAAAAACUGCGGGAUCUAAUAAUGACCAUGCGACACUUAAAACAGAGGGCCGGGUUCAAUUUGCAAUUGGGAGUUUGGACAUCCAUGAUGCGCCACAAUGCAUUAACGUUGCUACAGAUGAUGCACGAUCAGACGCGAGUAAUAUUACCAUUUGACUUUCUCCUAACACAGGAGGAUUGCUUGACUAUGGUCCAUGUGAGGGGUAGCAAGCCCAUCUUCGUCAAGCCAGAGGCUGUAGUGAUGAACCGGACUGCUAGGUCAAGUGAAAUCCUCAUCAUCGAUGACUCGCCGAUUAAAACUGCAGCGAACACGCACACAUAUGCAGUGCACCCCAUCUCUUGCAGUUUGGAAACUAGGGAGAAGAAACCGUAUGUUCUGGGGGACCUUCUGGAGCAUCAACACCACGCAAGAGAUGAUGGAAGAGCUGGAGUUGUCAAAUGAAGACAUCGACGACUACGUGAAGGGGGCCCCCAAGUUCAUCGAUCUGCUGUGGGAUGCCACGAAAAGUAAAGCUGAGAAGUUGGAUCAGUAUCCAAAUUUCAUUAAGAGGGAUGUCGACCGCCGGCUUCAGAAACAGCUCGACCCCGCAACAGAGGCCUAUCGAGAACCUUACCGGGUAUACGUGAAUUCAGAUGAGGAUCAAAGGUGGAGGAGCAUCGUUUCCCGCGGAGAUGAGCAGGUCAAGAACAUCUUUUGUGUGAUGGACUUCACAAACGAGGAGAUCACUCAUGCAGAUGAAGUCAGCUCCAUCAUUGACUUAAUGGUGGGACUUGCGGAGGUGGAAUCUUCAGUCCACUAUAUGAUCUACGACUCCGAAUCCUAUCACAAGUUCUGGAAGGCCUUGAACGAGGUGAAAAAGGCAAGGAGAUGCAGGAGAUCCAUGGGAUAAUGGCUAAGAAGAAGAUACCGACGAAUGUCCGCAUCUUCACACUCGCCCUUGUUAUUGGUCCUGCAGCAGAGUGGGACUGGAGUGACUUCCCAGCUUCGUUCGACAAGGCCGAUCGAAUUGAUCUGAGGGAGGUCAAAUUACCCGUGCUUGAGGAACUGAAGACGGCUAUGGAGCUUUCGAAUCCAGAGAAAGCUCCAGGUGCAGCAUGGGAAAUGCUCAGCUGGGUCUUCAAUGCAAUAGCACCUGCUUCCGACUCCAAGGGCAAAUGCGUUGUCGAGUACAACUGCGGCGGACUAUUCUUUCGAGCCGCACUACUCAAGGGUGUCCCGUGUGUUGCGGUGACAAACUCUAUUGAAGAGGUGACUUCAAUGAAGCAUAUAAUUACAGUUGCCAAAGAAAAACAGUAUCUUCUCUGCGAACCUGGUGAGUACGCACUUUAAGUUUAAAUGUUAUCUCACAAGCUCUGUAUGCAGGAGCGUGGCCACCCCCAGAUGCUGAAACGGCGUUAACAGCUACUGUUGGGCCGAGCUCACAACCUACACAAGGUAAGGUCAUGUGAGGCCUCACGCCAUUUUGAUUAUAGAUCGUUGUGAAUAUUCAGACACGAGGACUGAAAAGCGCACUGGUGGCGCGUCGAAGAAGGACAAACAGACAAGCAAUAGGAAAAAAAGAGGUACAAAUUAUAUUUGCAAUGGCGUGUGGUCUCAUGCCAUUCCUUGCAGGAGACACUUCUUCAAAGGCAAAUCAAGCAAGCACCAGCCAAGCUCAAACUGACAGUGGUCAUAAAAAGCGAAAGCACAUUGGACAGUCGUCGGGAUCAAAGGCGUUUGAUUCGAAAAGGAAGAAGGGCAAUGAAAAGAUGAUAGGUAAUGCCUCGCGGUCACCACCUCCUGACUCAGAUUCCUAUGGCGGACUCCCCUUCCCCAAUCUCAAUGGAGAGGUACAAUGGAUGAAGGAUGCUUUUCAAGUCAGGGCCACGUUUUUCUCAUCUCGUCGUCUUCGAAGGCUGCAAGAACGUGCAGAAACCAUGUUAAGACAGUCGGGUGAGGAUACGGUCCUAGGUCACGCACUAAAACAGGCUAUGGAUGUCUUGUAUUUUGAGAUGGAGACUUGGCCAGAUGAUUUUCCCAAGAUGGUCCUGGAAAAACAAGCCAUCCAGCCUGAGCAGCCUAUGGAAGAAAUGCAGGAGGGGGAUGAGGAGUCAGAGAAAGAUAAUGAGCAGGAAGAGCAAAAGGACAAAGAGGAGGACAAAGAAGAGGAGGACGAAGAAGAGGAGGACAAAGAGGACUUGGAUGGUCCUCACAAUGGUGACGAUCACAAUAACAACGACGACGAUGAUGACGACGAUGGCCAGCCUGAGGUGGCCAAAGAGCAGUGGAGGAAGGUCAUACAAGACAAACCAUCAGGUAAAUAAUAGUACAUUCAUUCCUAACCUUUUACCAUUUCUAACAUUGUCCAUGUAGGUUGCAAAGCAAAUGGUAAGUAGAGAUUAUUCAAUUGAAUUAAGAUACAAACUCUAGCCUUUAGUGUCGAGGAAGGAUAGUGCCAAGCAAGGGUCGAAACGUAUGUCCAAUCCUUCAGAAUCAGCAGUGCGCCCAAGUGAUAUCGGUCCUAGUUCCUCAAUAGCAGUUGAUGGUAAAUACAGUAUAGUCGAUUCAAUGUGCUAAUGAGUUUGUUUUUAGUAGCCAGUAGGGAGGAUACCAUCUCAAUCGAAGGGAGAUAUUUGGACAUGCAUAUGGAUCCACCAGUGGACUCUACUUGCCUGCAAGAGUCAUCAGAGCUGGUGGAGGCUACUAUCCAUAUCAACGCCAAGCAAGCUGACCACGCUCCACUUGAUGCUGCCCAUACCACUGAGUCAAUCUUGUCCACGUAUCCAACUGACGGUGACCAGGCGCCAUUGGACCCGCAUGAGGCCGCCCCAGCCGCCGAGCCGGUCAUAUCCUCAUUUCCAACGGACUCAACGUGUGCCCAAUCGUCUGACUACGCGCCGUUGGAACCUCCCUACACCGCCCCUGCUGCCUGUUCGGUCAUGUCCACUUUGCCAACGGAGGCACCAGCUGAAAUGGCGUGUGAUCACACGCCAUCGGAACCACCCCAUGCCACUGUUGAGCCAGUUGUACCAGAGUCUACAGCUGAAAUGGCAUGUGCCCACACGCCAUCGGAUGCGAUUGACCCCACAUUGCAGAGGAGAGUAUUUCCGCCCUUCACGUUUCCUCGACCAAAACCCUCUCAACGACCAUCGGGAGCACCAUUCGCUAAUAUUGUAGAUGGUAAAAUUGACUUGUACCAUUUUUUAUGUUGACGCAUUUCAUUUCAGAGUCAUGGCGAAAGUACUGUAUCAUUUUUGAUCUGAACGGUGUCCUUUUCUCCCAUGAGCGUGGCUCGUCCUCGAAUGUCACUGCACCCUCCAAAGCCUGCGGUCGCAAGUUGGUCAAAAGAGACAGAUUCACAUUAAUCACAUGGGAGAAACUGCGGGAUCUAAUAAUGACCAUGUGACACUUAAAACAGAGGGCCGGGUUCAAUUUGCAAUUGGGAGUUUGGACAUCCAUGAUGCGCCACAAUGCAUUAACGUUGCUACAGAUGAUGCACGAUCAAACGCGAGUAAUAUUACCAUUUGACUUUCUCCUAACGCAGGAGGAUUGCUUGACUAUGGUCCAUGUGAGGGGUAGCAAGCCCAUCUUCGUCAAGCCAGAGGCUGUAGUGAUGAACCGGACUGCUAGGUCAAGUGAAAUCCUCAUCAUCGAUGACUCGCCAAUUAAAACUGCAGCAAACACGCACACAUAUGCAGUGCGCCCCAUCUCUUGCAGUAUGGAAACUAGGGAGAAGAAACCGUAUGUUCUGGGGGACCUUGCAAAACGGCUUGGAGCGAUGGUGAUAGAGAACUGGCCAGUCCAGAAGGUGGCUGCAGAAAUCAACCAAAUGGCAGAUGGAACGGUAUAUCAGAAGCCAUUUGAUCGGACAGACAUCAGUCAUCAUUUAUGGCAUGUAUAUUGUCUAGCCAAGCACUAUCCGCAUCUCCAUAAUUUGCUCAACCGGAUGGGUUCUUCGACCACUGAACAUGAGCGUGGACGUAUUAGAGAAGAGAUGGCAUUACUAUUGGGUUUAAAUCCUGAUAGUGUGGAGAGUGAUGAAAUUCCAAGAUUAUUGUAUAGGCGUUGGAGGCAAAAAAUAAUAGUCUGAGAUGGCAUGUAUUUAUUUAAAAAUGUAACUUAUUAUGGCAUGGGGUUCCAUGCCAUUGUAUUAAUAUUAAAAGACAAUUCUUUGAGAGGAUUUGCAUUUACAGCAUGUUAUUGGAAGUCUACGAAGUUGUUUUAUUAAUAAGGGGAAAGUAAAGAUUGAAUGGGGACUUGGGCUCCACCUAGACUCGGAGCAACUGAGCCAAUAUUAAAAGGAUGGAAAGAAAUUGGACGACGAUGACAAGGAGAAGAGAGAGGUGAAGCAGUGGCAGGGGGAGGAGAAGUGAUUGAGUAGACAUUUCCUUGUUUAAAAUAAAAUGGCAUGUGCCUCAAUGCAGUUGAAUUUUGUUAUAUUUAUAUACUAUAUAAAGGUUUGGAAACCUUAUUUUACAAGUGGGAUAAUGACAAUUCCCACUUUAACGAAAUAGAGCUUCUAUACAAGCCAAUAUUCUAUUUGUGGAAGGUUUUCAAUUGACACUUUGUCUCCUUCACGCCACCAUAUGCACAUCUCAUUUGCCUUUGUAUUAUGCUCCUCUUUAGUUGAUGCAUCCAUCCAUUCCUGACAAAGCUGCUUGAACUCGUGAUGGAAGUCAGAUUUGAUGCAUCGGCAAUGUUCGUUAACACUCUUUGCCCAAUGAAAUUUACAACUCUUCUCUCUACCUUGUAACGGCUAACUUUUAUCACCUCCAAAUACUUGUCGUACAGCCAAUCAGAUAGCACUAGCAGCAUUUGCCAUGAAACCACAGAAGUUGGGUUUCUUCCCGGUUCACUGUUUAACAACUUCAGAUAUACAUGUCUAAAAGACAGUUUGUGCUUGAAAAUCUUGAACCUUGAAUUUGGCUAUAGCUAUAGUCAAGUUGCACUGCACCUAUAGAAGGAAUGGUUAUAAUGUAAAUCGGUAUGAAAUCCUUAAAAAAUGAAUAAUUACUUACUUGUGAUCAUAAACAUGAUCUCCCAUAAUUGACCAGCAUGAAAUUCGUUCCAUGUGGUCAAAAUGGAUCCAGGAAUUAACCAAGUCCCCAUCUCCAUCCAUAUCCAUUCAUUGUACAAAGUCCACACCAAAAGCAGGACCAAGGGUAGACAUUUUAAAGAUGAAAUGGUGUUGAUUAUUCACUUGGCUAACUAGUCAUUUGGCUAACGAACAAGCUCCUAUAAACUCAUAGGGACAUUUUCUUUUUAGCUCCAAAAUCCCAUUCAAUCUAGAUUGAGGCUUUCUAUCUUGCCCUUCUUGCAUCCAAUUCUUUAUUCUACUAAAAAAAAGAGUAUUAUUAGUGAUAAAGUAGAGUUAAGUAUUAAUUUUAUACCUAUUUAAAUUUGUCAUGGGUUCUAUAUUUCGAAGUAGGUCCUUCAAGCUAUUCUCCGUGAACUCUUUUUUGCUAUUAAAUUGUAGCAACAUGUCAACCACAUAAUCCUUUAGUAUAGACUGUUGAACACACUUUAGAGUUGCAGCACUUUUCUUCCCAACUUCUGUAGUAACAGCAGCCUUCAAAUUGCGAAAAGAAUCACGGUGGAUUCCUUCCUCUUCGUGCGUGGUUUUUUCGCGCGCCAACCAACUUUUUCGAGUUUGACUCUCUCUCACUUGUCACAAAAGAAUGGAACUCUCUUAAAGGGAAGAGAGCAUGGAGAUGAGAGGGAGAACAAACAAUCAAUGCUACAACUUUUGUGAUUGACUGGCGCUUCUCACUCAUAACCACAUUCAUUUCAAUAAUAUUAUUCCUCUCACAAUCAAUUAUACAUAUCUUAAUAUCUAAAGCAUUGAAUGAUUGUGUCCAUUGAUCGCCAUUAAAGAGAAUGAAAAUCAUGACCAUUGAUCAUGAUUGUUGAUCACGUCUGUUGAUUUUUAGGGUUUUACACCUAUGGUUUGAGCAACAAAGGGCGAGAGAAAAGCGUGUUUGAGUAGGGAAGGGCGAGAGAAAAGCAAUUCAACUUAGCAAUAUGCUUCAAGACGCUCCUCAAACAAGGUAUGCUUCCUUGAGAAGGUCAGUUCGCGUGUGAAUCAAUGUCUCCUCACUUUCUUUCUUCCAUGAGAAGUUUUCUAUUUUCUUGACUUUUGUUCUUUCUUGAGGGAUAGAGAUGUCGGUUCUUGUGCAAACCAAUAUCUCCUAGCAUUCUAUUUCAUUUUGCCCAUCUCUACUUGGUUUUUUUUUUUUUUUCUUGUUGAAGGGGUGGGAAAGAUUGGUUUGAGUGUGAAUUGACGUCUCCCCACCUUCAUUUUUUCUAGAAGCAAGCUUUAUUGAUUUUUUUCAUGUUUCUAGUGCUAUAUUUUAGAAAACAAAGAGAGAUAGAAAUGUCGGUUCUUGUGCGAACCGAUAUCUUCAAGGUUUUUUUUUUAUUUCAUUGACUUGAUGGGGCAUUUCAUGUGAAAAUUAGAGGGUGGAAGAUGUCGGUUCUUGCACAAACCAACUUCUCCCAUAUUCUUGUUGUGUUUUUCCUUUUUCUCAAGAGGUAGAGUGAGGUUGGUUCUCGUGCGAACCAACCUCUUCUAGUGACUUGUUGUCGCGAAUGUGACUUCGGGUAUUGAAAGUUAUCUGUCAGCUAGUCCUUACAGACACUCUUACCUUACUGCCACGAUGGCAGGAGGUCGGUAUUGUUGGACCCGUUAUCAGUUUCCCACUUGAGCUAAUUGAGAAACUGGUCAAUGACCAUGCACUUAGAUUGGAUAAAUAUAAGGUAGGAACCCUAUGUGUUUCUUGCUAAGCAUACUCGGCCUGGUUUGAGAAACUUGAGUCAUUGGCUUGCACUUGCUAGUAACAAGAACCCCCGCGAUAUUGAGAUUAGUCCCUCAAUAUUCGCUAGAUGAUAGCUUACCGUGUCUGCCAAACACCCUCGCUAUCAUGCCCUUUGUGUUAGUCUCAUUUCGGUCCCAAAUGCUAAUUAUGGAAAGUGUUUGGAUUUGCUCAUUUGCCAUAUCUAUGGAACGUAAAGAUCGGCCUGAACACAAUAGUGUUCGUCCCAUGUCCAAAUUCGCAAUCUAACGCCAUUCCAUAUUUAGUAAAUUUUGAGCUUGUCCCAAAGACUAACUCCUGAUACUAAGGGAAGUUUGGGGUGAAAGCCCAAAGUGUGUGUUCCUCAAAGGGGGGGUGGCUAUGGGGGGUUCCAAAUGUAUAGUAGGGAUAGUGGGUAGGUUGGGUAUGGCUGACCAACCUGAGGCAUAGUCUAGCUUCUGCUUGCGUGCCUGUCCUUGUUCUGCGUCUGGCUUGGGUCUAAGCCCAAGUUCCAUUCCAUGCUAGUUGGUGGAGUACCCAUGUCCUCGCGUUAGGCCACCGGUAUGCCAAAAUAGCACCAGACUCUAUUUGGCUUCGUUUUGCGUGCUGUGUGAGACACAAAAUCCCUAGGCCCCAAAGUGGAGCUGGAAGGGCACCAUGUGGUAGUGGCCAAAGCAAAAGCCAAACAAGUGUAACACAUUUGGACUAAAAGCUCCAUCUUGAAAGGUCGAGAGCGGGAGUGGAACUCCCAACAAAGUGCUCGAGGAAUGAGUACGAAGCGAGCAAUAAGCGAGGCUCUAAAAAAGGACCCAAAAGGACCAAGAUGGAGUCCGAGAUGGAGUCUGAGAUGGAGUCCGAGAUGGACCAAGACGAAGUCCGAGAUGGAGUCCGAGACAGAGUUCGAGAUGGACUGAGACGGAGUCCGAGAUGGAUCCGAGAUGGAGUCCGAGAUGGAGUCUGAGAUGGAGUCCGAGAUGGAGUCCGAGAUGGAGUCCGAGAUGGAGUCCGAGAUGGAGUCUAAGAUGGAGUCCGAGAUGGACCCGAGAUGGAGUCUGAGAUGGAGUCUAAGAUGGACCAAGACGGAGUCCAAGAUGGAGUCCGAGAUGGAUCCGAGAUGGAAUCCGAGAUGGAGUCCAAGAAGGACCCGAGAUGGAGUCCAAGGUCAAGACUGAGACCGGGACCGAGACCGAGACCGAGACCAAGACUGAGACCGAGACCAAGACUGAGACCUAGAUCGGGACCGGGACCGAGACCGAGCCCGAGUCCAAGCCCGAGUCCGAGUCCGAGUCCGAGUCCGAGUCCGAGUUCGAGUCUAAGAGGGUGAAAGCCCAAAGCAUUCGUCUCCCAGACCUUGGGGGGUUUGGUGAGCUCCAAAAGUAUAGUAAAGGGGAGGACUGUAGUGGAGCUAGUUUGGCCAGGAAAGGCCAGUUUGGCCCAAGAAGGCUGUACCCAGUGUUGGGUGAUGAGCUGCCCAUUGGGAAGUCCAAGACUAAAGUGAACACGGACCGACAAGCGGGGUAACUUGGUGAAGUGUUCAAGAGCCGGCUCUAGUUCCCCCGGGAGAUCGACUGGCCGAUACUCCCAAUCCAAGUGUGGGUGGCACUACCUACUUGGAUAUCAGGCGUGGCUCAACGGAACCUCGCUCUAAGCCCAUGGCUAGAGCACCCAAAGGCGGAAGGCGGGGAGAGUACCCACAAGGCUUGCGUAAGGCCAUGGUGUUCCGAAAUGUUGUCCUAAAGGCCUAGACUGUGGAAAGGAAGAGGAGUAGGCCUCGGGUGUAGUGACCAAGGAUACAGUCAUGCAGUGAGGAAGUCCUAGAGGACUGUGGGACUUAGUGGUCGGGCUUGUGGGCCUUGAUCCAGUGGCAGUGUUGGCGAAUACGGCCAAGGGCAAAAAGGGACUCAGUGGGGACCAGAAAGGAGAUAUUGGGGAAGGCUAUUCCUCAUGUUUGCGGGCAUCCUAAGGAUGCUAAGGAGUGGAUCUGGGAUGACCACUCAUGGAUGGAUGGCCCAGUCUUGGAGAGACGGGAUUGCAAUGAAGGUGGUGUUGGACCACUGAUGUGACCAAGGUGAUUGGGCAUGGCCUAGCGUAACAGGCUGGUAUGUUGGUGGUGCCUUGGGGUGUCGGUCAUGGAACCGGACACGUGGAGCACUUAUACCAAGUGCAAAGGUUGAGUGGCAUGGAUGCCAUUCUCGGGGCUAGCAAACCCCAAGUCCUGAGUGGGACUUAUGGAGGUUGUGAAUGAAACUCCUCCAAGUGGUUGGAGGUGCGGUUAAGUGACUAAAGUAGAAUGGAAAAAUUUAGUCUCUUACAAUUUGGUAUCAGAGUUGUUCCUUAGUUCAACUUUUAUUGGUGCUCAAGUAUAUCACUAUUGAUAUUGGCAUUGGAAGGUCCUAGGAGUGGGCCUAUCCUUGAGGAGUAGCAUGUCGAGAGGACAUGGCUCCCCACUCAAGUUCAUGCGUGAACUUGGGCGCGAUGUGGUGGAUAGAAAAGGGCCAGUAAGGGAAUGACUUUGGGAUCUUGGGAACAGUAUAAGGGUUUCCUCAGAGAGUUGAGGAUGUGAUCCAAAUGAGUGUUUGACGUAGCCAACUAGCUAAUGUAGUGGUGGUAAACAAUUAUAGUCAGGAUCACGAGAAAGAUAGAGACUCCAAAGCAAUAAAGGAGUCACAAGAUUAUCCUCAUAUAGUUGAGGUUGGUGCUCAGGAAUGUGAGACCAGAAGUAAUGACUGCGGGAGGUCAAAUACGGAAAAGGACACAAGUCCUUGAAAUGGUAGCCGGAGCUACCUCUAAUAAAUGCUGGAACAACCUAAGGAGUUGGGGGUGUACUCAAAUGAUGAGUUGGUAUUCUCAUCAUAUGGACAAGUGGUCAUAAGGGGCAAAAGGUUGCCCCUAGAGAACAAAUCAAGUGUCGAAGUAACACUUGCAAAAGAUGGUCCUUGUGAGUAGGACAUGAAUACAAAGAAUUGUAUUCCAGUGAGCUAGCACGUCAAAAGUAGGACCUUAUGGGUCGUCAGAUUAAUAAAGUCCAAAAGGUUGAAUGACUCCAAUAAAGUCAAGGAAUAAUCCUAAGGGCUUGAGGAAAGCAUUUGGACUAAGGUGUGUGGUGCCCCACAAAGAAUAGGGAGGAUCUUGAGAUCCAAGCAUGAGAGUAGUAUGUAUCUCAUUGAUGGCAGAAGGUGCCAUGCUAAAGUCGUGGGAAAGAGUUCCCUAGAAGAAAAUAACUUUGACACAAAGUUGUGCAUGAACUCUAUGGUGCAGUGCUAAUGGAUAGUUGGUAUGAGAAACGACUGGGUUGGUCUUGGCAAAGACUUAGACACAAGUGCAAAGUGUCAUAAAGGCAAACACAUCGAGCCGAUGGUGUGGAGACACCAAAUGGGCCAAGAUGUGAUGCCUUGAGGUUAUGUUGAUGGGUUCAUGAGAACCCUUGGCCAAGGGAAUCCCAAUGGAAAUGGGAAUGGCAUAGCCUAUGCUGGAAGGCAUGUGGUUGAAGUGUGGUGACCCAGAUAAUGAUGGAAGUGUGGAAGCACCAAGCAAUGAGUUGUAGGACUUGACAACUAUGAGGCAACUAAGCAUGAGGUGCAGGUAAUUGGUUAAACGGGUAGAAGGUAGCUACCCAAGACUUUUUAAUGGUAUAAAAAAGUUAAAUAUACCCUUAUUGGGGAUAAGUUGCUUAUGUUGCGAUAUAGAAGGUCAAUGUCAUAAAAGGAAAUGGUCAUUAUCAAGGACGCCAUCAUUGGGAUACCCAAACACUCUAGAACCCCAAGAGGUGGUGUUUAGAGUCACAAGGGCAUUAGAUAAAUCCUAAGGGACUAAGUCCUUAGUGAAUGAUGGAUAGGAGGUGCUAUCUAAACAUCCAAGGUUCUGGAGACAGAAGAAAUCCGUCUACCCAAUUUGGACAAAGCCAAAAAUGGGAUUUUGGCAAGGCUAGUAAUGGGCAUAUAGAGGCCCAUAAGUAGCAAUGUUAAUCCCGGUAUAUGGGAUUAUAAGGUGAGCAUGCCCAAAUUGAGGAACCAUUCCCUAAGCUAUUGGGUAGGUUCAUCCCUAUGAAUAUUUGCUAAGGCAUGGUAGAAGGUGCAAAACUAUCCUCCUAGUUUGGAAGAGAAUAACCAAAGGAAACAUAUGAGGCCAAAGGCAAGUAGUAUUGGGAUGGAAUCAAACUAUAGAAAUCGAAGGGCAUAACCAACGGUGGUUAUGCAAGUUGGCAAUGGAGAAUCAAGAGGGUGCUCAAGAAUGUUGCUACUAGCAACCACGAUGCCAUGGAGAGUCUAAAAUGUGGAAUUAUUCAUGUUAGACCAUAUGGGGAGUGGGGAGCUUGCGAAGGAGAAGCUUUAGCAAACUAAGGAACAGAGUUCCUUGAAGGUUCCCAAAGACAAUUUUAAGUAGAUAAAUACCUAGAAAGCCAAGUGUAAAUGGUUCCUAGAGUGCGCGAAAUCAGAAUGGCACCGCAGAAGCGUGGUCUUGAAGUUGGCCAUGAGGCGAGGCUAUCAAGGUUGGGGAAGUAGUCCCCAAGAGUUCAAAGAGAGGGCUUUGAACGAAAGUCGAUGGCUAAGGACUUUCACGCUUAUGCAUGAACCAUGUUACGGUGGUCGAAUGACUUGCUAAAUGAGAUUGGCAAGUUAGGGGGACAAAUACCCUAGUUGAGAUGCUAACUUCAAAAGGGGUGGCCCAUGAGGCCAAGCAUGGAGGAGUCCAUGCAUGAUCACAAACUUGUCAAAUGAGAAGACUUGGUAGGGUGGAGGAACUAAGUUCCUAAGCUGUGAUCUAUAGCGCACUUUAAAUAUAAGUUAGUGCACCAGCGUGGGGAGUCAUGCCAGGCAUCCGGUAUGAUGCCGUCUGUAGAUGCAUAUACGGAGGUUGGGUUCGAGUCCCGACCCUCUAGUGCUUGGGUUCGAGUCCCAAAUCACUAGGGCGUGGUGAUGGUUUGGAAUAUGACACUCAUUUUUCGGUGGUCAUGGACUCUCAGUGAGGAAACUAGUUUGGGCACACCGCCAAGCAAGGGAUGCCUCGGAGUCGUAAUGCACGGUUAGAUUGCUUAGUGUGGCUCAACAUAUCUAACUUGAACACUUAGUGUGAGUGGCACCAAGGAUGUGGUGAAUGAGAUGGGGACACCCAGUCUCAGUUGCUAUAGACCUUUAGUCGUAAGGGCUGGCUUGGGUGCACCGCCAAGUGUGGGGGAUGCCCCCGGGGUUAUGUUCAACAAUUUGAGGGUCUAGAAGACCAAGUACCUAUUGGCAACUCUGUUAAGGUGCCAAGGUGAGAUCACUAGGUGAUCUUGUGGCCAAAUAAGGACACGGUCCUUGGUUGGCUAAGAAAUGAAGUUCCCGGUUCAAAGUGUUGAUUUGAACUGUUUAUGAUGGUGUGGCUUGGUCAAGAUGACCAAGUGGGAAAAGCACCUAAGAGAAAUAAGUUAUGUCCAUGCGAUGGCAUGGUGAGUCCGAGGAAAGUAGUCUCUAUAAGAGACCCGUGAGAGGGUCAUAAAAUUGGGCCAUAGAUAAAGCCCAUAGUAGAAAAUGCUAAAGAGAUGUACUAGGGGUGAACACCCUCUGGACUUGGCAAAGCAAAAGCCUUCGCUAUAGAACUGAAAGGAUACCUCGGGAAUGGAGGUAGCGAUCCUAUGUUGCUAGGUGCAACAAUCAAGGAUAGGAGCAAAAGACUAAUGGCUAAGAAAGAGCCAUGGGAAUCAUGGGGAAAAAUCCAAAUGGCAAAGUUAGGCUAAAAACACUAAUGUGUUGGGUGCUAACGGAUUGUGGGAAAGGCAAUGUUUUCCCAAGAAUGGAUUCCCAACCGCUCCGAUUUGGUGAAAGUGGAAGCUCCAAGGGGGGAGUAGUAAGGUAGCCAAAUAAUAAGGCCAUGGGCAGCCCUAACACAAAUUAUAAUAACUGGAACUUAGUGCCAAAGGAGGCACGAUAUAGAAGAGAGGAUGAUGGUGCCCUCAACUAGAGAACUUCUUAGGAUGGGGAAGUGGAGUUGCACAAUAUGUGCAAUGCAAGGUGUUGGAGACACCUAAUAAAUUGACUUUGAGAAGUCAAAAGUAAAAGUUCCAAAGUGCAAAAGUUAUCUCUAUGGAAACUAAGACUAUUUGAGGAGUAAUGGACUAAGAUAGAGACGGUGUCUUUAAUAGGUUUAGCAAAGACUAAAUCAAUAAACGGAGAGAACCAACACAAGUGGUUGAAUAAGCCUCUAAGUUGAAGAGACUAUGCUCCUUAGAGGAUGGACAAGGCAUGGUGAGCCUUCGGUGUCAAACCAUAGAUAAAUAUUGGCUGGGUGCCAAGGAUGGAAAGGGUAAUACAUGUAGGUGUUACUUUAUAAAAGGGUUUACUGUUCGAUGAGGACAUUGAACUUCGUCUAUGGGUGGUGGAGUUGUGAGACACAAAAUCCCUAGGCCCCAAAGUGGAGCCGGAAGGGCGCCACGUGGUAGUGGCCGAAGCGAAAGCCAAACAAGCGUAACACGUUUGGACUAAAAGCUCCGCCUUGAAAGGUCGAGAGCGGGAGUGGAACUCCCAACAAAGUGCUCGAGGAAUGAGUACGAAGCGAGCAAUAAGCGAGGCUCUAAAAAGGGACCCAAAAGGACCGAGACGGAGUUCGAGAUGGAGUCCGAGAUUUAGUCUGAGAUGGAGUCCAAGACGGAGUCCGAGAUGGAGUCCGAGAUGGAGUCCGAGACGGAGUCCGAGAUGGAGUCCGAGAUGGAGUCCGAGAUGGAGUCCGAGAUGGAGUCCGAGAUGGACCCGAGAUGGAGUCUGAGAUGGACCGAGACAGAGUCCAAGAUGGAGUCCGAGAUGGACCCGAGAUGGAAUCCGAGAUGGAGUCCAAGAAGGACCCGAGAUGGAGUCCGAGGUCGAGACCGAGACCGGGAUCGAGACCGAGACCAAGACUAAGACUGGGACCGAGACCGAGACCGAGACCGAGACCGAUUUAGUCUGAGAUGGAGUCCAAGACGGAGUCCGAGAUGCAGUCCGAGAUGGAGUCUGAGACGGAGUCCGAGAUGGAGUCCGAGAUGGAGUCCGAGAUGGAGUCCGAGAUGGACCCGAGAUGGAGUCUGAGAUGGACCGAGACAGAGUCCAAGAUGGAGUCCGAGAUGGACCCGAGAUGGAAUCCGAGAUGGAGUCCAAGAAGGACCCGAGAUGGAGUCCGAGGUCGAGACCGAGACCGGGAUCGAGACCGAGACCAAGACUAAGACUGGGACCGAGACCGAGACCGAGACCGAGACCGAGCCCGAGCCCGAGCUCGAGUCCGAGCCCGAGUCUGAGCCUGAGUCCGAGCCCGAGGCCGAGGCCGAGACCGAGUUCGAGUCCGAGUCCGAGUCCGAGUCCGAGUUCGAGUCUAAGAGGGUGAAAGCCCAAAGCGUUCGUCUCCUAGACCUUGGGGGGUUUGGUGAGCUCCAAAAGUAUAGUAAGGUGGAGGACUAUAGUGGAGCCAGUUUGGCCAGGAAAGGCCAGUUUGGCCCAAGAAGGCUGUACCCAGUGUUGGGUGAUGAGCUGCCCACUGGGAAGUCCAAGACUAAAGUGAACACGGACCGACAAACGGGGUAACUUGGUGAAGUGUUCAAGAGCCGGCUCUAGUUCCCCCAGGAGAUCGACUGGCCGAUACUCCCAAUCCAAGUGUGGGUGGCACUACCUACUUGGAUACCAGGCAUGGCUCAACGGAACUUCACUCUAAGCCCAUGGCUAGAGCACCUAAAGGCGGAAGGUGGGGAGAGUACCCACAAGGCUUGCGUAAGGCCACGGUGUUCCGAAAUGUUGUCCUAAAGGCCCAGAUUGUGGAAAGGAAGAGGAAUAGGCCUUUGGUGUAGUGACCAAGGAUACAGUCAUGCGGUGAGGAAGUCCUAGAGGACUGUGGGACUUAGUGGUCGGGCUUGUGGGCCUUGAUCCAGUGGCAGUGUUAGCGAAUACGGCCAAGGGCAAAAAGGGACUCGGUGGGGACUAGAAAGGAGAUAUUGGGGAAGGCUAUUCCUCAUGUUUGCGGGCAUCCUAAGGAUGCUAAGGAGUGGAUCUGGGAUGACCACUCAUGGAUGGCCCAGUCUUGGAGAGACGGGAUUGCAAUGAAGGUGGUGUUGGACCACCGAUGUGACUAAGGUGAUUGGGCAUGGCCUAGCGUAACGAGCUGGUAUGUGAUGGAACUGAACCACGGAGCAACUCCCGAGCAUAAAGCCCAAGGAGCGAAGGGACAGGAGCCUAGAGCGACUUGGAACAGUCCUAGAGUAACCAACAUUCCAAUGCCAAGACCAGCAUGUAAGAGACUAAAUUUUUCUAUUUUACUUUAGUCACUUAACCGCACCUUCGACCACUUGGAGGAGUCUCAUUCACAACCUCCAUAAGUCCCACUCAGGACUUGGGGUUUGCUAGCCCCGAGAAUGGCAUCCAUGCCACUUAACCUUUGCACUUGGUCUAAGUGCUCCAUGUGUUCGGUCCCAUGACCAACACCCCAAGGCACCACACUUGGGAGUUUGGCACCGUUCCUUCAUUCAGUGGCCCAAGGCCCUGAACCUUGGGUUCCGCACCACUGUCCUUUGGACAUGUGGCAUAUGACACAUGGCAUAUGUCACGUGGCAUAAAGAAGGUUUAGGUUCCGCUUCGUGGUGUUAUCCUCUGGUAAAACACCAUAGGAUAAAGGUCAAAACCACAUGUGCUAUACUUGUGUUUUAUUCCUUUGCUUUUCUUAUAGUUUACAAUCUAUUUUUGAUAUCUUUUACUUACAAAAUUUUCUUGCGAGAGCAGAUAUAAAUCAAGCUUGACUACCUGAAACUUCCAACAAGGGACUUGAACUUAAAAUGCCACAGGUUUUCUUUGCAUUACAAGUUAGAUGUUAUAAUAUUUUUGCUUUUUAUUUUAGAGGAAGCACCGAGGCCAGCCUCAAUGGUCUUGGUCUUCAGGAAAAGGCAGCUGCCUUGAUCACUAUGGGUUUGGCCGAUUGAGUGGAGAUUAAUCGCUUUAGUCACUUAACCGCACCUCCGAUUGAGUGGAGAUUAACCACUCCCUUUUAGUCUCUGGCUGUGUUCGCCAACACUGCCACUAGAUCAAGGCCCGCAGGCCUGACCACUAAGUCCCACUAUCCUUUGGGACUUCCUCACCAUGUGACCAUAUCCUUGGUCACUGCAUUAGAGGCCUACUCCUCUUCCCUUUCACCGUUUGGGACUUUGGGACAACAUUUCAGAACACCGUGGCCUUACCCAAGCCUCAUGGGUACUCUCCCCGCCUUUUGCCUUUUGGUGCUCUAGCCAUGGGCUUAGAGCGAGGUUCCAUUGAGCCACGACAGGUAUCCAAGUAGGUAGUGCCACCCACACUUGGACUGGGAGCAUUGGCCAGUCGAUCUCCCGGGGGAACUAGAGCCAGCUCUUGAACACUUCACCAAGCUACCCCGCUUGUCGGUCUGUGUUCACUCUAGUCUUGGACUUCCCAGUGGGCAGCUCAUCACCCAACACUGGGUCUGGCCUUCCUGGGCCAAACUGGCCUUUCCUGGCCAAACUGGCUCCACUGCAGUCCUCCCCCUACUAUACUUUUGGAGCUCACCAAACCCCCUAGGGUCUGGGAGACGAACACUUUGGGCUUUCACCCUCUCAGACUCGGACUCGGGCUCGGACUUGGACUUGGACUCGGGCUCGGUCUCGGCCUCGGCCUCGGUCUCGGUCUCGGUCUCGGCCUCAACCUCGGUCUCGGUCUCGGUCUCGAUCCCGAUCUCGGUCUCGGUCUCGGUCCCGAUCUCGGACUCGGUCUCGGUCUCGGUCCCGGUCUCGACUUCGGACUCCAUCUCGGGUCCAUCUCGGACUCCAUCUUGGGUCCAUCUCGGACUCCAUCUCGAGUCCAUCUCGGACUCCAUCUCGGGUCCAUCUCGGACUCCAUCUCAGACUCCAUCUUGGGUCCAUCUCAGACUCCAUCUCGGGUCCAUCUCGGACUCCAUCUCGGACUCCAUCUUGGGUCCAUCUCGGACUCCAUCUCGGACUCCAUCUCGGACUCCAUCUCGGACUCCAUCUCGGACUCCACCUCGGGUCCAUCUCGGGUCCAUUUCGGGUCCCUUUUUGGAGUCUCGCUUAUUGCUCGCUUUGUGCUCGUUCCUCAAGCCCUUUGUUGGGAGUUCCACUCCCACUCUUGACCUUUUCAAGUCGGAGCUUUUAGUCCAAACGUGUUACGCUCGUUUGGCUUUCGCUUCGGCCACUACCAUGUGGCACCCUUUCAGCUCCACUUUGGGGCCUAGGGAUUUUGUGUCUCACAGUUAGUGACUACUGAACUUGAGGAUAAAUGGGAUCCUAUAUGGUUGCGAAAGUCUCGUGAGUUUGAUGGAUUCUUAUGACAACAUGUGGAGACAACAAGGUUCAUUGGAAAGCUCUUUUGGGUGAUCGAUGGAAACCAUAGGUGGUUGGCAUUUUGGAAAUGCAUUCAAGAGAAGUUCCAAGAUGACGAAGAACAAUAUAUUAGUGUUCCAGUCACAUUUGUGGAACUAAUGACUCGGGAGCACACUGUGAAGUUCAACAUGGCAUGCCAUAAGAUCAACAUGUAAGAAUUUAUUUUUUGUAAACUUAGCCAAUAUUGUGUUUUUGCAGGCUAAACCAAUUUGUGUUUCAAGCUCAUACAUUGGUACAUGACAUUGAGCACCUUUGGUUUAUCGGUAUACUCUCGCUAGAGGAGGUCCAAACAUUGUACAAUCGUGAGGUAUUUGAAGCAAUUCAAGUGAAGCUAGCAGCUAGGAAAGGCCAAAAAUUGUAAACUUGGUACCAGCUACCACUUGAUUUUCUAGUUGCUGUCUGGGCGAAAGUAAAUUAGUAUUGAAGUAUGUAUCAACUUACAUAAUGUUUCUUACAGCCCAUAAUCAAAGGAGAAAGAGUGUCAUUCUUUAAAAAUGCCCGAGGGGACGAGCAGCAGAAGAAGAUGGAGUGGUAUACGAUUGAGUAGUGAAUUUUGAAUACAAAGAGAAUAAAGGUGAAAAAGUUGCUCUCGAUUGCAGACAUAUGACGCGGGCAGGAAUGGCUUGAUAGCAUUGCAGAGAUUUGUUCUUGUGUUUGUAAGUUCUUCUAAAAUUUCUGAAACAUUUCAUAACUCUUUGUGUGUGUAGGAACUGAUAAAGCACCGAAGGAACUCAUUUACAACAUCUCCAAGAGUAAAAUGUCCUUUGUUGAACAAAGUGUCUACUUGGAACUUCUCAACACUUGGCUGUGAAACAACAAAAAACGCUGCGAGAUAAAGAUGGAGAAGGUGAUGAAGGAGAAGGCAUACAUUUCUUAGAGUAUUGCCGCUGAUGAGGAGAUGCUACAAGUUUGGGACAAGAAGUUUCUUUCCAGCACCUGCACAGGUAUCACUCUCAAAGAAUAUAUUCGUGCUUGUCUUGCGGAGCUAGGGAAUGGUUGGCUUCCAUGUGGUGGGACGAGUUCGGCUGAGUUCAAGAAUCAACUAGGACAACCAUUUCUUGCGAGGCACAUGAUUUAUAGAUAUUUUCUCAAUUCUCAUUUAUAUAUUGGUAUUUAUAUUUUUGUUUUACUUUGUAGAUAUUUAAAAUAUUGCCCCGGCAUACCGGUAUACACAACCGGUGUUUUGCAGAAGCUCCUGACUAGAGGCAAGAAGCUUGGGAUGUAUGAGCCAGAGUUCUACUGUCCUUGUACACAUGAGAGGGAGCUAUGCCCGUAGUACCUUGAACUCGUGGAGCAGAUGCUGACAUCGGACUUUGAGCUAAAUCUCUACCUUGAAUGUCAUCUAGGUUCACUUGAAACUCAGCACUUGGCUAGGAAAUAUUAACCUUGAGUUAUAUUCUUAUUUUCCAGAGGCUCUUUUUGACUAUGAUAACGACGUUGUUGAAGUUCAACAACUAAACCCAGACACUUAAGAAACCAUUCAGAAAAUGCCAAAUCCAAAUACCAUUAAACUAGAGGAAACUGUACAGGAAAUUCCAGCAUAAGAGAUUCCAGUCCCUACUCCUCGCAACCCCCGAAGGGGCCAUCAUAAAGCCUUUCAUGAGAGUAAGGACUUUGAUUUGGAACAUUCUUUUAUUCAUUCUUGACUUCACUUUUUUUUAUAGAUGUUGCAAAGAGCAGCCAUCAAUCUUCUCAGUGGACUAAGAUAUUCUUCCCAUCCCUCCCUAUGGCUACAAAUGACAACCUAGAAGAGCUCUCCUCUACAACUAUGCAUAAACAGGUUAGUAAGCAUGAAUUUUAUCUCCAACUUUUAGUUCUAAUAAUUGAAUUUUAGGUUCGCCCUCUAUCCCCAACGGGCAGUGUUGGGGAAGUUGUUGUUCUCAUUGGGGAUUACACACAGCUUUUAGAUGCUACUAAUCAGGAGCUCUACAUGCUUGAUUGGUGGAUCCAUGGUCUGGGUCAGCUCACACCUUAUGGGAAGAUUAAUUUCAUCUUUUUCGAUCUUCCCGAUGGAAUGCAACCAUCGUAGGGGGAUACUCCGUCAUGGAAUGUGUUGCAGGCCCAACACAUUUCCCAAGCCUUAAAGGUUGUGAGCAGCUUCAUGACAUACGAGGGUGUGGUUAUCAUGAUCCUUCCCCGCUCUCUAAUGUGGGAAGGCUUUCUCACACACUUGGCUGACAACGAUGAUGGAUUUGUUGAGUUUUCAUUUGGCUGCCUUCUUUCGAGUAUGGCGGUGGACAUAAAAGGCACUAGUGGGCAGAAGUGAAAGGUGUGUGUCUUCUUCAUUUAUAAAUUAACUCUAUUCUAAUUUUUUCCAGAUUUAUUCCUGGAACUACCAUGCUCUAUGCCACAUUGGGAACUAGCAUAAUGCCACACUAGUUGAUGAGCGUGUUGCUCUUGCUUUACCAGGAUAUGACAACUCUACAAACAUCAUCCCAAAUGUGAUUGACUCGAACAUUCUUCACCCAACGUUCCCUGGUUAUUGACAUUGUUUGGUCAUGGCCAUACAAAUCUUGUUGGAGUUAUUCUGUCCGCCAAAGGGGAUUGUGCUUGAUGCUAUAGCAGGAUUUGGAUCAAUGGUGCAGGCAGCGAAAGAGACAAGCCAAGCUGUUUUUGCACUUGAGAAGGAGGGUGCCUUUGAGGACAUUCUUAUGAGAUUUUGCAACAGGUGAUGUUAGUGCUUGAAAUAAUCUAUAAUAUUUAUUCUCAAAUGUUUCUAUGUCAUUAGGUUUAGACUUAUCACACACAGUGUUUCAGUCCAUACGCUUGAUCUUGAUGAUAUGGAUGAUCAUAUGGACCGAAGUCAAUUCCACUUACAUAUUUAUGCUGAAUGUAUGGCACAACAUUACAUACAACAUGAGCCUAUAGUGAAGGAGCAUUCCACUAUACCCAUUUCUACUUUUCUGGAUAUAGAAGUAGAAGAAGAUUGGAUAUAUUCUGAUUUUAAUAUAAAUUAUGUUGUUUAAUAUAUUAUUUUCUUUCUUUGUAGACUAAAAGAUUAAUUCGUGUCGAACCAAUAAUCUACAUGAGCUUAUGGAAUACUUUAAACACCUAGAUUUUAUGUUAAAAAUUCUUGGUUCGGGACGAACUAAGGUAGUGCCAUUAAACUUUCGCUAGUUAGGGGAUUGUAUUGACUUCCUUUGACUUUUGUUGACUUUCAUUAACUUGAGCUCAGCUCAAAAACUACCCAGCCCCAUAUAAAAGAGUUUAGUCAAUUGUUUCAAAGAUGCAAUAUAAAUAAAGACUAUGAAAAACUCAUCUGCAACUUCAAAAUAUAUUCAAAAGUUAGUGCUAAGGAUUUUAUCAUAAGCACCCUACUCAAUCCAGGUUGCGAGAAGACUCAAUUGGAUGAAGUUAGCUUGUGGGAGUUAUUAUGAUACAUGCAACUUGCAAUUAGCCUAAGGAGGUAAGAAAAUAAUAUUACAUACUUUUUAAUAGUAUCUCUUUUACAUUUUGUUUUAUUUAGGGUAAAAUCUUAAAUGUGUGAAUCUCGAGAGGGGAAACUCCAAUAAAAAAUUGACUCUAUCCUUGAAUUAAAAUGGACUUGUCUAUAUGAGUUUAUCCAUAAGAAUUUAUUUUCAGAUCAAGUCGUUAUUGAGUAAAAGUGCCCCUUCGUCUUCAAAAUGUCUACCAUAAGCCUCACCUCUAAUAUAGAUCUUGUUUCUCAAAUGGAUAUAUCUGGGUUAAGUGGCCUUGCUAAUGCAUGGGUAUAUUUUGACCAUAUAGAGGGGGAUAACCAUGGGAGCUCAUGUAUAUGAUCUAAGGUAGUUAUUUUUUCUCAUUGUCUUAAAAUGGUUUUAAACAUUACCAUUUUCAUAGACUACAACUUGACAAUUACAAUAAUAGAGUUUGAAGUACAAAACUAGAUGGCCCAAAAAAUAUUUUGGAAGUCCCUCUCUAACAUUGUACUAAAACGGACUAAUAAGCUUGCCAACUUUUGCGGUUUCAUGGCAAAUAAGGCUUAGGGCUAAUUAGAAUGGAGUCCAGAUAGUCUUUGGGAAUGGUCAACCCUAAAAGGUCGUGAUAGGACUUGUGAGUUCCAUUGGGCUUAGAGCCUAAACUAAUACUGCCACUUUAUCAAGCCAAAUUUCCAAUUAGUGUUUAAAGAGUUGUGCAAACAAUGGUAAGUUGCACUUUUUGAAGAAGAGCAUGAGGCAAAAACAAAUAAGAUUCAAAUGUGGUGGCAUGAAGAUGGCCAUACAGACGUAAGUUAUCUCCCACAAUUUAAAUCGUGGUUAGGGUGGUAGGAAGUUAAGAUGUUCCAAUAGGGACAUCACUCUCUUCAAGUUGGUUUUUUUUUUUCUCAUUUUAUUGCCUUUUAAUAUCGUCUUUUUCAUUAGAAUUAACCACUUGAGGAUCUUGCAUACACCCCAACUAUGAAUCUCUCAAAGAGUAAACAUUAGAACUAGUGUUCCUCUAAGGCACAGAAAGGGAAAAUGAGUUUAUACAAAGCCCGUCUAUUGAAUUUGAUAUGCACUAUAAAGUAAUUUUCAAAAGUCUUGGCAUUUGAGCAAGGAAGAUAUAUGAGAACAAAACCUUCAAUUGAGAUGUCACAUGAUCGGAUGAAGAAGAAAGUGAUUCCACCAACACGAACAAUGGCAACUGCAGUGGAGGAAGUGGUUUGCAACACAUCUAUGGAGUAUAUUCCCCAGACUUCUAUUGGUGAUAUAAAGGCUGUUUAUUCAAAACAUCAUUUUUCCUUUGCUAGUGAAGAAGUUGGCACAAAUGUUGGAGUGAAAAGCUCUCAUAGGCUUGAUGUUGAGUACCAUUUUGCUUAAAAACACUACCCCUAGACUAAAUCACCUCUAGUAAUUGAUGAAGAGAGUGCAUCUUAAUAGUUUGAAAAUCACUUACCAUAAAAUAGAGCCAAAACAAUGGGCAAUCUGUCGAGUGCUAGAAAAAUUAAAUGUAAAAUGUUUAAAGAUGCUUCUAAGGGGCAAAUAUUGGGCCUAGAUCCAUGGUGAUAAGUCUGCUUCUAUUCUAGUCCCAUGUUUCCAUAAGGAAUAAAAGCAAGCAAAAAUUUCAAGAUGGUGUUGGCUAUAUUGUUGCAACACUGAUGCAAACUAUACAAAGUGGCUUGAAGAAACUAUAAUGACUAAACCUGAUAUAGUAUUUAAAGAAUGGCCAGUUGCUAAUGAGGUUGUGCUCUCCUCAGAUAAGAUUGAAAACCUUGAGAAAUUUAAUUUCAAUUUUGAGAAGAGAGUUGAAGACAUGAGUGAGAGAACCAGAAUUGUUCACACAAAGAUGCACAAGAGGCUAGCAGAAAAAGGUAAAGCAAUUAAAUUUAUUAAUACCAUCUCCAAGCAAAAGUAGGGUAAAAUAAGUUUGGCUUAAAUGCUUGAAUGUGAGAUUGUCUCAAUGAAGUACAUCACUAUGCUUGUAAAGGAGUAUAUAGUCAAAUAGAAAAUGAAAAGUAUACAAUCAUCAUUCAAGAGCGACUUUCUUGCACAUGUCCAGACUUUAUAAAAUGCAAGGAACAUAGGAAGGCAUAUACUCCUUGCAAACAUAUGUACUACAUUUUCAUCAACAUUACAGUGGAUAUUUAUAUACACCAAGCAUUACUAUUGCUAAGUUGCAGAAGACUUUUGGAGUUAACUAGAGUUUCCAAGACUAUUGAUGUUUAUUCUCUAUCAAUAAUAUAAACUUAUUAUCCUUUAUAUAAUUAAUUAAAAAAUAAUUUUUCAUUUCACUUUUCAUUUCAUAUACUUGUAAGUGUUCUUUUGCAAUACUACCCAUAGUACUUAUGUGUCUCAAUUUUUGUUUUUACCAUCCUAAAAAAUAUUUUAUAGUAGUCUUUGAGUGCAUGAUAUUGCAAUGCGUUGCAUCAUAUUGAUCAUUGCCAUUGUUUCCAUUGGAACCAAAAAACAUAUAAGACAUUUCUUGAAAGUCACAGAGUUGCAAUUUUUUUAAACAAAUAAAAAAAUAAUUUUUUUCACUUAAUUUGUUGCACCCUUUGUCAUUGCAUUUAUCUCUAACUCGUGAUCACUAUCUUUACUAUCCUCUUCGUUUUUUUUCUUUUUUAUUUUUUGGUUGUGUUAUGCAAUGAGAUGAUUAUUACAGCUUCUAGCCCUUGAAUUACUACUUUGGGAAGAAAUAUUGCAAAAGUUAAAAUUACCAACAUUAAAACCCAUAAACAUUUGUACUUCUCUUUCUUCGAAUAAAAGUGCAAAUGAAGAUCCAUAAAUUCUAAAUACUAUAUUAUGACAAACCCCUCAAGAAUGUAUUCUAGAGAAGAACCAAGUCUCUCUUUUAUAUGUAACAAGAUUAUAUCAAUGGUUAUUUUUUUCCUUUCAAAUAGUUAUAUAGACUUAUAUAGAAUCUUAUUUCAAAUUUAAUAAUUUUUAAAGUCUGAAAAACUUGAUAUUUACUAGCUAGAAAACACAAAGUACAGAUUUAAGAGGAAGUGACAAGAAUACUUUUUCUAGAAAUAUCUUAUUUUAUAUUCUAAAAAACAUAGCAUAUAAUUAAUAUUUAAAUUGCUAGAACAAGAUUUGUCCUUUAAAACAUUUUUAUCUAUAUAAUGUGUAGAGAGUUAUGAAAUUAUUAGAUUUGCCAUAACCUUAAUAUUUUAAUGUUUGUAUUAAAUUACAAUUAAAAAUUAAGCUCAACUCUUCAACUCGUGAGCUCAAAUAUGGUCCAUGCUCCAAGACCCUUAAUUGAUUAGAAAAAAUAAUGCCCACUUAUUUGAUCCCUUAUGGAUCAUUAAUUCACCACCCUUCCUUGCAAGUUCAUGCCCUUGUGAAUGGAAGUUAAGAGCUAUAGCUAAAGGCAAACUAAACUUGCCACAUGUUAAUCUCAACAUAAUUCCCCUAACCUAAUUAACAAAGUCAAACUUGAUACCUCUUUAAUACCAAAUGUAAACUCUUAAAUUUGGACUUCCUGGGAAGUCAUCUAACUUAGUUUUAUUCAAAUAUAAAGAUGCUUAAUCUUUUGAGCUUUACAAACCUUAUCAAGGGAAAGUAAAUAUUGUUCUGCACCUUAAAAAAAACACUAAACAUCAUAUACAGCAAUUGUUAGACAUAAAAUCCUUGUUUAAGAAAUCCAUUGAUACUAGAAUAAUAGGCUCAUCAAAACCAAAAGAAGAGAGUGAUGAAAGGAGAAUAACUUAAGAAAAGGCAUCAGUAUUAGUUAUAGAACUCCCUGAAUAAUGAACAACCUUGAAAUCAUAUAUCUAAAACUUUAGAGCCCACUGAAUAAUACUAUCAACCAAGUUCUUCCACUAUAAUAAUGAAGUAAUCACAAUAUGAUCACCUUCUAAUAAUAUUUGAGAACCAUAAAACUAUGCAUGAAGCUUCUCAAAACCCAUAAAGGUUACUAAACACUCAUAUGGAAUAAUUCACUUUUGUUGGUUAUAAUAUACAGCUAAUGUAUAUUAUGGGAUGGCACUAACUAGACACACUUAGGCUUUUUUGCAUCAACACAAUUUCAAAACUGAUAUUAAAAGUAUUUAUGCAAAAAAUAAAAGGUUGAGUGUAUUCAGGAUACACCAAUACUAAAAGAGUUAUCAACAACCCUUUAAGAUCUAUAAAUGUCUAUUCACAAUCUAUAUACUAUAUGAAAAAUGAUGUUAAUGACUUCAGCAAUGUUCACAAUAGUGUAGCAUGAUUAGAAAAAUGAUCAAUGAAAUAACUAAAAUAUUACAUUUUGUUUAAUAAACCUUGCAUAUUAUUUGAUCUGAUGGGACAUUUUCCAUAGUCAACUACUUGCAAUAAGUAUAUUAUUAUUGACUCCAACUACUUGACUUGUUGGAUGGAAGUUGAUUCUUUUGCUACUAUUGUUGAGUACUUCUUCCUCAAUCAAGUGGUAUUCUAAUAUUUCUAUUUAGAGCUCAAAUAAUAAUCUUAUAUUUAUAAUUGAGGCAUUUUAUGUUUUAAUGUCUCGAUUAGAGAUACAUCACACUUUUAUGAGUGUUUAUCAUCCAUAGACAUAUGGUUUUAUGGAAUGGUUCACCACAAAUAACCAUCCUAAUCUGAAUAAUGAAAGUUUAUAUACUUCAUAAUCAUCCCUUUAAAGGUCUGAAUCUUGCAUAUAUUAUAGGGGUAUAGAGUUCCACUAGUGCUUCAAUGGUUAUGAUCUAAUAUUGCCAAUUGAGUUGAGUUUACCUUCACAAUUAUCACAAGGUAUCAAUACUAGGUUUUGAGAUUAAUAUUUAAUAAGCAUUAUUUCACUUGCUUGAGUGAAAUUUACUAAACACUUGAGCUGUGUAUAAAUGGGUGCUAGAACUCUUAUCAUUGUCCAUAUAUAAAGAACAUAAUGGAUGACUGGAUAGCUUUGGGAUUUGAGAAGGUUAGGAACACAAUAGGGCCAUUCUUGGAUUUGUUCCAACAGCCUCUUAAGUAUCACAAGGAAAACAAGUUCAAGAGGGAAUUUGCAAGGUCUCGCACAAUCGACAGUAAGUUGGUUUUCUUCCUCAAAUUAUUUUUUCAGUGUUAUGUUCCACAUGAGAUGUUGCCAAGGUGGAUGAGGUGCAACCUCGAAAAGAACCAAGUAUACCACUGGUGAACAAAGCAGAAACUCAAUAGUUAGAAAAAAGUGAAUUUUGAAAGCUAUUUGAUUUUGACUUGGUCAAUGUCAACUACAAGAUAUCCUCCAUGAUUUUUCAUAUCCUUCUGAUUUUUGCUAUGAAUUCAUGGCAUUAAAAAAAUUGAAAAAAAGUGAUCAUACCUCACAAGAACUUGUUGUGUUUCUAACAUAAUAGUAGUAUCCUUAGAAAGAGUAUCCUUAGCAAAGUUAACCUGAAAGUAGAUGACUUUUGCAGCAAUUGACUUGGGCUGUGAUCAAUUCAAUCUAGGAACGUAACUCCAACGAAAUAAUCACAUAGCUUAAAACGACAGAACUGCAAAAAUGAAGAAAAACUUAGUGAGAGCAAGCUUGGAGAAUGCAUGUCAGAAACAACAUUCAUGAAGCUACUUACUCUCAUGCUGCUGCUCUCUUCGACUUACUACAGCAGAGUCCUGGCCGACUUCUUGCGCGGAAGCACUGUCACAACAGGAAGCCCUUGGAGAUCACCUGAAGGAACCUUUGGAUUUGGAUUCGUAAUGCCUGAGUCUUCAAGCACCCGGAACUUCAAUCUCGCGAUCUGGUAUGAUAUAGAUCCGAAGAAGACUGUCGUCUGGAUGGCAAUGGCAAACGGGCAGCUUGUCCAGGUGAGUGAAAAUGCCAAGCUUGAGUUGAAAGCCGAGGGGGGACUUUCCGUCACUGAUGGCAGCAGCUCCGUCCCCUUGUGGCAAACCAAUCCCGGACAGUGUUGUGCUGAAAGUGCUUCGCUGCUCGAGAACGGGAACUUAGUUGUCCUUGGAAAAGACAAGAAAGUUGCAUGGCAGAGCUUCGACUCUCCAACGAACAACCUUUUGCCCGAGCAGCAGCUCCGCACACAAGGAAAUCCGUCCUUGGGAUACACGAGGUUGAUUUCCCAGUCUGGAGCAUACCAGCUUGUUCUCAACAGUGGUCAGGUGCUGCUCAAGAACUUAAAGCUGGAGAUCCCGCAAAAAUACUGGUCUAUUGCAAAUCCGACACUGAACUCCACCAUGACUUGCCUGGAUGACGAAACCGGAGAGCACGUCUUGAACAACAACGCUUGCCAGCCUGAUCGUUCUCUCAAGUUCCCGGCCGUCUUGAACUUGAGCGUCCUUUCCUUUUACGACGCAACUGGAAAGAGCUGGGCAUCAGGAUCAAUGAGUUCACAAGACUACGCGCUUGACUAUGACGAUGCGAAUGUGUUGAGGAAACUUAUGCUGGACGAUGAUGGCAAUCUCAGGAUCUACAACUUCGGCCCGAAGAACAAGAGUGGCUCCUGGAGCGUCGUCUGGAGGGCCGCCAUGCUCGACAUCUUUGGAACAUGUGGACCUUGACCUUUCGCUCUCUGCACCUACAGGCCCACAAAAACUUGCAGCUGUCUUCCUGGAUUUCACCGAGUUGAUCCAAACGAUGAAUCGAAGGGAUGUGACUAUGACAUACCUCUGGGAGCUUGUCAAAACUCCCCAAUCUCGGUGAAGCUCGUCCAGGUGAAUCGAGCAGACUACUACUUCAACGAUUACAACUUCGACUCGACCAUCAAGUCGCUCGAAGAGUUAGGCUCGGGAGGAUUCAGGAGCGUGUAUAGAGGAAACAUGGCCAUGAAGAACAUCACCACCGUGAACCAGGCUGAGAAGCAAUCAAGGCCGAGGUGAGCACGAUUGGAAGAGUACACCACGUCAACUUGGCUCCGCCUCCUCGGCUACUGCACCGAGGGAGACCGCCACCUCCUCGUCUACCAGUUCAUGCCAAACGGUUCUCUCGACCACCUCGUCCUCAUUCGCCGCCUCGCAAGAGAUCUUCUCAACCUGGGAGACACAACACUCAAUCGCGCUGGGGAUUGCCAAAGGAUUGACAUACCUCCAUGAGAAGUGUGGCGAGCGCAUCGUCCACUGCGAUAUCAAGCCACAAAACGUGCUGCUAGACGAGAGCUCUGGCCAAAGGUGUCCGACUUUGGGUUGGCGAGGAUGAUGAGAAAAGAAUAGAUGAGCAUCACCACCGUGCAAGGAACCAGGGAAUACCUCGCUCCAGAGUGGCUCGAGAGCCAAUCCAUCGCCCCCAAGGCCGAUGUCUAUAGCAUUGGGAUGCUCCUGCUGGAUAUCUUGAGUGGCAAGAGGAAGGCCCUCAUGGAGCUGGGCGGCGGAGACAAGGAAUGCAAGAAUGCGCCACUGCCGCCGCCUGGUGAGUGGUAUUUCCUGAUCUACGCCUUCGACAAGUACAUGACCUCGGAGCUGGAGAGCAUUGCCGAUCCAAACCAGGCAAGUGGCACUCAAGAUCCCGCUGUGGUGCAUCCACCAGGAUCCAGCAUCCAGGCCAGUGAUGAGCUGCGUGGUGCAGAUCCUGGAGGGCAAAGCGGAGGCGCCGCCGCCGCCAUUUCCAGAAGCUGGCGAGAGAGAAUGAUCGCUUUAACCCUUAGUUUGGUUAUUUAAUAUUAAGUUUUUGAAUAAAAUAAUUAGAUAAAAAUAUUAAGUAGAUUAUGAUGGUAUAAUUUAUACCAAGUGAAAUCAUUUUAAUUCACCAUUGCAAUUUAUAAAGGGACUAUAGUGAGAAGUGAGCAUUUAUUUUGGUGGUAUUUCAUUCACAUCUCAAAUAGAACAAAGUAAAUGGAAUAACAUAAAAUAUAGGUGUUUGUGAUCUUAAUGUUUUGGCUAUCAUUUUUUCGUUAUCUUAGUUUUGGUUAAGGAUAUGUGAUCUUAAGCCAAACCCAAGCUUAACUUAGCUCACCCGUGUAGCCAGCUUGCUAUUGCUGGGCUCAAUUCUAUAUUGAAGGUAUUAAGCCCUUCAAAAGUGACAAAGACAGAAAUUCUUUUCUUCCUGGAAGUUCUCCACAACCAUGUCAGUGGCAUCAAGCUUUUAUAGACUGCUAAAUAGAAUAUGAUCUAGCUGUUGAAAAUAACUAGACUAAGAGGUGUUGACCAAACUUGAACAAUUGCAACAUUUUUGGUGUGGAAAUCCACACUAUUUCCAUAAAAGCAUCCAAGGACACAAUAGUGAUCUGGCUGCUACAGACACCUACUUUCUUAAGCAUUGCAAGAAAGUGUGGGUGAUGGAAGAUGAAGAAACCAUUGCUUGGCAGCCUUGUUGCACCAAGGUGAGUGAUCUUCUUUAAUAUAUUAUUUCCUUUGACCCUGAUGACCUUGAAAACGAACAAAAAUAAAGGUUAUUUUAAGAAUAUUCUUUUGGACCAUAAUUCAAAAGUAUAAAGGUUAAAGGUUAAAAGGAGAUUUACAGCUGACACAUAGAUUGCACAAAAGACUUUUACCUUGGGAAAAUUGGGGUCCAACACCAAACAGUAACGUCAUAGAGAUCUAGGUGGGAUGCUUGAUGUUAACACAUGUACCACCUAUCCAGAUGCCCAUGCAGCAUAAGGAUGGGCAUCUAGAUAACUUGUAUGCAGUAAAGCCUGAUCUGUAUUAAGGAACAAGGUGUGCUUUCCUAAACUCCAAGCAUGGUGUGACACCAUGUAGCUCAGUCAGGCACUCAAUUUUAAGAAUAUUCUUUCUUAAUCUAGGUGUUAACUACCAGUUUAAUCCAAUAGUUGUGCUAAUUUAUUUGAACCAAUAUUAGAUGCAAAGUUUCUAAACAAAUAUACUGAGAUUCUUGAGUCUUAUUAUUAUUAUUAUUAUUAUCUAUAAGUUUUAAGAUCAUUAGUAUAGAAAAAGGAGAAAAUAUGAGAUCACAUAAAUCAGAAUAUUUGGGUUUGAAAAAGGUCUAGCAACUGAUUAGUUGUACCUUAGAUGUUUGACUUAAUGCAGUGCAGAUUAUAAAAGGGCGUUCUUUUACCUCAUAUUACCAUGUAAGUAUGGAAAACAAAAAAUAUCUCUAUUUAAUUUUAUUACUUGCAGUCAUUCUGAAAAAUGAGAAUUUUUGUGCUGCCACUACAAGUAUCAAAGUGGAUGGCUAUGUUUAUUGCACUAACUGUGGUUCACUCUCUCAGAAUGGCAUCUUCAGUAAGAAAAAUUAUCUAUCUUUUGUAAUUUUCUAAUCUUGUUAAAUCUUUCAGAUGCCAAGGUAAACCUGGUUUGUCCAGGAGACAGUCAUUCAUCAUUUACAAAUAGUAGAGGAUACUUUGAUAUCUUUGAAUUAGUGAAGACUGGAACAGAUAUUGGGAGUUGUCGAGUGAGUGUGGAUCCAAGUAGAGCACCCCGGGGGUGUUCUUUCUUAACAGACAUAAAUGGUGGAUCAAGUGGCCAAUCCUUAAGCACAUGCACCAAUAAUGGAAAUAAUAAGUUCACUUGUGGACCUUAUUAUUUUACUCCAAAUGCUUGUUCACCUCCACCACCACCAAGUUCUCCACCUCCACCACCACCUAGAAAACCACCACCACCACCACCUAGAAGACCACCACCACCCCCACCAAGAACACCUCCACCACCACCACCAACGACACCUCCUCCACCACCACCAACAUCUCCUCCACCACCACCACCAAGAACACCGCCACCACCACCACCAAGAACUCCUCCUCCACCACCACCAAGAACACCUCCACCACCACCACCAAGAACACCUCCACCGCCACUGCCAAGAACACCUCCACCACCACCACCAAGAACUCCUCCUCCCCCACCACCAAGAAAACCUCCACC